rnacentral:lncRNA from 1 species
UUCAUCAGUUUGUCCCCCGUUUCUUCUCUAGCCUGAGCCUGACACACUAUUCUAGCUAGACAUGGGUGUGGCUCGUAACACCUAAUGACCAAACGGAUCUACGGCACCGUUGAAUCUCAAACUUUAACUGCCAAAACUAUUGUUUUUCAUUAUGUAGUCCCUUUUAAAUUACUAAACGUCAUUUUUUGGGCUGAGAUAUCCAGGAAAGCUUUCUCGGGGUUUGUGUGCACGUAUUUCAAAUCAUACGGACCUAAAAAUUAGAAGUCAUUCCAUAUUUAUUCCCCUAGAGCCUUCCAGAAAUUCCUAAACCGCUCCAGUUGGACCACGUUAUCAUUCUUGUUAGUUCUGAGUGAAUUACCUCAGUAUGAUCAUUCUUUCAUCAGUUUGUUCCCCGUUUCUUCUAUAGUCUGAGCCUAGCACACUACUCUAGCUAGACAUGGGUGUGGCUCGUAACACCUGAUGACCAAACAGAUCUACGACACCGUCAAAUCUCAAACUUUAACUGCCAAAACUAUUGUUUUUCAUCCUGUAGUCCCUUUUAGAAUUACUAAACGUCCUUUUUUGGGCUGAGAUUUCCAGGAACGCUUUCGCGGGGUUUGUGUGCACGUAUUUUAAACCAUACGGACCUAAAAAUUAGAAGUCAUUCCAUCUUUAUUCCCCUAGAGCCUAACACACUAUUAUAGCUAGACAUGGGUGUGGCUCGUAACACCUGAUGACCAAACGGAUCUACGGCACCAUCGAAUCUCAAACUUUAACUGCCAAAACUAUUGUAUUUCAUCAUGUAGUCCCUUUUAGAAUUAUUAAACGUCCUUUUUUUGGGCCGUGAUUUCCAUGAACGCUUUCUCGGGGUUUCUGUGCACGUAUUUCAAAUCAUACAGACCUAAAAAUUAGAAGGCAUUUCAUCUUUAUUCCCCUAGAGCCUUCCAGCAGUUCCUAAACCGCUCCAGUCGGACCAUGUUAUCAUUCUUGUUAGUUCUGAGUGAAUUCCCUCGAUAUGAUCAUUCUUUCAUCAGUUUGUUCCCCGUUUCUUCUCUAGUCUGAGCCUAGCUCACUAUUCUAGCUAGAUAUGGGUGUGGCUCAUAAUACCCGAUGACCAAACGGAUCUACGGCACCAUCGAAUCUCAAACUUUAGCUGCCAAAACUAUUGUUUUUCAUCCUGUAGUCCCUUUUAGAAUUACUAAACGUCCUUUUUUGGGCCGGGAUUUCCAGGAGCGCUUUCUCGGGGUUUGUGUGCACGUAUUUCAAACCAAGCGUUCCUAAAAAUUAGAAGUCAUUUGAUCUUUAUUCCCCUAGAGCCUUCCAGCAGUUCCUAAACCGCUCCAGUCGGCGCACGUUAUCAUUCUUGUUAGUUCUGAGCGAAUUCCCUCGGUAUGAUCAUUCUUUCAUCAGUUUGUUCCUCGUUUCUUCUCUAGUCUGAGCCUAGCACACUAUUCUAGCUAGACAUGGGUGUGGGUCAUAACACCUGAUGACCAAACCGAUCUACGGCACCAUCGAAUCUCAAACUUUAACUACCAAAACUAUUGUUUUUCAUCCUGUAGUCCCUUUUAGAAUUACCAAACGUCCUUUUUUGGGCCGAGAAUUCCAAGAAUGCUUUCUCGGGGUUUGUGUGCACAUAUUUCAAACCAAACAUUCCUAAAAAUUAGAAAUCAUUCCAUCUUUAUUCCCCAAGAGCCUUCCAGCAGUUCCUAAACAGCUCCACUCAGAGCACGUUGUCAUUCUUGUUAGUUCUGAGCGAAUUCCCUCGGUAUGAUCAUUCUUUCAUCAGUUUGUUCCCUGUUUCUUCUCUAGUCUGAGCCUCGCACACUAUUCUAGCUAUUAAUGGGUGUGGAUCGUAACUCCUGAUGACCAAACGGAUCUACGGCACCGUCGAAUCUCAAACUUUAACUGCCAAAACUACUGUUUUUCAUUCUGUAGUCCCUCUUAAAUUACUAAACGUCAUUUUUUGGGCUGAGAUAUCCAGGAACGCUUUCUCGGGGUUUGUGUGCACGUAUUUCAAAUCAUACGGACCUAAAAAUUAGAAGUCAUUCCAUCUUUAUUCCCCUAGAGCCUUCCAGCAGUUCCUAAACCACUCCAGUCGGAGCACGUUAUCAUUAUUGUUAGUUCCGAGUGAAUUCCCUUGGCAUGAUCUUUCUUUCAUCAGUUUGUUCCCCGUUUCUUCUCUAGUGUUAGCCUAUCACACUAUUCUAGCUAGACAUGGGUGUGGCUCGUAACACCUGAUGACCAAACGGAUCUACGGCACCGUCGAAUUUCAAACUUUAACUGCCAAAACUAUUGUUUUUCCUCCUGUAGUCCCUUUUAGAAUUACUAAAUGUCCUUUUUUGGGCCGAGAUUUCCAGGAAUGCUUUCUCGGGGUUUGUGUGCAUGUAUUUCAAACCAUACGGACCUAAAAAUUAGGUCAUUCCAUAUUUAUUCCCCUAGAGCCUUCCAGCAGUUCCUAAACAUCUCCAGUCGGAGCACGUUAUCAUUCUUGUUUGUUCUGAGCGAAUUCCCUCAGUAUGAUCAUUCUUUCAUCAUUUUGUGCCCUGUUUCUUCUCUAGUCUGAGCAUAGCACACUAUUCUAGCUAGACAUGGGUGUGGCUCGUAACACCUGAUGACCAAACGGAUGUACGACACCGUCGAAUCUCAAACUUUAACUGCCAAAACUAUUGUUUUUCAUCCUGUAGUCCCUUUUAAAUUUACUAAAUGUCCUUUUUGGGCUGAGAUUUCCAGGAACGCUUUCGUGCGGUUUGUGUGCAAGUAUUUCUAAUCAUACGGACCUAUAAAUUAGAAGUCAUUCCAUCUUUAUUCCCCUAGAGCCUUCGAGCAGUUCCUAAACCGCGCCAGCCGGAGCAUGUUAUCAUUCUUGUUAGUUCUGAGUGAAUUCCCUCGGUAUGAUCAUUCUUUCAUCAGUUUGUUCCCCGUUUCUUCUCUAGUCUGAGCCUAGCACACUACUCUAGCUAGACAUGGGUUUGGCUCGUAACACCUGAUAACCAAACAGGUCUACGACUCCAUCGAAUCUCAAACUUUUUUGGGCCGAGAUUUCCAGGAACGCUUUCUCGGGGUUUGUGUGCACGUAUUUCAAAUCAUGCGGACCUAAAAAUUAGAAGUCAUUCCAUAUUUAUUACCCUAGAGCCUUCCAGCAGUUCCUAAACCGCUCCAGUCGGAGCAUGUUAUCAUUCUCUUUAGUUCUCAGGGAAUUCCCUCGGUAUGAUCAUUCUUUCAUCAGUUUAUUCCCUGUUUUUUCUCUAGCAUGAGCCUAACACACUAUUCUAGCUACACAUGGGUGUGGCUCGUAACACCUGAUGACCAAACGGAUCUACGGCACCGUCGAAUCUCAAACUUUAACUGCCAAAACUAUUGUUUUCGUCCUGUAGUCCCUUUUAGAAUUACUAAACGUCCUUUUUUGGGCCGAGAUUUCCAGGAACGCUUUCUCGGGGUUUGUGUGCACGUAUUUCAAAUCAUACGGACCUAAAAAUUAGAAGUCAUUCCAUCUUUAUUCCCCUAGAGCCUUCCAGCAGUUCCUAAACAGCUCUAGUCGGAGCAAGUUAUCAUUCUUGUUAGUUCUGAGCGAAUUCCCUCGGUAUGAUCAUUCUUUCAUUAGUUUGUUCUGCGUUUCUUCUCUAGUCUGAGCCUAGCACACUAUUCUAGCUAUUAAUGGGUGUGGAUCGUAACACCUAAUGACCAACGGAUCUACGGCACCAUCGAAUCUCAAACUUUAACUGCCAAAACUAUUAUUUUUCAUCCUGUAGUCCCUUUAAAAAUUAUUAAAUGUCAUUUUUUGGGCCGAGAUUUCCAGGAACGCUUUCUCGGGGUUUGUGUGCAUGUAUUUCAAGUCAUACGGACCUAAAAAUUAGAAUCCAUUCCAUCUUUAUUCCCCUAGAGCCUUGCAGCAGUUCCUAAACCGCUCCAGUCGGAGCACGUUAUCAUUAUUGUUAGUUCUGAGUGAAUUCCCUCGGUAUGAUUAUUCUUUCAUCAGUUUGUUCCCCAUUUCUUCUCUAGUCUGAGCCUAACACACUAUUCUAGCUAGACAUGGGUGUGGCUCGUAAUACCUGAUGACCAAACGGAUCUACAGCACCGUCGAAUCUCAAACUUUAACUACGAAAACUAUUGUUUUUCAUUCUAUAGUCCCUUUCAGAAUUACUAAACGUCCUUUUUUGGGCCGAGAUUUCCAGGAACGCUUUCUCGGGGUUUGAGUGCGCGUAUCUAACAAUACAGACCUAAAGAUUAGAAUUCAUUCCAUCUUUAUUCCCCUAGAGCCUUCCAGCAGUUCCUAAACUGCUCCAGUCGGAGCACGUUAUCAUUCUUGUUAGUUCUCAGGGAAUUCCCUCGGUAUGAUCAUUCUUUCAUCAGUUUGUUCCCCGUUUCUUCUCUAGCAUGAGCCAAACACACUAUUCUAGCUACACAUGGGUGUGCCUCGUAACACCUGAUGACCAAACGGAUCUACGGCACCGUCGAAUCUCAAACUUUAACUGCCAAAAUUAUUGUUUUUCAUCUUGUAGUCCCUUGUAGAAUUACUAAACGUCCUUUUUUGGGCCGAGAUUUCGAGAAACACUUUGUCAGGGUUUGUUUGCACGUAUUUCAAACCAUACGGACCUAAAAAUUAGAAGUCAUUCCAUCUUUGUUCCCCUAGAGCCUUCCAGCAGUUCCUAAACCGCUCCAGUCGGAGCAUGUUAUCAUUCUUGUUAGUUCUGAGCAAAUUCCCUCGGUAAGAUCAUUCUUUCAUCAGUUUGUUCCCUGUUUCUUCUCUAGCCUGAGCCUGACACACUAUUCUAGCUAGACAUGGGCGUGGCUCGUGACACCUGAUGACCAAACGGAUCUACGGCACCGUCGAAUCUCAAACUUUAACUACCAAAACUAUUGUUUUUCAUUCUGUAGUCCCUUUUAAAUUACUAAACGUCAUUUUUUCGGCCGAGAUUUCCAGGAACGCUUUCUUGUGGUUUGUGUGCAUGUAUUUCAAAUCAUACGGACCUAAAAAUUGGAAUCCAUUCCAUCUUUAUUCCCCUAGAGCCUUCCAGCAGUUCCUAAUCCGCUCCAGUCGGAGCACGUUAUCAUUGUUGUUAGUUCUGAGUGAAUUCCCUCGGUAUGAUCAUUCUUUCAUCAGUUUGUUCCCUGUUUCUUCUCUAGUCUGAGCCUAACACACUAUUCUAGCUAGACAUGGGUGUGGCUCGUAACACCCGAUGACCAAACGGAUCUACGGCACCGUCGAAUCUCAAACUUUAACUGCGAAAACUAUUGUUUUUCAUCCUGUAGUCCUUUUUAGAAUUACUAAACGUCCUUUUUUGGGACGAGAUUUCCAGGAACGCUUUCUCGGGGUUUGUGUGCGCGUAUUUCAAACCAUACGAACCUUAAAAUUAGAAUUCAUUCCAUCUUUAUUCCCCUAGAGCCUUCCAGCAGUUCCUAAACCGCUCCAGUCGGAGCACGUUAUCAUUCUUGUUAGUUCUGAGCAAAUUCCCUCGGUAUGAUCAUUCUUUCAUCAGUUUGUUCCCCGUUUCUUCUCUAGUCUGAGCCUAGCACACUAUUCUAGCUAUUAGUGGGUGUGGAUCGUAACACCUAAUGACCAAACGGAUCUAUGGCACCAUCGAAUCUCAAACUUUAACUGCCAAAACUAUUGUUUUUCAUCCUGUAGUCCCUUUUACAAUUAUUAAACGUCCUUUUUUGGGCCGAGAUUUCCAGGAACGCUUUCUCGGGGUUUGUGUGCAUGUAUUUCAAACCAAACGUUCCUAAAAAUUUGAAGGCAUUCCAUCUUUAUUCCCCUAGAGCCUUCCAGCAGUUCCUAAACCGCUCCAGUCGGAGCACGUUACCAUUCUUGUUAGUUCUGAGCGAAUUCCCUCGGUAUGAUCAUUUUUUCAUCAGUUUUUUCCCUGUUUCUUCUCUAGUCUGAGCCUCGCACACUAUUCUAGCUAUUAAUGGGUGUGGAUCGUAACACCUGAUGACCAAACGGAUCUACGGCACCGUCGAAUCUCAAACUUUAACUGCCAAAACUACUGUUUUUCAUUCUGUAGUCCAUUUUAAAUUACUAAACGUCAUUUUUGGGGCCGAUAUUUCCAGGAACGCUUUCUCGGGGUUUGUGUGCACGUAUUUCAAAUCAUACGGACCUAAAAAUUAGAAGUCAUUCCAUCUUUAUUCCCCUAGAGCCUUCCAGCAGUUCCUAAACCACUCCAGUCGGAGCAUGUUAUCAUUAUUGUUAGUUCUGAGUGAAUUCCCUCGGUAUGAUCAUUCUUUCAUCAGUUUGUUCCCCGUUUCUUCUCUAGUCUGAGCCUAUCAUACUAUUCUAGCUAGACAUGGGUGUGGCUCGUAACAUCUGAUGACCAAACGGAUCUAUGGCACCGUCGAAUCUCAAACUUUAACUGCCAAAACUAUUGUUUUUCAUCCAGUAGUCCCUUUUAGAAUUACUAAAUGUCCUUUUUUGGGCCGAGAUUUCCAGGAACGCUUUCUCGGGGUUUGUGUGCAUGUAUUUAAAACCAUACGGACCUAAAAAUUAGGUCAUUCCAUCUUUAUUCCCCUAGAGCCUUCCAGCAGUUCCUAAACCGCUCCAGUCGGAGCACGUUAUCAUUCUUGUUUGUUCUGAGCGAAUUCCCUCAGUAUGAUCAUUUUUCAUCAUUUUGUUCCCCGUUUCUUCUCUAGUCUGAGCCUAGCACACUAUUCUAGCUAGACAUGGGUGUGGCUCGUAACACUUGAUGACCAAAGGAUCUACGGCACCGUCGAAUCUCAAACUUUAACUGCCAAAACUAUUGUUUUUCAUCGUGUAGUCCCUUUGAAAUUUACUAAACGUCCUUUUUUGGGCUGAGAUUUCCAGGAAAGCUUUCGUGCGGUUUGUGUGCAAGUAUUUCAAAUCAUACGGACCUAUAAAUUAGAAGUCAUUCCAUCUUUAUUCCCCUAGAGCCUUCGAGCGGUUCCUAAACCGCUCCAGUCGGAGCAUGUUAUCAUUCUUGUUAGUUCUGAGUGAAUUCCCUCGGUAUGAUCAUUCUUUCAUCAGUUUGUUCCCCGUUUCUUCUCUAGUCUGAGCCUAGCACACGACUCUAGCUAGACAUGGGUUUGGCUCGUAACACCUGAUAACCAAAUGGCUCUAUGACACCAUCGAAUCUCAAACUUCUUUGGGCUGAGAUUUCCAUGAACGCUUUCUCGGGGUUUGUGUGCACGUAUUUCNNNNNNNNNNNNNNNNNNNNNNNNNNNNNNNNNNNNNNNNNNNNNNNNNNNNNNNNNNNNNNNNNNNNNNNNNNNNNNNNNNNNNNNNNNNNNNNNNNNNNNNNNNNNNNNNNNNNNNNNNNNNNNNNNNNNNNNNNNNNNNNNNNNNNNNNNNNNNNNNNNNNNNNNNNNNNNNNNNNNNNNNNNNNNNNNNNNNNNNNNNNNNNNNNNNNNNNNNNNNNNNNNNNNNNNNNNNNNNNNNNNNNNNNNNNNNNNNNNNNNNNNNNNNNNNNNNNNNNNNNNNNNNNNNNNNNGUAUUUCAAAUCAUGCGGACCUAAAAAUUAGAAGUCAUUCCAUAUUUAUUCCCCUAGAGCCUUCCAGCAGUUCCUAAACUGCUCCAGUCGGAGCAUGUUAUCAUUCUUGUUUGUUCUCAGGGAAUUCCAUCGGUAUGAUCAUUCUUUCAUCAGUUUGUUCCCCGUUUUUUCUCUAGCCUGAGCCUAACACACUAUUCUAGCUACACAUGGGUGUGGCUCGUAACACCUGAUGACCAAACGGAUCUACGACACCGUCGAAUCUGAAACUUUAACUGCCAAAACUAUUGUUUUUCAUCCUGUAGUCCCUUUUAGAAUUAGUAAACGUCCUUUUUUGGGCCAAGAUUUCCAGGAACGCUUUCUCGGGGUUUGUGUGCACGUAUUUCAAAACAUACGGACCUAAAAAUUAGAAGUCAUUCCAUCUUUAUUCCCCUAGAGCCUUCCAGCAGUUCCUAAACUGCUCUAGUCGGAGCAUGUUAUCAUUCUUGUUAGUUCUGAGUGAAUUCCCUCGGUAUGAUCAUUCUUUCAUAAGUUUGUUCCCCAUUUCUUCUCUAGUCUGAGCCUAGCACACUAUUCUAGAUAGACAUGGGUGUGGGCCAUAACACCUGAUGACCAAACGGAUCUACGGCACCCUCGAAUCUCAAACUUUAACUGCCAAAACUAUUGUUUUUCAUCUUGUAGUCCCUUUUAGAAUUACUAAACGUCCUUUUUUGGGCCGAGAUUUCCAGGAACGCUUUCUCGGGGUUUGUGUGCAUGUAUUUCAAACCAAACGUUCCUAGAAAUUAGAAGUCAUUCCAUGUUUAUUCCCCUAGAGCCUUCCAGCAGUUCCUAAACAGCUCUAGUCGAAGCACGUUAUCAUUCUUGUUAGUUCUGAGCGAAUUCCCUCGGUAUGAUCAUUCUUUCAUCAGUUUGUUUUGCGUUUCUUCUCUAUUCUGAGCCUAGCAAACUAUACUAGCUAUUAAUGGGUGUGGAUCGUAACACCUAGUGACCAAACGGAUCUACGGCACCAUCGAAUCUCAAACUUUAACUGCCAAAACUAUUAAACGUCCUUUUUUGGGCCGAGAUUUCCAGGAACGCUUUCUCGGGGUUUGUGUGCAUGUAUUUCAAAUCAUACGGACCUAAAAAUUAGAAGGCAUUCCAUCUUUAUUCCCCUAGAGCCUUCCAGUAGUUCCUAAACCACCCCAGUCGGAGCACGUUAUCAUUCUUGUUAGUUCUGAGCGAAUUCCCUUGGUAUGAUCAUUCUUUCAUCAGUUUGUUCCCUGUUUCUUCUCUAGCCUGAGCCUGACACACUAUUCUAGCUAGACAUGGGUGUGGCUCGUGACACCUAAUGAGCAAACGGAUCUACGGCACCGUCGAAUCUCAAACUUUAACUACCAAAACUAUUGUUUUUCAUUCUGUAGUCCCUUUUAAAUUACUAAACAUCAUUUUUUGGGCCGAGAUUUCCAGGAACGCUUUCUCGGGGUUUGUGUGCAUGUAUUUCAAUUCAUACGGACCUAAAAAUUAGAGUCCAUUCCAUCUUUAUUCCCCUAGAGCCUUCCAACAGUUCCUAAACCGCUCCAGUCGGAGCACGUUAUCAUUAUUGUUAGUUCUGAGUGAAUUCCCUCGGUAUGAUCAUUCUUUCAUCAGUUUGUUCCCGUUUCUUCUCUAGUCUGAGCCUAACACACUAUUCUAGCUAGACAUGGGUGUGGCUCGUAACACCUGAUGACCAAACGGAUCUACGGCACCGUCGAAUCUCAAACAUUAACUACGAAAACUAUUGUUUUUCAUUCUAUAGUCCCUUUUAGAAUUACUAAGCGUCCUUUUUUGGGCUGAGAUUUCCAGGAACGCUUUCUCGGGGUUUGUGUGCACGUAUUUCAAACAAUACGGACCGAAAAAUUAGAAUUCAUUCCAUCUUUAUUCCCCUAGAGCCUUCUAGCAGUUCCUAAAUCGCUCCAGUCGGAGCACGUUAUCAUUCUUGUUAGUUCUCAGGGAAUUCCCUCGGUAUGAUCAUUCUUUCAUCAGUUUGUUCCCCGUUUCUUCUCUAGCCUGAGCCUAACACACUAUUCUAGCUACACAUGGGCAUGGCUCGUAACACCUGAUGACCAAAUGGAUCUACGACACCGUCGAAUCUCAAACUUUAACUGCCAAAACUAUUGUUUUUCAUCCUGUAGUCCCUUGUAGAAUUACUAAACGUCCUUUUUUGGGCCGAGAUUUCGAGGAACGCUUUGUCGGGGUUUGUGUGCACAUAUUUCAAACCAUACGGACCUAAAAAUUAGAAGUCAUUCCAUCUUUGUUCCCCUAGAGCCUUCCAGCAGUUCCUAAACCGCUCCAGUCGGAGCACGUUAUCAUUCUUGUUAGUUAUGAGCAAAUUCCCUCGGUAUGUACAUUCUUUCAUCAGUUUGUUCCGUGUUUCUUCUCUAGCCUGAGCUUGACACACUAUUCUAGCUAGACAUGGGUGUGGCUCGUGACACCUAAUGACCAAACGGAUCUACGGCACCGUCGAAUCUCAAACUUUAACUACCAAAACUAUUGUUUUUCAUUCUGUAGUCCCUUUUAAAUUACUAAACGUCCUUUUUUGGGCCGAGAUUUCCAGGAACGCUUUCGCCCGGUUUGUGUGCAAGUAGUUCAAAUCAUACGGACCUAAAAAUUAGAUGUCAUUCCAUCUUUAUUCCCUCUAGAGCCUUCCAGCACUUCCUAAACCGCUCUAGUCGGAGCACGUUAUCAUUCUUGUUAGUUCUGAGUGAAUUCCCUUGGUAUGAUCAUUCUUUCAUCAGUUUGUUCUCCAUUUCUUCUCUAGUCUGAGCCUAACACACUACUCUAGCUAGACAUGGGUGUGGCUCAUAACACCUCAUGACCAAACAGGUCUACGGCACCAUCAAAUCUCAAACUUUAACUGCCAAAACUAUUGUUUUUCAUUCUGUAGUCCAUUUUAGAAUUACUAAACGUCCUUUUUUGGGACGAGAUUUCCAGGAACGCUUUCUCGGGGUUUGUGUGCACGUAUUUCAAAUCAUACAGACCUAAAAAUUAGAAGUCAUUCCAUCUUUAUUCCCCUAGAGCCUUCCAGCAGUUCCUAAACCGCUCCAGUCAGAGCAUGUUAUCAUUCUUGGUAGUUCUGAGUGAAUUCCCUCGGUAUGAUCAUUCUUUCAUCAGUUUGUUCCCCGUUUCUUCUCUAGCCUGAGCCUAACACACUAUUCUAGCUAGACAUGUGUGUGGCUCGUAACACCUGUUGACCAAACGGAUCUACGGCACCGUCGAAUCUCAAAUUUUAACUGCCAAAACUAUUGUUUUUCAUCUUGUAGUCCCUUUUAGAAUUACUAAACGUCCUUUUUUGGGCCGAGAUUUCCAGGAACGCCUUCUCGGGGUUUGUUUGCACGUAUUUCGAACCAUAUGGACCUAAAAAUUAGAAGUCAUUCCAUAUUUAUUCCCCUAUAGCCUUCCCGCAGUUUCUAAACCGCUCCAGUCGAAGCAUGUGAUCAUUCUUGUUAGUUCUGAGUGAAUUCCCUCGGUAUGAUCAUUCUUUCAUCAGUUUGUUCCCUGUUUCUUCUCUAGCCUGAGCCUGACACACUAUUCUAGCUAGACAUGGGUGUGGCUCAUGACACUUGAUGACCAAACGGAUCUACGGCACCGUUGAAUCUCAAACUUUAACUACCAAAACUAUUGUUUUUCAUUCUGUAGUCCCUUUUAAAUUACUAAACGUCAUUUUUUGGGCCGAGAUUUCCAGGAACGCUUUCUCGGGGUCUGUGUGCAUGUAUUUCAAAUCAUACGGACCUAAAAAUUAGAAUCCAUUCCAUCUUUAUUCCCCUAGAGCCUUCGAGCAGUUCCUAAACCGCUCCAGUUGGAGCACGUUAUCAUUAUUGUUAGUUGUGAGUGAAUUCCCUCGGUAUGAUCAUUCUUUCAUCAGUUUGUUCCCUGUUUCUUCUCUAGUCUGAGCCUAACACACUAUUCUAGCUAGACAUGGGUGUGGCUCGUAACACCCGAUGACCAAACGGAUCUACGGCACCGUCGAAUCUCAAACUUUAACUGCGAAAACUAUUGUUUUUCAUCCUGUAGUCCUUUUUAGAAUUACUAAACGUCCUUUUUUGGGACGAGAUUUCCAGGAACGCUUUCUCGGGGUUUGUGUGCGCGUAUUUCAAACCAUACGAACCUUAAAAUUAGAAUUCAUUCCAUCUUUAUUCCCCUAGAGCCUUCCAGAAGUUCCUAAACCGCUCCAGUCGGAGCACGUUAUCAUUCUUGUUAGUUCUGAGCGAAUUCCCUCGGUAUGAUCAUUCUUUCAUCAGUUUGGCCCCCCUUUCUUCUCUAUUCUGAGCCUAGCACACUAUUCUAGCUAUUAAUGGGUGUGGAUCGUAACACCUAAUGACCAAACGGAUCUACGACACCAUCGAAUCGCAAUCUUUAACUGCCAAAACUAUUGUUUUUCAUCCUGUAGUCCCUUUUACAAUUAUUAAACGUCCUAUUUUGGGCCGAGAUUUCCAGGAACGCUUUCUCGGGGUUUGUGUGCAUGUAUUUCAAAUCAUACGGACCUAAAAGUUUGAAGGCAUUCCAUCUUUAUUCCCCUAGAGCCUUCCAGCAGUUCCUAAACCGCUCCAGUCGGAUCACGUUAUCAUUAUUGUUAGUUCUGAGCAAAUUCCCUCGGUAUGAUCAUUCUUUCAUCAGUUUGUUCCCUGUUUCUUCUCUAACCUGAGCAUGACACACUAUUCUAGCUAGACAUGGGUGUGGCUCGUGACACCUGAUGACCAAACGGAUCUACGGCACCGUCGAAUCUCAAACUUUAACUGCAAAAACUAUUGUUUUUCAUUCUAUAGUCCCUUUUAAAUUACUAAACGUCCUUUUUUGGGCCGAGAUUUCCAGGAACGCUUUCGCCCGGUUUGUGUGCAAGUAUUUCAAAUCAUACGGACCUAAAAAUUAGAUGUCAUUCCAUCUUUAUUCCCUCUAGAGCCUUCCAGCACUUCCUAAACCGCUCUAGUCGGAGCACGUUAUCAUUCUUGUUAGUUCUGAGUGAAUUCCCUUGGUAUGAUCAUUCUUUCAUCAGUUUGUUCUCCAUUUCUUCUCUAGUCUGAGCCUAGCACACUACUCUAGCUAGACAUGGGUGUGGCUCAUAACACCUGAUGACCAAACGGAUCUACGGCACCGUCGAAUCUCUAACUUUAACUGCAAAAACUAUUGUUUUUCAUCCUGUAGUCCCUUUUAGAAUUACUAAACGUCCUCUUUUGGGCCGAGAUUUCCAAGAACGCUUUCUCAGGGUUUGUGUGCGUGUAUUUCAAAGCAUAUGGACCUAAAAAUUAGAAUUCAUUCCAUCUUUAUUCCCCUAGAGCCUUCCAGCAGUUCCUAAACCGCUCCACUCGGAUUACGUUAUCAUUCUUGUUAGUUCUGAGCGAAUUCCCUCGGUAUGAUCAUUCUUUCAUCAGUUUGUUCCCCGUUUCUUCUCUAGUCCGAGCCUAGCACACAAUUCUAGCUAGACAUGGGUGUGGCUCGUAUCACCUGAUGACCAAACGGAUCUACGGCACCGUCGAAUCUCAAAUUUAACUGCCAAAACUAUUAUUUUUCAUCCUGUAGUCCCUUUUAGAAUUACUAAACGUCCUUUUUUGGGCCGAGAUUUCCAGGAACGCUUUCGCGCGGUUUGUGUGCAAGUAUUUCAAAUCAUACGGACCUAAAAAUUAGAUGUCAUUCCAUCUUUAUUCCCCUAGAGCCUUCCAGCACUUCCUAAACCGCUCCAGUCGGAGCACGUUAUCAUUCUUGUUAGUUCCGAGUGAAUUCCCUUGGUAUGAUCAUUCUUUCAUCAGUUUGUUCUCCAUUUCUUCUCUAGUCUGAGCCUAGCACACUACUCUAGCUAGACAUGGGUGUGGCUCAUAAGACCUCAUGACCAAACGGGUCUACGGCACCAUCAAAUCUCAAACUUUAACUGCUAAAACUAUUGUUUUUCAUUCUGUAGUCCCUUUUAGAAUUACUAAACAUCCUUUUUUGGGCCGAGAUUUCCAGGAACGCUUUCUCGGGGUUUGUGUGCAUGUAUUUCAAAUCAUACAGACCUAGAAAUUAGAAGUCAUUCCAUCUUUAUUCCCCUAGAGCCUUCCAGCAGUUCCUAAACCGCUCCAGUCAGAGCAUGUUAUCAUUCUUGGUAGUUCUGAGUGAAUUCCCUCGGUAUGAUCAUUCUUUCAUCAGUUUGUUCCCCGUUUCUUCUCUAGCCCGAGCCUAACACACUAUUCUAGCUAGACAUGUGUGUGGCUCGUAACACCUGAUGACCAAACGGAUCUACGGCACCGUCGAAUCUCAAACUUUAUCUGCCAAAACUAUUGUUUUUCAUCUUGUAGUCCCUUUUAGAAUUACUAAACGUCCUUUUUUGGGCCGAGAUUUCCAGGAAUGCUUUCUCGGGGUUUGUUUGCAUGUAUUCCAAACCAUACAGACCUAAAAAAUUAGAAGUCAUUCCAUAUUUAUUCCCCUAUAGCCUUCCAGCAGUUUGUAAACCGCUCCAGUCGGAGCAUGUUAUCAUUCUUGUUAGUUCUGAGUGAAUUCCCUCGGUAUGAUCAUUCUUUCAUCAGUUUGUUCCCUGUUUCUUCUCUAGCCUGAGCCUGACACACUAUUCUAGCUAGACAUGGGUGUGGCUCAUGACACCUGAUGACCAAACGGAUCUACGGCACCGUCGAAUCUCAAACUUUAACUACCAAAACUAUUGUUUUUCAUUCUGUUGCCCCUUUUAAAUUACAAAACGUCAUUUUUUGGGCCGAGAUUUCCAGGAACGCUUUCUCGGGGUUUGUGUGCAUGUAUUUCAAGUCAUACGAACCUAAAAAUUAGAAUACAUUCCAUCUUUAUUCCCCUAGAGCCUUCCAGCAGUUCCUAAACCGCUCCAGUCAGAGCACGUUAUCAUUCUUGUUAGUUCUCAGGGAAUUCCCUCGGUAAGACCAUUCUUUCAUCAGUUUGUUCCCCGUUUCUUCUCUAGCCUGUGCCUAGCACACUAUUCUAGCUACACAUGGGUGUGGCUCGUAACACGUGAUGACCAAACGGAUCUACGACACCGUCGAAUCUCAAACUUUAACUGCCAAAACUAUUGUUUUUCAUCCUGUAGUCCCUUGUAGAAUUACUAAACGUCCUUUUUUGGGCCGAGAUUUCGAGGAACGCUAUGUUGGGGUUUGUGUGCACGUAUUUCAAACCAUACAGACCUAAAAAUUAGAAGUCAUUCCAUCUUUGUUCCCCUAGAGCCUUCCAGCAGUUCCUAAACCGCUCUAGUUGGAGCACGUUAUCAUUCUUGUUAGUUCUGAGCAAAUUCCCUCGGUAUGAUCAUUCUUUCAUCAGUUUAUUCCCUGUUUCUUCUCUAGUUUGAGCCUAGCACACUAUUCUAGCUACUAAUGGGUGUGGAUCGUAACACCUGAUGACCAAACGGAUCUACGGCACCGUCGAAUCUCAAACUUUAACUGCCAAAACUACUGUUUUUCAUUCCGUAGUCCCUUUUAAAUUACUAAACGUCAUUUUUUGGGCAGAGAUAUCCAGGAACGCUUUCUCGGGGUUUGUGUGCACGUAUUUCAAAUCAUACGGACCUAAAAAAUAGAUUCCAUUCCAUCUUUAUUCCCCUCGAGCUUUCCAGCAGUUCCUAAACCGCUCCAGUCGGAGCACGUUAUCAUUAUUGUUAGUUCUGAGUGAGUUCCCUCGGUAGGAUCAUUCUUUCAUCAGUUUGUUCCCCGUUUCUUCUCUAGUCUGAGCCUAACACACUAUUCUAGCUAGACAUGGGCAUGGAUCAUAACACCUGAUGACCAAACGGAUCUACGGCACCGUCGAAUCUCAAACUUUAACUGCGAAAACUAUUGUUUUUCAUCCUGUAGUCCCUUUUAGAAUUACUAAACGUCCUUUUUGGGCCGAGAUUUCCAGGAACGCUUUCUCAGGGUUUGUGUGCGUGUAUUUCAAACCAUACGGACCUAAAAAUUAGAAUUCAUUCCAUCUUUAUUUCCCUAGAGCCUUCCAGCAGUUCCUAAACCGCUCCAGUCGGAGCACGUUAUCAUUCUUGUUAGUUCUGAGCGAAUUCCCUCGGUAUGAUCAUUCUUUCAUCAGUUUGUUCCCCGUUUCUUCUCUAGUCUGAGCCUAACACACGAUUCUAGCUAGACAUGGGUGUGGCUCGUAUCACCUGAUGACCAAACAGAUCUACGGCACCGUCGAAUCUCAAAUUUAACUGCCAAAACUAUUAUUUUUCAUCCUGUAGUCCCUUUUAGAAUUACUAAACGUCCUUUUUUUGGCCGAGAUUUCCAGGAACGCUUUCGCCCAGUUUGUGUGCAAGUAUUUCAAAUCAUACGGACCUAAAAAUUAGAUGUCAUUCCAUCUUUAUUCCCCUAGAGCCUUCCAGCACUUCCUAAACCGCUCUAGUUGGAGCACGUUAUCAUUCUUGUUAGUUCUGAGUGAAUUCCCUUGGUAUAAUCAUUCUUUCAUCAGUUUGUUCUCCAUUUCUUCUGUAGUCUGAACCAAGCACACUACUCUAGCUAGACAAGGGUGUGGCUCAUAACACCUCAUGACCAAACGGGUCUACGGCACCAUCAAAUUUCAAACUUUAACUGCCAAUACUAUUGUUUUUCAUUCUGUAUUCCCUUUUAGAAUUACUAAACGUCCUUUUUUGGGCCGAGAUUUCUAGGAACGCUUUCUCGGGGUUUGUGUGCACGUAUUUCAAAUCAUACGGACCUAAAAAUUAGAAGUCAUUCCAUCUUUAUUCCCCUAGAGCCUUCCAGCCGUUCCUAAACCGCUCCAGUCGAAGCACGUUAUCAUUAUUGUUAGUUGUCAGUGAAUUCCCUCAGUAUGAUCAUUCUUUCAUCAGUUUGUUCCCUGUUUCUUCUCUAGUCUGAGCUUAACACACUAUUCUAGCUAGACAUGGGUGUGGCUCGUAACACCCGAUGACCAAACGGAUCUACGGCACCGUCGAAUCUCAAACUUUAACUGCGAAAACUAUUGUUUUUCAUCCUGUAGUCCUUUUUAGAAUUACUAAACGUCCUUUUUUGGGACGAGAUUUCCAGGAACGCUUUCUCGGGGUUUGUGUGCAUGUAUUUCAAAUCAUACGGACCUAAAAAUUAGAUGUCAUUCCAUCUUUAUUCCCCUAGAGCCUUCCAGCACUUCCUAAACCGCUCUAGUCGGAGCACGUUAUCAUUCUUGUUAGUUCUGAGUGAAUUCACUUGGUAUGAUCAUUCUUUCAUCAGUUUGUUCUCCAUUUCUUCUCUAGUCUGAGCCUAGCACACUACUCUAGCUAGACAUGGGUGUGGCUCAUAACACCUCGUGACCAAACGGGUCUACGGCACCAUCAAAUCUCAAACUUUAACUACCAAAACUAUUGUUUUUCAUUCUGUAUUCCCUUUUAGAAUUACUAAACGUCCUUUUUUGGGCCGAGAUUUCCAGGAAUGCUUUCUCGGGGUUUGUGUGCACGUAUUUCAAAUCAUACGGACCUAAAAAUUAGAAGUCAUUCCAUCUUUAUUCCCCUAGAGCCUUCCAGCAGUUCCUAAACCGCUCCAGUCAGAGCAUGUUAUCAUUCUUGGUAGUUCUGAGUGAAUUCCCUCGGUACGAUCAUUCUUUCAUCAGUUUGUUCCCCGUUUCUUCUCUAGCCUGAGCCUAACACACUAUUCUAGCUAGACAUGUGUUUGGCUCGUAACACCUGAUGACCAAACAGAUCUACGGCACCGUCGAAUCUCAAACUUUAACUGCCAAAACUAUUGUUUUUCAUCUUGUAGUCCCUUUUAGAAUUACUAAACGUCCUUUUUUGGGCCGAGAUUUCCAGGAACGCUUUCUCGGGGUUUGUGUGCAUGUAUUUCAAACCAUACGGACCGAAAAAUUAGAAGUCAUUCCAUAUUUAUUCCCCUAUAGCCUUCCAACAGUUUCUAUCCGCUCCAGUCGGAGCAUGUUAUCAUUCUUGUUAGUUCAGAGUGAAUUCCGUCGGUAUGAUCAUUCUUUCAUCAGUUUGUUCCCUGUUUCUUCUCUAGCCUGAGCCUGACACACUAUUCUAGCUAGACAUGGGUGUGGCUCGUGACACCUGAUGACCAAACGGAUCUACGGCACCGUCGAAUCUCAAACUUUAACUACCAAAACUAUUGUUUUUCAUUCUGUAGUCCCUUUUAAAUUACUAAACGUCAUUUUUUGGGCCGAGAUUUCCAGGAACGCUUUCUCGGGGUUUGUGUGCAUGUAUUUCAAAUCAUACGGACCUAAAAAUUAGAAUCCAUUCCAUCUUUAUUCCCCUAGAGCCUUCGAGCCGUUCCUAAACCGCUCCAGUCGGAGCACGUUAUCAUUAUUGUUAGUUGUCAGUGAAUUCCCUCAGUAUGAUCAUUCUUUCAUCAGUUUGUUCCCUGUUUCUUCUCUAGUCUGAGCUUAACACACUAUUCUAGCUAGACAUGGGUGUGGCUCGUAACACCCGAUGACCAAACGGAUCUACGGCACCGUCGAAUCUCAAACUUUAACUGCGAAAACUAUUGUUUUUCAUCCUGUAGUCCUUUGUAGAAUUACUAAACGUCCUUUUUUGGGACGAGAUUUCCAGGAACGCUUUCUCGGGGUUUGUGUGCGCGUAUUUCAAACCAUACGAACCUUAAAAUUAGAAUUCACUCCAUCUUUAUUCCCCUAGAGCCUUCUAGCAGUUCCUAAACCGCUCCAGUCGGAGCACGUUAUCAUUCUUUUUAGUUCUGAGCGAAUUCCCUCGGUAUGAUCAUUCUUUCAUCAUUUUGUUCCCCCUUUCUUCUCUAUUCUGAGCCUAGCACACUAUUCUAGCUAUUAAUGGGUGUGGAUCGUAACACCUAAUGACCAAACGGAUCUACGGCACCAUCGAAUCUCAAACUUUAACUGCCAAAACUAUUGUUUUUCAUCCUGUAGUCCCUUUUACAAUUAUUAAACGUCCUUUUUUGGGCCGAGAUUUCCAGGAACGCUUUCUCGGGGUUUGUGUGCAUGUAUUUCAAAUCAUACGGACCUAAAAGUUUGAAGGCAUUCCAUCUUUAUUCCCCUAGAGGCUUCCAGCAGUUCCUAAACCGCUCCAGUCGGAGCACGUUAUCAUUAUUGUUAGUUCUGAGCGAAUUCCCUCGGUAUGAUCAUUCUUUCAUCAGUUUGUUUCCUGUUUCUUCUCUCUCCUGAGCAUGACACACUAUUCUCGCUAGACAUGGGUGUGGCUCGUGACACCUGAUGACCAAACGGAUCUACGACACCGUCGAAUCUCAAACUUUAACUACCAAAACUAUUGUUUUUCAUUCCGUAGUCCCUUUUAAAUUACUAAACGUCAUUUUUUGGGCCGAGAUUUCCAGGAACGCUUUCUCGGAGUUUGUGUGCAUGUAUUUCAAAUCAUACGGACCUAAAAAUUAGAAUCCAUUCCAUCUUUAUUCCCCUAAAGCUUUCCAGCAGUUCCUAAACCGCUCCAGUCGGAGCACGUUAUCAUUAUUGUUAGUUCUGAGUGAGUUCCCUCGGUAUGAUCAUUCUUUCUUAAGUUUGUUCCCCGUUUCUUCUCUAGUCUGAGCCUAACACACUAUUCUAGCUAGACAUGGGCGUGGCUCGUAACACCUGAUGACCAAACGGAUCUACGGCUGUUGGGGAACGUUGCAGAAAACAAAAAAUUUCCUACUCGUUUCACCAAGAUCAUCUAGGAGUUCAUCUAGCAACGAGUCAUUGGAUGCAUCUACAUACCUUUGUAGAUCGCGAGCGGAAGCGUUCAAAAGAACGGUGAUGAUGUAGUCGUACUCGACGUGAUCCAAAUCACCGAUGACCAGCGCCGAACGGACGGCACCUCCGCGUUCAACACACGUACGGGACGGGAGACGUCUCCUCCUUCUUGAUCCAGCAAGGGGGAAGGAGAGGUUGAUGAAGAUCCAGCAGCACGACGGCGUGGUGGUGGAUGCAGGGCGUCACAGCAGCAGGGCUUCGCCGAGACUACGAGGGAGAGACGUAACGGGGGGAGGUGGAGGCGCCAGGGGCUGGUGUAAAAUCCCCUAGUAGAUGGCAUCUACUAGGGGGGGCGGCGGCCCUAGUAGAUGGCAUCUACUAGGGGGGGCGGCGGCCAAGGGGAGGUUUCCCUCCCCCCCAAGGCACCUAGGGGUGCCUUCCACCACAUGGACUCUUCCAUGGUGGAAACCCUAGGCGCAUGGGCCUAUAGGGGCUGGUGCCCUUGGCCCAUCUAGGCCAAGGCGCACCCCCUACAGCCCAUGUGGCCCCCCGGGACAGGUGGCCCCACCCGAUGGACCCCCGGGACCCUUCCGGUGGUCCCGGUACAAUACCGAUAACCCCGAAACUUGUCCCGAUGCCCGAAAUAGCACUUCCUAUAUAUAAUUCUUUACCUCCGGACCAUUCGGAACUCCUCGUGACGUCCGGGAUCUCAUCCGGGACUCCGAACAACAUUCGGGUUUCUGCAUAUACAUAUCUUCAUAACCCUAGCGUCACCGAACCUUAAGUGUGUAGACCCUACGGGUUCGGGAGACAAGCAGACAUGACCGAGAAGACUCUCCGGUCAAUAACCAACAGCGGGAUCUGGAUACCCAUGUUGGCUCCCACAUGCUCCACGAUGAUCUCAUCGGAUGAACCACGAUGUCGAGGAUUCAAUCAAUCCCGUACGCUAUUCCCUUUGUCUAUCGAUAUGUUACUUGCCCGAGAUUCGAUCGUCGGUAUCCCAAUACCUCGUUCAAUCUCGUUACCGGCAAGUCACUUUACUCGUACCGUAAUGCAUGAUCCCGUGACCAGACACUUGGUCACUCUGAGCUCAUUAUGAUGAUGCAUUACCGAGUGGGCCCAGUGAUACCUCUCCGUCAUACGGAGUGACAAAUCCCAGUCUUGAUCCAUGUCACCCAACAGACACUUUCGGAGAUACCCGUAGUCUACCUUUAUAGUCACCCAGUUACGUUGUGACGUUUGGCAUACCCAAAGCACUCCUACGGUAUCCGGGAGUUACACGAUCUCAUGGUCUAAGGAAAAGAUACUUUGACAUUGCAAAACUCUAGCAAACGAACUAUACGAUCUUGUGCUAUGUUUAGGAUUGGGUCUCAUCCAUCACAUCAUUCUCCCAAUGAUGUGAUCUCGUUAUCAAUGACAUCCAGUGUCCAUAGUCAGGAAACCAUGACUAUCUGUUGAUCAACGAGCUAGUCAACUAGAGGCUCACUAGGGACAUGUUGGUGUCUGUUAUUCACACAUGCAUUACGAUUUCCGGAUAACACAAUUAUAGCAUGAAUAAAGACAAUUAUCAUGAACAAGGAAAUAUAAUAAUGCUUUUAUUAUUGCCUCUAGGGCAUAUUUCCAACAGUCUCCCACUUGCACUAGAGUCAAUAAUCUAGUUACAUUGUGAUGAAUCGAACACCCAUGGAAUUCUGGUGUUGAUCAUGUUUUGCUCUAGGGAGAGGUUUAGUCAACGGAUCUGCUACAUUCAGGUCCGUAUGUACUUUACAAAUCUCUAUGUCUCCAUCUUGAACAUUUUCACGAAUGGAGUUGAAGCGACGCUUGAUGUGCCUUGUCUUCUUGUGAAACCUGGGCUCCUUGGCAAGUGCAAUAGCUCCAGUGUUGUCACAGAAGAGCUUGAUCGGCCCCGACGCAUUGGGUAUGACUCCUAGGUCGGUGAUGAACUCCUUCACCCAUAUUGCUUCAUGUGCUGCCUCUGAGGCUGCCAUGUACUCCGCUUCACAUGUAGAUCCCGCCACGACGCUUUGCUUGCAACUGCACCAGCUCACUGCCCCACCAUUCAAAAUAUACACGUAUCCGGUUUGUGACUUAGAGUCAUCCAGAUCUGUGUCGAAGCUAGCGUCGACGUAACCCUUUACGACGAGCUCUUCGUCACCUCCAUAAACGAGAAACAUUUCCUUAGUCCUUUUCAGGUACUUCAGGAUAUUCUUGACCGCUGUCCAGUGUUCCUUGCCGGGAUUACUUUGGUACCUUCCUACCAAACUGACGGCAAGGUUAACAUCAGGUCUGGUACACAGCAUGACAUACAUAAUAGAACCUAUGGCUGAGGCAUAGGGGAUGACGCUCAUCUCUUCUAUAUCUUCUGCCGUGGUCGGACAUUGAGCUGAGCUCAAUUUCACACCUUGUAACACAGGCAAGAACCCCUUCUUGGAUUGAUCCAUAUUGAACUUCUUCAAUAUCUUAUCAAGGUAUGUGCUUUGUGAAAGACCUAUGAGGCGUCUUGAUCUAUCUCUAUAGAUUUUGAUGCCUAAUAUAUAAGCAGCUUCUCCAAGGUCCUUCAUUGAAAAACUUUUAUUCAAGUAGGCCUUGAUGCUGUCCAAGAGUUCUAUAUCAUUUCCCAUCAAAAGUAUGUCAUCUACAUAUAAUAUGAGAAAUGCUACAGAGCUCCCACUCACUUUCUUGUAAACGCAGGCUUCUCCAUAAGUCUGUGUAAACCCAAACGCUUUGAUCAUCUCAUCAAAGCGAAUGUUCCAACUCCGAGAUGCUUGCACCAACCCAUAAAUCGAGCGUUGGAGCUUGCACACUUUGUCAGCAUUCUUAGGAUCGACAAAACCUUCCGGCUGUAUCAUAUACAAUUCUUCCUUAAGGAAACCAUUAAGGAAUGCCGUUUUGACGUCCAUUUGCCAUAUUUCGUAAUCAUAGAAUGCGGCAAUUGCUAACAUGAUCCGGACGGACUUCAGCUUCGCUACCGGCGAGAAAGUCUCAUCAUAGUCAACCCCUUGAACUUGUCGAUAACCCUUAGCGACAAGCCGAGCUUUAUAGAUGGUCACAUUACCAUCCGCGUCUGUCUUCUUCUUAAAGAUCCAUUUAUUUUCUAUGGCUCGCCGCUCAACGGGCAAGUCAGUCAAAGUCCAUACUUUGUUUUCAUACAUGGAUCCUAUCUCGGAUUUCAUGGCUUCCAGCCAUUUGUCGGAAUCCGGGCCCGCCAUCGCUUCUUCAUAGUUCGAAGGUUCACCGUUGUCUAACAGCAUGAUUUCCAAGACUGGGUUGCCGUACCACUCUGGUGCGGAACCUGUCCUUAUGGACCUUCGAAUUUCAGUAGGGGCUUGAUCAGAAGUAUCUUGAUCAUUGUCAUUAACUUCCUCUCUAGUCGGUGCAGGCACCUCAGGAACAUUUUCUUGAGUUGCGCCAUUUUCCGGUUCAAGAGGUAAUACUUCAUCAAGCUCUACUUUCCUCCCACUUCUUCUUUCGAGAGAAACUCUUUCUCCAGAAAGGACCCAUUCUUGGCAACAAAGAUCUUGCCUUCGGAUCUGAGGUAGAAGGUGUACCCAAUAGUUUCUUUUGGGUAUCCUAUGAAGACGCAUUUUUCCGAUUUGGGUUCGAGCUUUUCAGGUUGAAGUUUCUUGACAUAAGCAUCGCAUCCCCAAACUUUUAGAAACGACAGCUUAGGUUUCUUCCCAAACCAUAAUUCAUACGGUGUCGUCUCAACGGAUUUCGACGGAGCCCUAUUUAAAGUGAAUGCGGCAGUCUCUAAAGCAUAGCCCCAAAAAGAUAGCGGUAAAUCGGUAAGAGACAUCAUAGAUCGCACCAUAUCUAAUAGAGUGUGAUUACGACGUUCGGACACACCAUUACGCUGAGGUGUUCCAGGCGGCGUGAGUUGUGAAACUAUUCCACAUUUUCUUAAGUGUGUGCCAAACUCGUAACUCAAGUAUUCUCCUCCACGAUCUGAUCGUAGAAACUUGAUUUUCCUGUCACGUUGAUUUUCAACCUCACUCUAAAAUUCCUUGAAUUUUUCAAAGGUUUCAGACUUGUGUUUCAUUAAGUAGAUAUACCCAUACCUACUUAAAUCAUCAGUGAGGGUGAGAACAUAACGAUAGCCACCGCGAGCCUCAACACUCAUUGGACCGCACACAUCAGUAUGUAUGAUUUCCAAUAAGUCGGUUGCUCGCUCCAUUGUUCCUGAGAAUGGAGUCUUGGUCAUUUUACCCAUAAGGCAUGGUUCGCAUGUGUCAAAUGAUUCAUAAUCAAGAGACUCUAAAAGUCCAUCAGCAUGGAGCUUCUUCAUGCGUUUGACACCUAUGUGACCAAGGCGGCAGUGCCACAGGUAUGUGGGACUAUCAUUACCAACCUUACUUCUUUUGGUACUCACAUUAUGAACAUGUGUAGCAUCACGUUCGAGAUUCAUAAAGAACAAACCAUUCACCAUAGGAGCAUGACCAUAAAACAUAUCUCUCAUAAAAAUGGAACAACCAUUAUUCUCAGAUUUAAAAGAGUAGCCAUCUCGAAUUAAACGAGAUCCUGAUACAAUGUUCAUGCUCAAAGCUGGCACUAAAUAACAAUUAUUAAGGUUUAAAACUAAUCCCGAAGGGAGAUGCAGAGGUAGCGUGCCGACGGCGAUCACAUUGACCUUGGAACCAUUCCCGACGCGCAUCGUCACCUCGUCCUUUGCCAGUUUCCGCUUAUUCCGCAGCCCCUGCUUUGAGUUACAAAUGUGAGCAACUGCACCGGUAUCAAAUACCCAGGAGCUACUACGGGCACUAGUAAGGUACACAUCAAUUACAUGUAUAUCACAUAUACCUUUUGUUUUGCCGGCCUUCUUAUCCGCUAAGUACUUAGGGCAGUUCCGCUUCCAGUGACCGCUUCCCUUACAAUAAAAGCACUCAGUCUCGGGCUUGGGUCCAUUCUUUGGCUUCUUCCCGGCAGCUUGCUUGCCGGGCGUGGCAACCUCCUUGCCGUCCUUCUUGAAGUUCUUUUUACCCUUGCCUUUCUUGAACUUAGUGGUUUUAUUGACCAUCAACACUUGAUGUUCCUUCCUGACUUCUACCUCUGCUGAUUUCAGCAUAGCAAAUACUUCAGGAAUGGUCUUUUCCAUCCCCUGCAUAUUGAAGUUCAUCACAAAGCUCUUGUAGCUUGGUGGAAGCGACUGGAGGAUUCUGUCAAUGACCGCAUCAUCCGGGAGAUUAACUCCCAGCUGGGUCAAGCGGUUAUGCAACCCAGACAUAGUGAGUAUGUGCUCACUGACAGAACUGUUUUCCUCCAUCUUACAGCUGAAGAAUUUGUCGGAGACUUCAUAUCUCUCGACCCGGGCAUGAGCUUGGAAAACCAUUUUCAGCUCUUCGAACAUCUCAUAUGCUCCAUGUCUCUCAAAACGCUUUUGGAGCCCCGGCUCUAGGCUGUAAAGCAUGCCGCACUGAACGAGGGAGUAGUCAUCGAAACGUGCCUGCCAAGCGUUCAUAACAUCUUGUUCUGCAGGGAGAACGGGUGCGUCACCAAGCGGUGCUUGUAGGACAUAAUCUUUCUUGGCAGCUAUGAGGAUGAUCCUCAGGUUCCGGACCCAGUCCGUAUAGUUGCUGCCAUCGUCUUUCAGCUUGGUUUUCUCUAGGAACGCGUUGAAGUUGAGGACUACGUUGGCCAUUUAAUCUACAAGACAUAUUGUAAAAUAUUUAGACUAAGUUCAUGAUAAUUAAGUUCAACUAAUCAAAUUAUUAAUGAACUCCCACUUAGAUUAGACAUCCCUCUAGUCAUCUAAGUAUAACAUGAUCCGAGUUAAACUAGACCGUGUCCGAUCAUCACGUGAGACGGACUAGUCAACAUCGGUGAACAUCUUCAUGUUGAUCGUAUCUUCUAUACGACUCAUGCUCGACCUUCCGGUCUUCCGUGUUCCGAGGCCAUGUCUGUACAUGCUAGGCUCGUCAAGUCAACCUAAGUGUUUGCAUGUGUAAAUAUGUCUUACACCCGUUGUAUGUGAAUGUCUGAAUAAAACAUCCGAUCAUCACGUGGUGUUUUGAAACAGCGAACUGUCGCAACGGUGCACAGUUAGGGGGAACACUUCUUGAAAUUAGUAUGAGGGAUCACCUUAUUUACUACCGUCGUUCUAAGUAAACAAGAUGCAAAACAUGAUAAACAUCACAUGCAAUCAAAUAAUAAACGUGACAUGAUAUGGCCAAUAUCACAUAGCUCCUUUGAUCUCCAUCUUGGGGCUCCAUGAUCAUCUUGUCACCGGCUUGACACCAUGAUCUCUAUCAUCAUGAUCUCCAUCAUCGUGUCUCCAUGAAGUUGCUCGCCAACUAUUACUUCUACUACUAUGGCUAACGCGUUUAGCAAUAAAGUAAAGUAAUUUACAUGGCGUUUCUCGAUGACACGCAGGUCAUAUAAAAGAAUAAAGACAACUCCUAUGGCUCCUGCCGGUUGUCAUACUCAUCGACAUGCAAGUCGUGAAUCCUAUUACAAUAACAUGAACAUCUCAUACAUCACAUAUAGAUCAUUCAUCAUUCAUCACAACUUUGGCCAUAUCAUAUCACAAACCACUUGCUGCAAAAACAAGUUAGACGUUCUCUAAUUGUUGUUGCAAGUUUUACGUGGCUGAAUUAGGGUUCUAGCAGGAACGUCUUCUUACCUACGUUAAAGCCACAACGUGAUUUGUCAACUUCUAUUUACCCUUCAUAAGGACCCUGUUCAUCGAUUCCGCUCCAACUAAAGUAGGAGAGACAGACACCCGCCAGCCACCUUAUGCAACUAGUGCAUGUUAGUCGGUGGAACCGGUCUCACGUAAGCGUACGUGUAAGGUUGGUCCGGGCCGCUUCAUCCCACAAUACCGCUGAAUCAAGAAAGGACUAGUAACGGCAAGAAAGUUGACAAAUCUACGCCCACAACAAAUUGUGUUCUACUCGCGCAAGAAGAACUACGCAUAGACCUAGCUCAUGAUGCCACUGUUGGGGAACGUUGCAGAAAACAAAAAUUUUCCUACUCGUUUCACCAAGAUCAUCUAGGAGUUCAUCUAGCAACGAGUCAUUGGAUGCAUCUACAUAACUUUGUAGAUCGCGAGCAGAAGCGUUCAAAAGAACGGUGAUGAUGUAAUCAUACUCGACGUGAUCCAAAUCACCGAUGACCAGCGCCGAACGGACGGCACCUCCGCGUUCAACACACGUACGGGACGGGAGACGUCUCCUCCUUCUUGAUCCAGCAAGGGGGAAGGAGAGGUUGAUGAAGAUCCAGCAGCACUACGGCGUGGUGGUGGAUGCAGGGCGUCACAGCAGCAGGGCUUCGCCGAGACUACGAGGGAGAGACGUAACGGGGGGAGGUGGAGGCGCCAGGGGCUGGUGUAAAAUCCCUCCUCUCCCCCACUAUAUAUAGGGGUGCCAGGGGGGCGCCGGCCCUAGUAGAUGGCAUCUACUAGGGGGGGCGGCGGCCAAGGGGAGGUUUCCCUCCCCCCCAAGGCACCUAGGGGUGCCUUCCACCACAUGGACUCUUCCAUGGUGGAAACCCUAGGCGCAUGGGCCUAUAGGGGCUGGUGCCCUUGGCCCAUCUAGGCCAAGGCGCACCCCCUACAGCCCAUGUGGCCCCCCGGGACAGGUGGCCCCACCUGGUGGACCCCCGGGACCCUUCCGGUGGUCCCGGUACAAUACCGAUAACCCCGAAACUUGUCCCGAUGCCCGAAAUAGCACUUCCUAUAUAUAAUUCUUUACCUCCGGACCAUUCCGGAACUCCUCGUGACGUCCGGGAUCUCAUCCGGGACUCCGAACAACAUUCGGGUUUCGGCAUAUACAUAUCUUCAUAACCCUAGCGUCACCGAACCUUAAGUGUGUAGACCCUACGGGUUCGGGAGACAAGCAGACAUGACCGAGACGACUCUUCGGUCAAUAACCAACAGCGGGAUCUGGAUACCCAUGUUGGCUCCCACAUGCUCCACGAUGAUCUCAUUUGAUGAACCACGAUUCCGAGGAUUCAAUCAAUCCCGUACGCUAUUCCCUUUGUCUAUCGAUAUGUUACUUGCCCGAGAUUCGAUCGUCGGUAUCCCAAUACCUCGUUCAAUCUCGUUACCGGCAAGUCACUUUACUCGUACCGUAAUGCAUGAUCCCGUGACCAGACACUUGGUCACUCUGAGCUCAUUAUGAUGAUGCAUUACCGAGUGGGCCCAGUGAUACCUCUCUGUCAUACGGAGUGACAAAUCCCAGUCUUGAUCCAUGUCACCCAACAGACACUUCCGGAGAUACCCGUAGUCUACCUUUAUAGUCACCCAGUUACGUUGUGACGUUUGGCAUACCCAAAGCACUCCUACGGUAUCCGGGAGUUACACGAUCUCAUGGUCUAAGGAAAAGAUACUUGACAUUGGAAAACUCUAGCAAACGAACUAUACGAUCUUGUGCUAUGUUUAGGAUUGGGUCUUGUCCAUCACAUCAUUCUCCCAAUGAUGUGAUCUCGUUAUCAAUGACAUCCAGUGUCCAUAGUCAGGAAACCAUGACUAUCUGUUGAUCAACGAGCUAGUCAACUAGAGGCUCACUAGGGACAUGUCGGUGUCUGUUAUUCACACAUGUAUUACGAUUUCCGGAUAACACAAUUAUAGCAUGAAUAAAGACAAUUAUCAUGAACAAGGAAAUAUAAUAAUAAUGCUUUUAUUAUUGCCUCUAGGGCAUAUUUCCAACAACGGCACCGUCGAAUCUCAAACUUUAACUGCGAAAACUAUUGUUUUUCAUCCUGUAGUCCCUUUUAGAAUUACUAAACGUCCUUUUUUGGGCCGAGAUUUCCAGGAACGCUUUCUCAGGGUUUGUGUGCGUGUAUUUCAAAGCAUACGGACCUAAAAAUUAGAAUUCAUUCCAUCUUUAUGCCCCUAGAGCCUUCCAGCAGUUCCUAAACCGCUCCAGUCGGAUUACGUUAUCAUUCUUGUUAGUUCUGAGCGAAUCCCCUCGGUAGGAUCAUUCUUUCAUUAGUUUGUUCCCCGUUUCUUCUCUAGUCUGAGCCUAGCACACAAUUCUAGCUAGACAUGGGUGUGGCUCGUAUCACCUGAUGACCAAACGGAUCUACGACACCGUCGAAUCUCAAAUUUAACUGCCAAAACUAUUAUUUUUCAUCCUGUAGUCCCUUUUACAAUUAUUAAACAUCCUUUUUUGGGCCGAGAUUUCCAGGAACGCUUUCUCGGGGUUUGUGUGCAUGUAUUUCAAAUCAUACGGACCUAAAAAUUAGAUGUCAUUCCAUCUUUAUUCCCCUAGAGCCUUCCAGCACUUCCUAAACCGCUCUAGUCGGAGCACGUUAUCAUUCUUGUCAGUUCUGAGUGAAUUCACUUGGUAUGAUCAUUCUUUCAUCAGUUUGUUCUCCAUUUCUUCUCUAGUCUGAGCCUAGCACACUACUCUAGCUAGACAUGGGUGUGGCUCAUAACACCUCGUGACCAAACGGGUCUACGGCACCAUCAAAUCUCAAACUUUAACUGCCAAAACUAUUGUUUUUCAUUCUGUAUUCCCUUUUAGAAUUACUAAACGUCCUUUUUUGGGCCGAGAUUUCCAGGAAUGCUUUCUCGGGGUUUGUGUGCACGUAUUUCAAAUCAUAGGACCUAAAAAUUAGAAGUCAUUCCAUCUUUAUUCCCCUAGAGCCUUCCAGCAGUUCCUAAACCGCUCCAGUCAGAGCAUGUUAUCAUUCUUGGUAGUUCUGAGUGAAUUCCCUCGGUAUGAUCAUUCUUUCAUCAGUUUGUUCCCCAUUUCUUCUCUAGCCUGAGCCAAACACACUAUUCUAGCUAGACAUGUGUGUGGCUCGUAACACCUGAUGACCAAACGGAUCUACGGCACCGUCGAAUCUCAAACUUUAACUGCCAAAACUACUGUUUUUCAUCUUGUAGUCCCUUUUAGAAUUACUAAACGUCCUUUUUUGGGCCGAGAUUUCCAGGAACACUUUCUCGGGGUUUGUUUGCACGUAUUUCAAACCAUACAGACCUAAAAAUUAGAAGUCAUUCCAUAUUUAUUCCCCUAUAGCCUUCUAGCAGUUUCUAAACCGCUCCAGUCGGAGCAUGUUAUCAUUGUUGUUAGUUCUGAGUGAAUUCCCUCGGUAUGAUCAUUCUUUCAUCAGUUUGUUCCUUGUUUCUUCUCUAGCCUGAGCCUGACACACUAUUCUAGCUAGACAUGGGUGUGGCUCGUGACACCUGAUGACCAAAUGGAUCUACGGCACCGUCGAAUCUCAAACUUUAACUACCAAAACUAUUAUUUUUCAUUCUGUAGUCCCUUUUAAAUUACUAAACAUCAUUUUUUGGGCCGAGAUUUUCAGGAACGCUUUCUCGGGGUUUGUGUGCAUGUAUUUCAAAUCAUACGGACCUAAAAAUUAGAAUCCAUUCCAUCUUUAUUCCCCUAGAGCCUUCCAGCAGUUCCUAAACCGCUCCAGUCGGAGCACGUUAUCAUAAUUGUUAGUUCUGAGUGAAUUCCCUCAGUAUGAUCAUUCUUUCAUCAGUUUGUUCCCCGUUUGGUCAUCAGGUGUUACGAGCCACACCCAUGUCUAGCUAGAAUAGUGUGUUAGGCUCAGGCUAGAGAAGAAACGGGGAACAAACUGAUGAAAGAAUGAUCAUACCGAGGGAAUUCACUCAAAACUAACAAUAAUAAUAACGCGCUCCGAUUGGAGCGGUUUAGGAACUGCUGGAAGGCCCUAGGGGAAUAAAGAUGCAAUGACUUCUAAUUUUUAGGUCCUAUGAUUUUAAAUACUUGCACACAAACGACGCGAAAGUGUUCCUGGAAAUCUCAGCCCAAAAAAGGACGUUUAGUAAUUCUAAAAGGGACUAUUAGAUGAAAAACAAUAGUUUUGGCAGUUAAAGUUUGAGAUUCGACGGUGCCGUAGAUCCAUUUGGUCAUCAGGUGUUACGAGCCACACCCAUGUCUAGCUAGAAUAGUAUGUUAGGCUCAGGUUAGAGAAGAAAUGGGGAACAAACUGAUGAAAGAAUGAUCAUACCAAGGGAAUUCACUCAGAACUAACAAGAACGAUAACGUGCUCCGACUGGAGCGGUUUAGGAACUGCUGGAAGGCUCUAGGGGAAUAAAGAUGGAAUGACUUCUAAUUUUUAGGUCCGUAUGAUUUGAAAUGCUUGCACAUAAACCACGCAAAAGCGUUCCUGGAAAUCUCAGCCUAAAAAGGACGUUUAGUAAUUCUAAAAGGGACUACAGGAUGAAAAACAAAAGUUUUGGCAGUUAAAGUUUGAGAUUCGACGGUGCCGUAGAUCCGUUUGGUCAUCAGGUGUUACGAGCCACACCCAUGUCUAGCUAGAAUAGUGUAACACCCUCGAUGCAACUAUAUCUCCCACGUGUCGAGGCAGGACUUACACGCAUAAUCGCAUUGACGGCAUAUGUCGCAAAUUAGGCAAUCUUCACAACAUCCCAUGUAAUAUAGAUAAUAAAAGGGGAGAUAACAUAGUUGGCUUACACUCGCCACGUCAAUCAAGGUACAUAAAUAACAUGACAUCAUCCAAACACUCAUGGCCCGACUACGGCGCCAAAAUAAAAGAUAACCCAACAUGCGACACGGUUCCGAUCACCCCCAACUGGGCACCACUACUGAUCAUCAAGAAAGGAAACAUAGUAUCAUUGAGAGUACUCGUCGAACACCCACAUGAGCUCAAGCGCGUCACCUGGAGCUGAAUCAUCAGGCCCUGCAUCUGGUUUAAUAGUAAUCUGUGAGCCACAGGGACUCAGCAAUCUCACACCCUCGCAAUCAAGACUAUUUAAGCUUAUAGGUAAGGCAAGGUAAAUAUGUGAGCUGCAGCAAGCGACUAGCAUAUAUGGUGGCUAUCAUGUUCGAAAAAGAGGGCGAGAAGAGGAGGCUAAGCGCGAACGAAUAACUAGAGAGCAACCUGCGCAAACAUUACUCCAACACCGUGUCCACUUCCCGGACUCCACCGAGAAGAGGCCAUCACGGUAACUCACACUGUUGAUUCAUUUUAAUUAAGUUAAGGUUCAAGUUGUCUACAACCGGACAUUAACAAAUUCCCAUCUGCCCAUAACCGCGGGCACGACUUUCGAAAGUUCAAAUCCCUGCAGGGGAGUCCCAACUUAGCCCAUGACUAGCUCUCAUGGUCAACGAAGGAAUAGACCUCCUCCCGAGAUGUUCCGACCAGACUCGGUAUCUCGGUUCUUCAAGACACUUCGACAGGUUAAAACAAAUCCAGCAACACCACCCGAAUGUGCCGACAAAUCCCGAUAGGAGCUGCACAUAUCUCUUUCUCAGGGCACACUCAGAUUGUCUUAGGUACGGGUAGGCCAGCCCAGAGUUGCCCCUGGUGGCCACCGGCAGCUGACAGGUGGACCAACACUCAGAGGGGCACUAGNNNNNNNNNNNNNNNNNNNNNNNNNNNNNNNNNNNNNNNNNNNNNNNNNNNNNNNNNNNNNNNNNNNNNNNNNNNNNNNNNNNNNNNNNNNNNNNNNNNNNNNNNNNNNNNNNNNNNNNNNNNNNNNNNNNNNNNNNNNNNNNNNNNNNNNNNNNNNNNNNNNNNNNNNNNNNNNNNNNNNNNNNNNNNNNNNNNNNNNNNNNNNNNNNNNNNNNGGGGGGGGUUAAAAUAAGAUGACCCUCAGGCUCCGGAAACCCAAGGGAAAAAGAGGCUAGGUGGCAAAUGGUAAAACCAAGGUUGGGCAUUGCUGGAAAAGCUUUAAUCAAGGUGAACUAUCAAGGGGUUCCCAUUAUAACCCAACCGCGCAAGGAACGCAAAAUCCGGGAACAUAACACCGAUAUGACGGAAACUAGGGCGGCAAGAGUGGAACAAAACACUAGGAGAGAGGCCGAGCCUUCCACCCUUUACCAAGUAUAUAGAUGCAUUAAGAUAACAUGGCAAUAUAAUGAUAUCCCAACAAGUAAAUAAAUGUUCCAGCAAGGAACGGUCUCCAAUCUUCACCUGCAACUAGCAACGCUAUAAGAGGGGCUGAGCAAAGCGGUAACAUAGCCAAUCAACGGUUUGCUAGGACAUGGUGGGUUAGAGGUUUGACAUGGCAAUUUGGGAGGCUUGAAAGCAGGUGGUAGGCAUCGUAGCAUUGGCAUAGAAAAAGAGCAAGCAUCUAGCAAAGCAAAGAUAGUAGUGAUUUCGAGGGUAUGAUCAUCUUGCCUCCAAAGUUGUCAGAGUUGACUGGAUCCUCGAAAGCAAACUCAUCGGGCUCCUCGUUAGAGAACUCGUCUCCCGGCUCUACCCAAACAAGACAAACAAGCAAACGGAACACAAUCAACCACGUGCAAAGCUCAAACAAUAUGAUGCAAAGAUGAUAUGCUAUGCGGGAUGCGAUGCGGGAUGCAUAUGCAAGAUUUGACAAGGAAUGCAUGAACCUGACCUCAACUUGUGAAUCCAAGUGUGCCACUGGAAAGAUGAGAUGAAAUCUCUUGAAAACAAUAUAAAGAUCACUGGAAUCGGAGUUACGGUUUGGAAAUGGCAAGCAAAUCAAAUAUGAUCACGUUUUGCGAUUUACAGCAAGUACCCAUCUAAAUGCAAUGAGAUGAACAAGCUACAGCACCCAAACAUGGCAUAAAAAUACAUGGAAGGGAUGCAUUCCUGAUGCUUAACAAAAGUCUAGCACUGAGCUACGGCCAAUUCAUCCACUAACAGGUUCAAACAAGCAUGGCAAAAAUGCAUAUGGUAAACAUAUUUCAGACUUAGUGAAAUUAACACUUGUCUGGAAUUUCAGAUCAGGUAGCACUCUUCGGAGCAUGAAAACUAUAUGCUACAGGACCUAAACAUGGCAAAGUAAAACAUGGCAUGGAGCUACUCAAAGAUCUUAACAAAAGUCCCUUAGUGACCUUGAGCCAAAAGGGAUCAGAAAAUAUAUUUGCAAGCAUGUGAACAUGGCAAAAACAUAAUCGGAUCACAGACUUAGUGAAAACUGGAGCAUGCUGAAAACAGAUAUCAAGUAGGCAUGUUUACGAACUCGAUGCACUCACUAUAGAGCAAGUCAUGACAAUCUAAGCAUACACCCAUCAAGAAUACACAAAAUUCAAGCUAUACAUGGCAAGAACAAUAACAUAGCAUGCACGGAUCAACUACAACAUCCUCGGCAAAAUUGCUAACAAGUAGACAAUCUGCCCAGAUUCACGAAAUAGCAAAAGUAGAGCUCGAUUGACUCAAGCUAGGGUGCUCCAUAAUUGCAAACAAAGACAUGGAUGCAUAGAGCACUACAAUAUUAACAAAACAUCCUUACUUAUCAUCCUCAAAAGAGGCACGGAUCACUAGGAAACAACAUGAACAUAUAGCCAUAUGAGAUAACCAGAUCAAGGGCUUAGUGGAAUUGCUAAGUCCCUGGAAUCAGCAUUACCAAGUGCCUCACUUUGCAAGCUUGUGCUAGUCAGCACACACAUCACAAAAAUACAUGGGUUGCACCUCUGGAAAGAUGGAAAAACCCUUAACAAAACAUAUGUAGAGCUCAUGGGCAUAUCAUGCACACAAUAAUUAUGGCAAAAAUGACAAAUAUCUAAAUGGAGUAGCAGAUCUGACAAUUAUCUCAAGUAGCACUCUUCCAACAGCAUUUCGGGCAUCAAGAUGAACUCAAAUGAAAAUGAUGCAAUAAGAUGAAAUGAUGUGCUCUCUGAGACGAACAUUUUGAUAUGCUAUAUGCCCAAAACGGAGCUACGGAUGAGGAGUUACGGCAUGAUGAACAAGGGCAUAUGAAAUAGGGUUAGGGAGAAAGUCAACCGUCGUUUUGGAUCUAGAUCCAGAUCCGGAUCGCGCGCGUUUCGAGGUUUGCCGGAGAUCUGUUCGCCGGAGUAGCCGCGGGGCAUCACCGGAGGUCGGAGACAAGGAGGGAGAGGCCGGGGCGAUGUGGGCCUCUGGGGAGAGGUCGCCGGCGGGGGUUUCGGGCGGCGCGGCGCCGGUCGNNNNNNNNNNNNNNNNNNNNNNNNNNNNNNNNNNNNNNNNNNNNNNNNNNNNNNNNNNNNNNNNNNNNNNNNNNNNNNNNNNNNNNNNNNNNNNNNNNNNNNNNNNNNNNNNNNNNNNNNNNNNNNNNNNNNNNNNNNNNNNNNNNNNNNNNNNNNNNNNNNNNNNNNNNNNNNNNNNNNNNNNNNNNNNNNNNNNNNNNNNNNNNNNNNNNNNNNNNNNNNNNNNNNNNNNNNNNNNNNNNNNNNNNNNNNNNNNNNNNNNNNNNNNNNNNNNNNNNNNNNNNNNNNNNNNNNNNNNNNNNNNNNNNNNNNNNNNNNNNNNNNNNNNNNNNNNNNNNNNNGGCGGCUUGCGGACGUGAGGCGGCGGGGCGAUGUGGGCCUCGGGGGCCCCGAGCGGGCCUCGCGGGCCGGCGGCGUUGCGGCGGCAAAGUGGGCGCGCGGGCGCCACGUGGCUAGAUCUGAUAGGUCGGCGGCGGUGGGCGGACAAUGCCCGGCCAUCCGGAUUUUGUCCGGCGGCUGGAGGAGGAGGAGGGUUAGGGUUUCUCCCGAGAUUUCGAAUGGGGAAGAUAUAUAUAGGCAUAGAGGGAGCUAGGAGAUUCCAAAUGAGGUGCGGUUUUCGGCCACGCAAUCGUGAUUGAACACUCUAGAUGAUGGAGAAGGUUUAGGUGGGUUUUGGGCCAACUUGGAAGGGUGUUGGGCUGCAACACACACGAGGCCUUUAUGGUCCCUCGGUUAACCGUUGGAGUAUCAAACGAAGUCCAAAUGAUACGAAACUUAACAGGCGGUCUACCGGUAGUAAACCAAGGCCGCUUGGCAAGUCUCGGUCCAAUCCGGAAAUGUUUAAUCCCCACACACGAAAGAAAGGUAGAAAUGACCACCGGAGGAGAACGAAGCGCCUGAAUGCAAAACGGACAAUGGGGAAAAUGUUCGAAUGCAUGAGAUGAACACGUAUGCAAAUGCAAUGCACAUGAUGACAUGAUAUGAGAUGCAUGACAAUGACAACAACACACGGAGACAAAAACCCAAACCCGAGAAAAUAAAAUAACUUAAGGCCGGAAACGGCAAGAGUUGGAAUACAUAUUGGGAAAGUCAUAUCCGGGGUGUUACAACACUCCACCACUACGAAAGGAUCUCGUCCCGAGAUCUAGGACUGAAAGAACACCGGGUACUCAGAACGGAGGUGAUCCUCGCGUUCCCAGGUAGCUUCACGGUCGGAAUGGUGUGACCACUUGACUUUGAGGAAUUUGAUUGACUUGUUGCGAGUCUUGCGUUCAGUCUCUUCAAGAAUAGCAACUGGGUGCUCACAAUAAGAGAGAUCUUCUUGGAGCUCAAUGUCCUCGAAGUUGACAGUGCGGUCAGGAGUCUUGAAGCACUUUCGAAGCUGAGAGACAUGGAACACAUCAUGAACAUUUGCAAAGUUUGAAGGAAGCUCAAGUUGAUAGGCGAGAUCGCCUCUCUUGCUGACAAUCUUGAAAGGUCCCACAUAUCUAGGGGCAAGCUUCCCUUUGAUACUGAAGCGACGAGUACCUUUCAUAGGAGAGACGCGGAGGUAAACAUGAUCUCCGAUCUCGAAAGCCAAAUCACGGUGCUUACUGUCAUAGUAGCUCUUCUAGCGGGAUUGGUCUGCUUUGAGGUUAUCUCGAAUGACUUUGCACAUUUCCUCUGCCUCUAUGAUUAAGUCAUUUCCGAGAAGCUGACGUUCACCUGUUUUGGACCAGUUGAGAGGGGUACGGCACUUCCUGCCAUACAGAAUUUCAAAUGGGGCCUUGCCCGAACUUGCUUGAAAACUGUUGUUGUAGGAGAAUUCAGCAUAAGGAAGACAAUCCUCCCACUUCAUGCCGAAGGAGAUCACACAAGCCCUGAGCAUAUCUUCAAGAAUCUGGUUGACACGCUCGACUUGACCGCUAGUUUGAGGAUGGAAAGCUGUGCUGAAGCGGAUGUUGGUGCCCAUGGCCUUCUGAAAAGAAUCCCAAAACUUGGAGGUAAAGAUGCUGCCACGGUCUGAAGAGAUCACUUGUGGAAUACCGUGCAGAGAGAAAAUUCGAGAGGUAUAGACUUCCGCCAAUUGAGCUGCAGUGAUUGACUCUUUGAUAGGCAGAAAGUGAGCCACUUUAGUGAGUUUGUCGAUGACAACGAAUAUAGCAUCAUUGCCACACUUGGACUUUGGAAACCUAGUCACGAAGUCCAUUUCAAUGUGGUCAAACUUCCAUUCUGGAAUGGCAAGAGGUUGGAGGAGACCCGCUGGUCUUUGGUGUUCUGCCUUCACUCUUCUGCGGACAUCACACUCAUUCACGAACUGAGCGAUCUCGCGCUUCAUUCGAGUCCACCAGUAAGCCUGCCUGAGGUCCUGAUACAUCUUCGUACUCCCAGGGUGGAUGGAGAGGAGAGAAUUGUGAGCCUUGUUCAUGAUCACUUUACGGAGGUCACCUUUGGGCACAACAAUACGAUCCUCGAAGAAGAGAGUCUCCUUGUCAUCAAGGCGGUAGCACUUGUACUUGGGUUGACUCUUGGCAAUCACAAUCUUCACCUUUUUCACCAUAGCAUCAAGAAGCUGGGCUUGGCGAAUCUGGUCUUCCAAGGUAGGAGAUACUUGAAGGUUGGCGAGGAAACCUUGAGGAACAACUUGCAGGUUAAGUUUGCGGAAAGCUUCACAAAGCUCGGGUUGAUAAGGCUUGAGAAUUAGACUGUUGCAAUAAGCCUUUCUGCUCAAUGCGUCAGCAAUCACAUUGGCCUUGCCUGGAGUAUACUCGAUACUCGGAUUAUACUCUUGAAUCAUUUCGACCCAUCGAGUUUGCCUAAGGUUGAGAUUAGGCUGAGUGAAGAUGUACUUGAGACUCUUGUGAUCAGUGAAAAUGUCCACUUUUCUUCCCAAUAAGAGAUGUCUCCAAGUCAAAAGAGCAUGCACAACUGCCGCCAACUCGAGAUCAUGAGUGGGGUAGUUCUUCUCAUUGGGCUUCAAUUGGCGAGAGGUAUAAGCAACAACUUUCUUCUCUUGCAUCAACACUGCGCCAAGACCUUGGAGAGAGGCAUCACAAAAGACCUCGUACGGCUUGGAUUCAUCAGGCGGAGUCAGAACUGGAGCAGUGAUCAAUUUCUCUUUCAAAGUGUUGAAAGCAAUGUCACACUCCGGAGACCAAACGUACUUGACGUGCUUCUGGAGAAGAUUUGAGAGAGGCUUCGCGAUCUUAGAAAAGUUUUCAACGAAUCUUCGAUAGUAGCUUGCGAGACCGAGGAAGCUACGAAGUUGCUUCACGUUCUGAGGAGGUUCCCAAUUCACAAUUGCAGACACCUUCUCAGGAUUCAUGGCAAUGCCCUUGGCAGAGAUGAUAUGACCAAGAUAAAGAACCUCAUCGAGCCAAAAUUCGCACUUGGAGAACUUGGCGUAGAACUUGUGUUCCCUCAACUUAUCGAGUACCAAACGCAAGUGCUUGGCAUGAUCUUCCUUGUUCUUCGAGCAAACCAGAAUGUCGUCGAGAUAGACCAAAUGAAGUCAUUGGUGUAGGCAUUGAAGAUGAAGUUCAUCAUGCGAGAGAAAGUCGGAGGAGCGUUGACGAGGCCAAAAGACAUGACAGUGUAUUCAUAUGACCCAUAGCUUGUCCUGAAAGCCGUCUUGGGAAUAUCUUGCUCACAGAUUUGAAUAUGAUGAUAACCCAUACGGAGAUCAAGCUUGGAGAAUACUUGCGCACCUUUGAGUUGUUCGAACAGCUUGUUGAUGUUGGGAAGUGGGUAUUUGUUCUUGAUAGUCUUCUUGUUCAAUGGACGGUAAUCAACACAAAGCCGAUCCGUUCCAUCCUUCUUCUUCACAAAAAGAACACCACAACCCCACGGAGAAGAACUAGGCUGGAUGAGACCCAUUCUCUCUUGAAUAUCGAGUUGCUUCUUCAGCUCCUUCAACUCUUCAGGUCCGAGCUUGUAAGGACGCUUGCACACUGGUUCCGUGCCAGGAUCAAGAUCGAUGACGAAUUUAACUGGCCGAUGCGGAGGCAUUCCUAGAAGCUCUUUUGGAAAGACGUCUUGAUAUUCGCAAACGACUGGAAUUUGCGAGAUAGCAUCCAGUUCACCCUUCUCAUUGAGAGAAAACAGACGGAUGGUAUCAUCACAAGCGGCAAAGACAAUUACAUCCUCAGACGAAUGAGUCAAUUGAAUCUGCCUGGCUGCACAAUCAAGCUGAGCCUUGUGCUUAGAAAGCCAAUCCAUUCCGAGAAUAAGAUCAAUAUCCGAGUCCCCAAGAACUGUAGGAGAAGAUAGAAAUUUGUAGUCUCCCAAAGUGAUAGUAACAUCUGGAGCAAUGGAGUUAGCAUGCAUGCGCCUACCGGGAGAGACAACUACUAAUGGACUAGGCAAAAUUUGCAAAGCCAACCCAUGCUUAGAUGAAAACGGUCUCGAUAUGAAAUAAUGCGAUGCACCCGUGUCAAAAAGAACUUUUGCAGGAAUAUCGUUAAUAGGAAGGUUACCCAUGAUGACAUCUGACGAGUCUGCAUUCAUCAAGUUGACCUUGGCGUGCUUGGGGUUAUGCUUGACCACAGGUGUACUUGCCCUCACAGGAGGAGGAGGAGGAGGAAGACGCCUCUGGUUGAAACACUUGUUGGCAUAGUGACCCUUCUAUUGGCACUUGUUGCACGUGACCUCUGAAAGUGGACGGUGAUACGGAGCACUCGAUCUUGGAGCUUGAGACGAAGUCUUGUUCUGAAAGCCAGGGUUGGGUGGGUGGGAAGAUCCACUGCCACCUUUGCUCUUCUGCUGAUACGGCUGACGGAACGGAGGAGGAGGAAGCCAAUACUUCUGCUGCUUGGCCACUUGAGUAGAGGAAGAAGGAGUAACAUCUCUAACUCGCUUCUUGGAAGCAUCACACCUCAGUUGAGCGGCAUCUUGCUUCAAUGCCAUGUUGUAGAACUCAUCGUACCUCAAGGGCUCAAAGAGAACAAGAGCUAGCUGAAUUUCCUCUCUGAGACCACCCCUGAACUGGUAUAUCAUGCUCUUCUCAUCAGGGACGUCCUGCUUGGCAAAGCGGGCGAGCUUCUGAAACAGCUUGUUGUAGUCAUAGACUGACAAAGAGCCUUGCUUCAGGUUGUGGAAUUCCUCACGCUUGCUUUCAACCACGCUCUGAGAAAUAUGAUGAGCUCUGAAAUCUUGACGGAAUUCAUCCCAGGUAAUAACACAUCCACCUCUGGAAUCCUUGUACUGCUGGAACCAUUCUGCAGCUUGAUCUUUGAGUUGGAAGGAAGCAAACUUGACGAAGUCCUCAGGCCCGACGUUACUGCACUUGAAAUGCUUGCACAGAUCCACGAGCCAAUCGUCAGCAUCGGUUGCCUCAACACAAUUGUUGAAAGUCUUUGGCCCAUUAGCAAGGAACUGGUUGAGAGUGGCAAAGUGAUUCUGAUUGUUGCCUUGGUUCCCUUGGUUGCCUUGAUUGCACUCUUGAAGAAUUUGCAUGAUCAACUGUGUGUUUGCAUUGGUUGCGGCCAUCACAGCUUGCCAUGCCUCCGGAGGAGGGGGAGGUGGUGGCGGAUCUUGAUUCUGAUUCUGAUUGGUGCUCUUAGCGGGAGCCAUCCUGAAGAGGUUGACCACCGUUAGCACAUAGAUAGAUAAAAUGAAGCUGAAUCCAAUGGAAUGAAAAUUGCAACAUAAAGUCUUCACAUCCGAACAGAAUGAACGAAUGCAUUCCUCUUGAAAUGGUCACAUAUCCAUAAAUUGACAAGCCACUUAGAAUUUAUGUAGAGAAAUAAAUCAACAAGGUAUGGAUCAAGAACGAAUACUCGGUAAGAAAUCCCAAUCUCAAACCAAAUAUCCGUGGAAGAAGAGCUAGAGCUACUUGAAUUCCCACCUAUGAAACUCCCGAACCUUUCCGGUUAUGCAAUCAGGUGUUGGGGAUACAGGGGAAGCAUAAUAUCUCACCCAAAUCUAGCAAAUCAUACAUCCAGCUGUAUCCAUCCUUCAACACAUAACCGAGAAAACUUCGGAAACCAUCUACCUCAACCUUCGAAAAGCAUCCGUUAUACAAGUUAUGGCGAUACUCCCGAACUCCCGCCCCAUUACGGGGUGGCGUCGAGGUUAUCUCACCAACGAACUACAUAAAAGAGAUUUUCGAUGUCGGCGUACUAAACUCAGGUAUUCCAGAACUGCAACGAUAAAAUUAUGACGACAACACCUCAGAGCUCAACUCCCCGGGACACUUCCACAAAACCCCUGACAGGAGGCACCAAGACAAUGUUCUCGUCAUAAAACCAUCGGAACGAUUCCAAGAUACCCGUGUGAUCCUAAAAAAAAUUAGUGAAAUUUGAGAAAAGAAGAGUCAAAACUCUACGUCAGGAUGCUUUACCAGAGCGAUGAGGAGACUGGGAAGUAAAAAAGAAUUCCUAAACUCUCCGAUAUAUAAUUCCUAAAUGACUCAAAACAUUUUUCUAGACACAACUCAGCCGCUAAUAAUGAUCAAGCAAUGGGGCUCCUAAGGUCGGGGAAGGCUCUAAUUACCAACUUGUAACACCCUCGAUGCGACUAUAUCUCCCACGUGUCGAGGCACGACUUAGAGGCAUAAUCGCAUUAAAGGCAUAUGUCGCAAAUUAGGCAAUCUUCACAACAUCCCAUGUAGUAUAGAUAAUAAAAGGGGAGAUAACAUAGUUGGCUUACACUCGCCACGUCAAUCAAGGUACAUAAAUAACAUUACAUCAUCCAAACACUCAUGGCCCGACUACGGCACCAAAAUAAAAGAUAACCCAACAUGCGACACGGUCCCGAUCGCCCCCAACUGGGCACCACUACUGAUCAUCAGGAAAGGAAACAUAGUAUUGUUGAGAGUGUUGGAGAACGUAGUAAUUUCAAAAAAAUUCCUAUGCACAUGCAAGAUCAUGGUGAUGCAUAGCAACGAGAGGGGAGAGUGUGAUCUACGUAUUUGUAGACCGACAGCGGAAGCGUUAGCACAACGCGGUUGAUGUAGUCGUACGUCUUCACGGCCCGACCGAUCAAGCACCGAAACUAUGGCACCUCCGAGUUUUAGCAUACGUUUAGCUCGAUGACGAUCCCCGGACUCCGAUCCAGCAAAGUGUCGGGGAAGAGUUCCGUCAGCACGACGGCGUGGUGACGAUCUUGAUGUACUAUCGUCGCAGGGCUUCGCCUAAGCACCGCUACAAUAUUGUCGAGGAUUAUGGUGGAAGGGGGCACCGCACACGGCUAAGAAUAUGAUCACGUGGAUCAACUUGUGUGUCUAGGGGUGCCCCCUGCCCCCGUAUAUAAAGGAUCAAGGGGAGGAGGCCGGCCGGCCCCUAUGGCGCGCCAAGGAGGAGUCCUCCUCCUAGUAGGAGUAGGACUCCUACUAGGAGGGGGAAAGAAGUGGGGAGGGAGAAGGAAAGGGGGGCGCCGCCCCCCCCUCUCCUAGUCCAAUUUGGACCAGGGGGGAGGAGGCGCGCGGCCCACCUUUGGCUGCCCCUUUCCCUCUCCACUAAGGCCCAUAUGGCCCAUUACUUCUCCCGGGGGGGUUCCGGUAACCCUCCGGCUCUCCGGUUUUCUCCGAAAUCACCCGGAACACUUCCGGUGUCCGAAUGUAGCCGUCCAAUAUAUCAAUCUUUAUGUCUCGACCAUUUAGAGACUCCUCGUCAUGUUCGUGAUCACAUCCGGGACUCCGAACUAACUUCGGUACAUCAAAACUCAUAAACUCAUAAUAUAACUGUCAUUGAAACCUUAAGCGUGCGGACCCUACGGGUUCGAGAACAAUGUAGACAUGACCGAGACACGUAUCCGGUCAAUAACCAAUAGCGGAACCUAGAUGCUCAUAUUGGCUCCUACAUAUUCUACGAAGAUCUUUAUCGGUCAGACUGCAUAACAACAUACGUUGUUCCCUUUGUCAUCGGUAUGUUACUUGCCCGAGAUUCGAUCGUCGGUAUCUCAAUACCUAGUUCAAUCUUGUUACCGGCAAGUCUCUUUACUCGUUUCGUAAUACAUCAUCUCGCAACUAACUCAUUAGUUGCAAUGCUUGCAAGGCUUAAGUGAUGUGCAUUACCGAGAGGGCCCAGAGAUACCUCUCCGACAAUCGGAGUGACAAAUCCUAAUCUCGAAAUAUGCCAACCCAACAUGUACCUUUGGAGACACCUGUAGAGUACCUUUAUAAUCACCCAUUUAUGUUGUGACGUUUGGUAGCACACAAAGUGUUGCUCCGGCAAACGGGAGUUGCAUAAUCUCAUAGUCAUAGGAACAUGUAUAAGUCAUGAAGAAAGCAAUAACAACAUACUAAACGAUCGGGUGCUUAGCUAAUGGAAUGGGUAAUGUCAAUCAGAUCAUUCACCUAAUGAUGUGAUCCCGUUAAUCAAAUAACAACUCUUUGUUCAUGGUUAGGAAACAUAACCAUCUUUGAUUAACGAGCUAGUCAAGUAGAGGCAUACUAGUGACACUCCGUUUGUCUAUGUAUUCACACAUGUAUUAUGUUUCCGGUUAAUACAAUUCUAGCAUGAAUAAUAAACAUUUAUCAUGAUAUAAGGAAAUAAAUAAUAACUUUAUUAUUGCCUCUAGGGCAUAUUUCCUUCAGAGAGUCCUCGUCGAACUCCCACUUGAGCUCAAGCGCGUCACCUGGAGUGGAAUCAUCAGGCCCUGCAUCUGGUUUAAUAGUAAUCUGUGAGCCAGAGGGACUCAGCAAUCUCGCACCCUCGCGAUCAAGACUAUUUAAGCUUAUAGGUAAGGCAAGGUAAAUAUGUGGAGCUGCAGCAAGCGACUAGCAUAUAUGGUGGCUAUCCUGUUCGCAAAAGAGGGCGAGAAGAGAAGGCUAAGCGCGAAUGAAUAACUAGAGAGCAACCUGCGCAAACAUUACUCCAACACCGUGUCCACUUCCCGGACUCCGCCGAGAAGAGGCCAUCACGGUAACUCACACUGUUGAUUCAUUUUAAUUAAGUUAAGGUUCAAGUUGUCUACAACCGGACAUUAACAAAUUCCCAUCUGCCCAUAACCACGGGCACGGCUUUCGAAAGUUCAAAUCCCUGCAGGGGAGUCCCAACUUAGCCCAUGAUAAGCUCUCACGGUCAACGAAGGAAUAGACCUCCUCCCGAGACGUUCCGAUCAGACUCGGUAUCUCGGUUCUUCAAGACACUUCGACAGGUUAAAACAAAUCCAGCAACACCGUCCGAAUGUGCCGACAAAUCCCGAUAGGAGCUGCACAUAUCUCUUUCUCAGGGCACACUCAGAUUGUCUUAGGUACGGGUAGGCCAGCCCAGAGUUGCCCCUGGUGGCCACCGGCAGCUGACAGGUGGACCAACACUCAGAGGAGCACUGGCCCGGGGGGGUUUAAAAUAAGAUGACCCUCGGGCUUCGGAAACCCAAGGGAAAAAGAGGCUAGGUGGAAAAUGGUAAAACCAAGGUUGGGCAUUGCUGGAAAAUCUUUAAUCAAGGCGAACUAUCAAGGGGUUCCCAUUAUAACCCAACCGCGUAAGGAACGCAAAAUCCGGGAACAUAACACCGAUAUGAUGGAAACUAGGGCGGCAAGAGUGGAACAAAACACUAGGCGAGAGGCCGAGCCUUCCACCCUUUACCAAGUAUAUAGAUGCAUUAAGAUAACAUGCCAAUAUAAUGAUAUCCCAACAAGUAAAUAAAUGUUCCAACAAGGAACGGUCUCCAAUCUUCACCUGCAACUAGCAACGCUAUAAGAGGGGUUGAGCAAAGCGGUAACAUAGCCAAUCAACAGUUUGCUAGGACAUGGUGGGUUAGAGGUUUGACAUGGCAAUUUGGGAGGCUUGAAAGCAAGUGGUAGGCAUCGUUGCAUUGGCAUAGCAAAAGAGCGAGCAUCUAGCAAAGCAAAGAUAGUAGUGAUUUUGAGGGUAUGAUCAUCUUGCCUGCAAAGUUGUCAAAGUUGACUGGAUCCUCGAAAGCAAACUCAACGGGCUCCUCGUUAGCGACCUCGUCUCCCGGCUCUACCCAAACAAGACAAACAAGCAAACAGAACACAAUCAACCACGUGCAAAGCUCAAACAAUAUGAUGCAAAGAUGAUAUGCUAUGCGGGAUGCAUAUGCAAGAUUUGAUAAGGAAUUCACGAACCUGGCCUCAACUUGGGAAUCCAAGUGUGCCACUGGAAAGAUGAGAUGAAAUCGCUUGAAAACGAUAUAAAGAUCACCGGAAUCGGGGUUACGGUUUGGAAAUGGCAAGCAAAUCAAAUAUGAUCACGUUCUGCGAUUUACAGCAAGUAGCCAUCUAAAUGCAAUGAGAUGAACAAGCUACAGCACCCAAACAUGGCAUAAAAAUACAUGGCAGGGAUGCAUUCCUGAUUCUUAACAAAAGUCUAGCACUGAGCUACGGCCAAUUCAUCUAUUAACAGGUUCAAACAAGCAUGGCAAAAAUGCAUAUGGUAAACAGAUUUCAGACUUAGUGAAAUUAACACUUGUCUGGAAUUUCAGAUCAGGUAGCACUCUUCGGAGCAUGAAAACUAUAUGCUACAGGACCUGAACAUGGCAAAGUAAAACAUGGCAUGGAGCUACUCAAAGCGCUUAACAAAAGUCCCUUAGUGAACUGGAGCCAAAAGGGAUCAGAAAAUACAUUUGCAAGCAUGUGAACAUGGCAAAAACAUAAUCAGAUCAUAGACUUAGUGAAAACUGGAGCAUGCUGAAAACAGAUAUCAAGUAGGCAUGUUUAUGAGCUCGAUGCACUCACUACAUAGCAAGUCAUGACAAUCUAUGAAUACACCCAUCAAGAAUACACAAAAUGCAAGCUAGACAUGGCAAGAACAAUAACAUAGCAUGCACGGAUCAACUAAAACAUCCUCGGCAAAAUUGCUAACAAGUAGACAAUCUGCCCAGAUUCACGAAAUAGCAAAAGUAGAGCUCGGUUGACUCAAGCUAGGGUGCUCCAUAAUUGCAAACAAAGACAUGGAUGGAUAGAGAACUACAAGAUUAACAAAACAUCCUUACUUAUCAUCCUCAAAAGAGGCACGGAUCACUAGGAAACAACAUGAACAUAUGGCCAUAUGAGAUAACCAGAUCAAGGACUUAGUGGAAUUGCAAAGUCCUUGAAAUCAGCAUUACCAAGUGCCUCACUUUGCAAGCUUGUGCUAGUCAGCACACACAUCACAAAAAUACAUGGGUUGCACCUCUGGAAAGAUGGCAAAACCCUUAACAAAACAUAUGUAGAGCUCAUGGGCAUAUCAUGCACACAAUAAUCAUGGCAAAAAUGACAAAUAUCUAAAUGGAGUAGCAGAUCUGACAAUUAUCUCAAGUAGCACUCUUCCAACAGCAUUUAGGGCAUUAAGAUGAACUCAAAUUAAAAUGAUGCAAUGCGACGAAAUGAUGUGCUCUCUGAGGCGAACAUUUUGAUAUGCUAUAUGCCCAAAACGGAGCUACGGAUGAGGAGUUACGGCACGAUAAACAAGGGCAUAUGAACUAGGGUUAGGGAGAAAGUCAACCGUCGUUUUGGAUCUAGAUCCAGAUCCGGAUCGCGCGUGUUUCGAGGUUCGCCGAAGACCUGUUCGCCGGAGUAGCCGCGGGGCGUCGCUGGAGGUCGGAGACGAGGAGGGAGAGGCCGGGGCGAUGUGGGCCUCGGGGGAGAGGUCGCCGGCGGGUGUACCGCGCGGCGCCGCGCCUGUCGGGAGGCGGCGGGGUCGGUCCGGCGGGCUCGCAGCCNNNNNNNNNNNNNNNNNNNNNNNNNNNNNNNNNNNNNNNNNNNNNNNNNNNNNNNNNNNNNNNNNNNNNNNNNNNNNNNNNNNNNNNNNNNNNNNNNNNNNNNNNNNNNNNNNNNNNNNNNNNNNNNNNNNNNNNNNNNNNNNNNNNNNNNNNNNNNNNNNNNNNNNNNNNNNNNNNNNNNNNNNNNNNNNNNNNNNNNNNNNNNNNNNNNNNNNNNNNNNNNNNNNNNNNNNNNNNNNNNNNNNNNNNNNNNNNNNNNNNNNNNNNNNNNNNNNNNNNNNNNNNNNNNNNNNNNNNNNNNNNNNNNNNNNNNNNNNNNNNNNNNNNNNNNNNNNNNNNNNNNNNNNNNNNNNNNNNNNNNNNNNNNNNNNNNNNNNNNNNNNNNNNNNNNNNNNNNNNNNNNNNNNNNNNNNNNNNNNNNNNGGGCGCGGCGCCGAUGGCCUCGGGCGGCCGGACGCGAGGAGGGUGGUGGCGGCUUGCGAACAUGAGGCGGCGGGGCGAUGUGGGCCUCGGGGGCCCCGAGCGCUGCGGCGGCGAAGUGGGCGCGUGGGCGCCACGUGGCAAGAUCUGGUAGGUCGGCGGCGGUGGGCGGACAAUGUCCGGCCGUCCGGAUUUUGUCCGGCGGCUGGAGGAGGAGGAGGGUUAGGGUUUCUCCUGAGAUUUCAAUGGGGAAGAUAUAUAUAGGCAUAGAGGGAGCUAGGAGAGUCCAAAUGAGGUGCGGUUUUCGGCCACGCGAUCGUGAUCGAACUCUCUAGAUGAUGGAGAAGGUUUAGGUGGGUUUUGGGCCAACUUGGAAGGGUGUUGGGCUGCAACACACACGAGGCCUUUACGGUCCCUCGGUUAACCGUUGGAGUAUCAAACAAAGUCCAAAUGAUACGAAACUUGACAGGCGGUCUACCGGUAGUAAACCAAGGCCGCUUGGCAAGUCUCGGUCUAAUCCGGAAAUGUUUAAUCCCCACACACGAAAGAAAGGUAGAAAUGACCACCGGAGGAGAACGAAGCGCCGGAAUGCAAAACGGACAACGGGGAAAAUGCUCGAAUGCAUGAGAUGAACAUGUAUGCAAAUGCAAUGCACAUGAUGACAUGAUAUGAGAUGCAUGACAACGACAAAAACACACGGAGACAAAAACCCAAACCCGAGGAAAUAAAAUAACAUAAGGCCAGAAAUAGCAAGAGUUGGAAUACAUAGUGGGAAAGUCAUAUCCGGGGUGUUACAAAUAAUGUGUUAGGCUCAGGCUAGAGAAGAAAUAGGGAACAAACUUAUGAAAGAAUGAUCAUACCGAGGGAAUUCACUCAGAACUAACAAGAAUGAUCACGUGCUCCGACUGGAGCGCUUAGGAACUGCUGGAAGGAUCUAGGGGAAUAAAGAUGGAAUGACUUCAAAUUUUUAGGCCCAUAUGAUUUGAAAUACUUGCACACAAACCGCGAGAAAGCGUUCCUGGAAAUCUCAGCCCAAAAAAGGAUGUUUAGUAAUUCUAAAAGGGACUACAGGAUGAAAAACAAUAGUUUUGGCAGUUAAAGUUUGAGAUUUGACGGUGUCGUAGAUCCGUUUGGUCAUCAGGUGUUACGAGCCACACCCAUGUCUAGCUAGAAUAGUGUGUUAGGCUCAGGCUAGAGAAGAAACGGGGAACAAACUGAUGAAAGAAUGAUCAAACCGAGGGGAUUCACUCAGAACUAACAAGAAUGAUAACGUGCUCCGACUAGAGCGGUUUAGGAACUUCUGGAAGGCUCUAGGGGAAUAAAGAUGGAAUGACUUCUAAUUUUUAGGUCCGUAUGAUUUGAAAUACUUUCACACAAACCGCGCGAAAGCGUUCCUGGAAAUCUCAGCCCCAAAAAGGACGUUUAGUAAUUCUAGAAGGGACUAUAGGAUGAAAAACAAUAGUUUUGGUAGUUAAAGUUUGAGAUUCGAUGGUGCCGUGGAUCCGUUUGGUCAUCAGGUGUUACGAGCCACACCCAUGUCUAGCUAGAAUAGUAUGUUAGGCUCAGGUUAGAGAAGAAACGGGGAACAAACUGAUGAAAAAAUGAUCAUACCAAGGGAAUUCACUCAGAACUAACAAGAAUGAUAACGUGCUCCGACUGGAGCGGUUUAGGAACUGCUGGAAGGCUCUAGGGGAAUAAAGAUGGAAUGACUUCUAAUUUUUACGUCCGUAUGAUUUGAAAUACUUGCACACAAACCACGCAAAAGCGUUCCUGGAAAUCUCAGCCUAAAAAAGGACGUUUAGUAAUUCUAAAAGGGACUACAGGAUGAAAAAUAAUAGUUUGGGCAGUUAAAAUUUGAGAUUCAACGGUGCCGUAGAUCCGUUUGGUCAUGAGGUGUUACGAGCCACACCCAUGUCUAGCUAGAAUAGUGUGUUAGGCUCAGGCUAGAGAAGAAACGGGGAACAAAUUGAUGAAAGAAUGAUCAUACCGAGGGAAUUCACUCAGAACUAACAAGAAUGAUAACGUGCUCCGACUGGAGCAGUUUGGAAACUGUUGGUAGGCUCUAGGGGAAUAAAGAUGGAAUCACUUCAAAUUUUUAGGUCCGUAUGAUUUGAAAUACUGGCACACAAACCGCGCGAAAGUGUUCCUGGAAAUCUCAGCCCAAAAAAGGACGUUUAGUAAUUCUAAAAGGGACUACAGGAUGAAAAACAAUACUUUUGGCAGUUAAAGUUUGAGAUUCGACGGUGCCGUAGAUCUGUUUGGUCAUCAGGUGUAACGAGCCACACCCAUGUCUAGCUAGAGUAGUGUGCUAGGCUCAGACUAGAGAAGAAACGGGGAACAAAGUGAUGAAAGAAUGAUCAUACCGAGGGAAUUCACUCAGAACUAACAAGAAUGAUAACGUGCUCCGACUGGAGCGGUUUAGGAACUGCUGGAAGGCUCUAGGGAAAUAAAGAUGGAAUGACUUCUAAUUUUUAGGUCCAUAUCAUUUGAAAUACGUGCACACAAACCCCGAGAAAGCGUUCCUGGAAAUCUCGGCCGAAAAAAGGAUGUUUAAUAAUUCUAAAAGGGACUACAGGAUGAAAAACAAUAGUUUUGGCAGUUAAAGUUUGAGAUUUGACGGUGCCGUAGAUCUGUUUGGUCAUCAGGGGUUACGAGCCACACCCAUGUCUAGCUAGAAUAGUGUGUUAGGCUCAGGCUAGAGAAGAAACGGGGAACAAAUUGAUGAAAGAAUGAUCAUACCGAGGGAAUUCACUCAGAACUAACAAGAAUGAUAACGUGCUCCGACUGGAGCAGUUUGGAAACUGUUGGUAGGCUCUAGGGGAAUAAAGAUGGAAUCACUUCUAAUUUUUAGGUCCGUAUGAUUUGAAAUACAUGCACACAAACCCCAAGAAAGCGUUCCUGGAAAUCUCGCCCCGAAAAACGACGUUUAGUAAUUCUAAAAGGGACUACAGGAUGAAAAACAAUACUUUUGGCAGUUAAAGUUUGAGAUUCGACGGUGCCGUAGAUCUGUUUGGUCAUCAGGUGUAACGAGCCACACCCAUGUCUAGCUAGAGUAGUGUGCUAGGCUCAGACUAGAGAAGAAACGGGGAACAAAGUGAUGAAAGAAUGAUCAUACCGAGGGAAUUCACUCAGAACUAACAAGAAUGAUAACAUGCUCCGACUGGAGCGGUUUAGGAAGUGCUGGAAGGCUCUAGGGAAAUAAAGAUGGAAUGACUUCUAAUUUUUAGGUCCAUAUCAUUUGAAAUACGUGCACACAAACCCCGAGAAAGCGUUCCUGGAAAUCUCGGCCGAAAAAAGGAUGUUUAAUAAUUCUAAAAGGGACUACAGGAUGAAAAACAAUAGUUUUGGCAGUUAAAGUUUGUGAUUCGAUGGUGCCGUAGAUCUGUUUGGUCAUCAGGUGUUACGAGCCACACCCAUGUCUAGCUAGAACAGUGUGUUAGGCUCAGGCUAGAGCAGAAACGGGGAACAAACUUAUGAAAGAAUGAUCAUACCGAGGGAAUUCACUCAGAACUAACAAGAAUGAUAACGUGCUCCAACUGGAGCGGUUUAGGAACUGCUGGAAGGCUCUAGGGGAAUAAAGAUGGAAUGACUUCAAAUUUUUAGGUCCGUAUGAUUUGAAAUACUUGCACACAAACCGCUAGAAAGCGUUCCUGGAAAUCUCAGCCCAAAAAAGGACGUUUAGUAAUUCUAAAAGGGACUACAGGAUGAAAAACAAUAGUUCUGGCAGUUAAAGUUUGAGCUUCGAUAAUGUCGUAGAUCCGUUUGGUCAUCAGGUGUAACGAGCCACACCCAUUUCUAGCUAGAGUAGUGUGCUAGGCUCAGACUAGAGAAGAAAUGGGCAACAAACUAAUGAAAGAAUGAUCAUACCGAGGGAAUUCACUCAGAACUAACAAGAAUGAUAACGUGCUCCGACUGGAGCGGUUUAGGAACUGCUGGAAGGCUCUAGGGGAAUAAAGAAGGAAUGACUUCUAAUUUUUAGGUCCGUAUGAUUUGAAAUGUGUGCACACAAACCCCGAGAAAGCAUUCCUGGAAAUCUCGGCCCAAAAAAGGACGUUUAGUAAUUCUAAAAGGGACUACAGGAUGAAAAACAAUAGUUUUGGCAGUUAAAGUUUGAGAUUCGAUAAUGCCGUAGAUCCGUUUGGUCAUCAGGUGUAACGAGCCACACCCAUGUCUGGUUAGAGUAGUGUGCUAGGCUCAGACUAGAUAAGAAACGGGGAACAAACUGAUGAAAGAAUGAUCAUACCGAGCGAAUUCACUCAGAACUAACAAGAAUGAUAACAUGCUCCGACUGGAGCGGUUUAGGAACUGCUGGAAGGCUCUAGGGGAAUAAAGAUGGAAUGACUUCUAAUUUUUAGGUCCGUAUGAUUUGAAAUACUUGCACACAAACCACGCGAAAGCGUUCCUGGAAAUCUCAGCCCAAAAAAGGACGUUUAGUAAUUCUAAAAGGGACUACAGGAUGAAAAACAAUAGUUUUGGCAGUUAAAGUUUGAGAUUCGACAGUGCCGUAGAUCCGUUUGGUCAUCAGGUAUUACGAGCCACACCCAUGUCUAGCUAGAAUAGUGUGCUAGGCUCAGGCUAGAGAAGAAACGGGGAACAAACUGAUGAAAGAAUGAUCAAACCGAGGGAAUUCACUCAGAACUAACAAUAAUGAUAACGUGCUCCGACUGGUGCGGUUUAGGAACUGCUGGAAGGCUCUAGGGGAAUAAAGAUGGAAUGACUUCUAAUUUUUAGGUCCGUAUGAUUUGAAAUACUUGCACACAAACCGCGCGAAAGCGUUCCUGGAAAUCUCAGCCCAAAAAAGGACGUUUAGUAAUUUUAAAAGGGACUAUAGGAUGAAAAACAAUAGUUUUGGCAAUUAAAGUUUGAGAUUCGACGGUGUCGUAGAUCCGUUUGGUCAUCAGGUGUUACGAGCCACACCCAUGUCUAGCUAGAAUAGUAUGUCAGGCUCAGGUUAGAGUAGAAACGGGGAACAAACUGAUGAAAGAAUGAUCAUACCAAGGGAAUUCACUCAGAACUAUCAAGAAUGAUAACGUGCUCCGACUGGAGUGAUUUAGGAACUGCUGGAAGGCUCUAGGGGAAUAAAGAUGGAAUGACUUCUAAUUUUUACGUCCGUAUGAUUUGAAAUACUUGCACACAAAUCACGCAAAAGCGUUCCUGGAAAUCUCAGCCUAAAAAAGGACGUUUAGUAAUUCUAAAAGGGACUACAGGAUGAAAAACAAUAGUUUGGGCAGUUAAAAUUUGAGAUUCGACGGUGCCGUAGAUCCGUUUGGUCAUCAGGUGUUACGAGCGACACCCUUGUCUAGCUAGAAUAGUGUGUUAGGCUCAGACUAGAGAAGAAACGGGGAACAAAGUGAUGAAAGAAUGAUCAUACCGAGGGAAUUCACUCAGAACUAACAAGAAUGAUAACGUGCUCCGACUGGAGCGGUUUAGUAACUGCUGGAAGGCUCUAGGGGAAUGAAGAUGGAAUGACUUCUAAUUUUUAGGUCCGUAUGAUUUGAAAUACAUGCACACAAACCCUGAGAAAGCGUUCCUGGAAAUCUCGGUCGAAAAAAGGAUGUUUAAUAAUUCUAAAAGGGACUACCGGAUGAAAAACAAUAGUUUUGGCAGUUAAAGUUUGUGAUUCGAUGGUGCCGUAGAUCUGUUUGGUCAUCAGGUGUUACGAGCCACACCCAUGUCUAUCUAGAAUAGUGUGUUAGGCUCAGGCUAGAGCAGAAACGGGGAACAGACUUAUGAAAGAAUGAUCAUACCGAGGGAAUUCACUCAGAACUAACAAGAAUGAUAACGUGCUCCGACUGGCGCGGUUUAGGAACUGCUGGAAGGCUCUAGGGGAAUAAAGAUGGAAAGACUUCUAAUUUUUAGGUCCGUAUGAUUUGAAAUACUUGCACACAAACCGCACGAAAGCGUUCCUGGAAAUCUCAGCCUAAAAAGGAUGUUUAGUAAUUCUAAAAGGGACUACAAGAUGAAAAAUAAUAGUUUGGGCAGUUAAAAUUUGAGAUUCGACGAUGCCGUAGAUCCGUUUGGUCAUCAGGUGUUAUGAGCCACACCCAUGUCUAGCUAGAAUAGUGUGUUAGGCUCAGGCUAGAGAAGAAACGGGGAACAAACUGAUGAAAGAAUGAUCAUACCGAGGGAAUUCACUCAGAACUAACAAGAAUGAUAACGUGCUCCGACUGGAGCAGUUUAGAAACUGCUGGAAGGCUCUAAUGGAAUAAAGAUGGAAUGCCUUCAAAUUUCUAGGUCCGUAUGAUUUGAAAUACUUGCACACAAACCGCUCGAAAGCGUUCCUGGAAAUCUCAGCCCAAAAAAGGACGUUUAGUAAUUCUAAAAGGGACUACAGGAUGAAAAACAAUAGUUUUGGCAGUUAAAGUUUGAGAUUCGAUGGUGCCGUAGAUCCGUUUGGUCAUCAGGUGUAACGAGCCACACACAUGUCUAGCUAGAGUAGUGUGCUAGGCUCAGACUAGAGAAGAAACGGGGAACAAAGUGAUGAAAGAAUGAUCAUACCGAGGGAAUUCACUCAGAACUUACAAGAAUGAUAACGUGCUCCGACUGGAGCGCUUUAGUAACUGCUGGAAGGCUCUAGGCGAAUAAAGAUGGAAUGACUUCUAAUUUUUAGGUCCGUAUGAUUUGAAAUACUUGCACACAAACCACGCAAAACCGUUCCUAGAAAUCUCGGUCGAAAAAAGGACGUUUAGUAAUUCUAAAAGGGACUACAGGAUGAAAAACAAUAGUUUUGGCAGUUAAAGUUUGAGAUUCGAUGGUGCCGUAGAUCCGUUUGGUCAUCAGGUGUUACGAGCCACACCCAUGUCUAGCUAGAGUAGUGUGCUAGGUUCAGACUAGAGAAGAAACGGGGAACAAAGUGAUUAAAGAAUGAUCAUACCGAGGGAAUUCACUCAGAACUAACAAGAAUGAUAACGUGCUCCGACUGGAGCGGUUUAGGAACUGCUGGAAGGCUCUAGGGGAAUAAAGAUGGAAUGACUUCUAAUUUUUACGUCCGUAUGAUUUGAAAUACAUGCACACAAACCACGCAAAAGCGUUCCUGGAAAUCUCAGCCUAAAAAAGGACGUUUAGUAAUUCUAAAAGGGACUACAGGAUGAAAAAUAAUAGUUUGGGCAGUUAAAAUUUGAGAUUCGACGCUGCCGUAGAUCCGUUUGGUCAUCAGGUCUUACGAGCCACACCCAUGUCUAGCUAGAAUAGUGUGUUAGGCUCAGGCUAGAGAAGAAACGGGGAACAAACUGAUGAAAGAAUGAUCAUACCGAGGGAAUUCACUCAGAACUAACAAGAAUGAUAACGUGCUCCGACUGGAGCAGUUUAGAAACUCCUGGAAGGCUCUAGGGGAAUAAAGAUGGAAUGACUUCAAAGUUUUAGGUCCGUAUGAUUUGAAAUACUUGCACACAAACCGCGUGAAAGCGUUCCUGGAAAUCUCAACCCAAAAAAGGGCGUUUAGUAAUUCUAAAAGGGACUACAGGAUGUAAAACAAUAGUUUUGGCAGUUAAAGUUUGAGAUUCGAUGGUGCCGUAGAUCCGUUUGGUCAUCAGGUGUAACGAGCCACACCCAUGUCUAGCUAGAGUAGUGUGCUAGGCUCAGACUAGAGAAGAAACGGGGAACAAAGUGAUGAAAGAAUGAUCAUACCGAGGGAAUUCACUCAUAACUAACAAGAAUGAUAACGUGCUCUGACUUGAGCGGUUUAGGAACUGCUGGAAGGCUAUAGGGGAAUAAAGAUGGAAUGACUUCAAAUUUUUAGGUCCGUAUGAUCUGAAAUACUUGCACACAAACCGCGAGAAAGCGUUCCUGGAAAUCUCAACCCAAAAAAGGACGUUUAGUAAUUCUAAAAGGGACUACAGGAUGAAAAACAAUAGUUCUGGCAGUUAUUGUUUGAGAUUCGAUAAUCUCGUAGAUCCGUUUGGUCAUCAGGUGUAACGAGCCACACCCAUGUCUAGCUAGAGUAGUGUGCUAGGCUCAGACUAGAGAAGAAACGGGGAACAAACUGAUGAAAGAAUGAUCAUACCGAGGGAAUUCACUUAGAACUAACAAGAAUGAUAACGUGCUCCGACUGGAGCGGUUUAGGAACUGCUGGAAGGCUCUAGGGGAAUAAAGAAGGAACGACUUCUAAUUUUUAGGUCCGUAUGAUUUGAAAUAUGUGCACACAAACCACGAGAAAGCGUUCCUAGAAAUCUCGGCCCAAAAGAGGACGUUUAGUAUUCUAAAAGGGACUACAGAAUGAAAAACAAUAGUUUUGGCAGUUAAAGUUUGAGAUUUGACGGUGCCGUAGAUCUGUUUGGUCAUCAGGGGUUACGAGCCACACCCAUGUCUAGCUAGAAUAGUGUGUUAGGCUCAGGCUAGAAAAGAAACGGGGAACAAAGUGAUGAAAGAAUGAUCAUACCGAGGGAAUUCACUCAGAACUAACAAGAAUGAUAACAUGCUCCGACUGGAGCGGUUUAGGAACUGCUGGAAGGCUCUAGGGGAAUAAAGAUGGAAUGACUUCUAAUUUUUAGGUCCGUAUGAUUUGAAAUACUUGCACACAAACCGCGCGAAAGCGUUCCUGGAAAUCUCAGCCCAAAAAAGGACGUUUAGUAAUUCUAAAAGGGACUACAGGAUGAAAAACAAUAGUUUUGGCAGUUAAAGUAUGAGAUUCAACGGUGCCGUAGAUCCGUUUGGUCAUUAGGUGUUACGAGCCACACCCAUGUCUAGCUAGAAUAGUGUGCUAGGCUCAGGCUAGAGAAGAAACGGGGAACAAACUGAUGAAAGAAUGAUCAAACCGAGGGAAUUCACUCAGAACUAACAAUAAUGAUAACGUGCUCCGACUGGAGCGGUUUAGGAACUGCUGGAAGUCUCUAGGGGAAUAAAGAUGGAAUGACUUCUAAUUUUUACGUUCGUAUGAUUUGAAAAACUUGCCCAUAAACCGCGCGAAAGUGUUCCUGGAAAUCUCAGCCCAAAAAAGGACGUUUAGUAAUUUUAAAAGGGACUACACGAUGAAAAACAAUAGUUUUGGCAGGUAAAGUUUGAGAUUCGACAGUGCCGUAGAUCCGUUUGGUCAUCAGGUGUUACGAGCCACACCCAUGUCUAGCUAGAAUAGUAUGUUACGCUCAGGUUAGAGAAGAAACGGGGAACAAACUGAUGAAAGAUGAUCAUACCAAGGGAAUUCACUCAGAACUAACAAGAAUGAUAACGUGCUCCGACUGGAGCGGUUUAGGAACUGCUGGAAGGCUCUAGGGGAAUAAAGAUGGAAUGACUUCUAAUUUUUACGUCUGUAUGAUUUGAAAUACUUGCACACAAACAACGCAAAAGCAUUCCUGGAAAUCUCAUCCUAAAAAAGGACGUUUAGUAAUUCUAAAAGGGACUACAGGAUGAAAAAUAAUAGUUUGGGAAGUUAAAAUUUGAGAUUCGAUAGUGCCGUAGAUCCGUUUGGUCAUCAGGUGUUAGGAGCCACACCCAUGUCUAGCUAGAAUAGUGUGUUAGGCUCAGGCUAGAGAAGAAACAGGGAACAAACUGAUGAAAGAAUGAUCAUACCGAGGGAAUUCACUCAGAACUAGCAAGAAUGAUAACGUGCUCCGACUGGAGCAGUUUUGAAACUGCUGGAAGGCUCUAGGGGAAUAAUGAUGGAAUGACUUCUAAGUUUUUGGUCCGUAUGAUUUGAAAUACGUGCACACAAACCCAGAGAAAGUGUUCUUGGAAAUCUCGGCCGAAAAAAGGAUGUUUAAUAAUUCUAAAAGGGACUACAGGAUGAAAAACAAUAGUUUUGGCAGUUAAAGUUUGUGAUUCGAUGGUGCUGUAGAUCUGUUUGGUCAUCAGGUGUUAUGAGCCACACCCAUGUCUAGCUAGAACAGUGUGUUAGGCUCAGGCUAGAGCAGAAACGGGGAACAAACUUAUGAAAGAAUGAUCAUACCGAGGGAAUUCACUCAGAACUAACAAGAAUGAUAACGUGCUCCGACUGGAGAGGUUUAGGAACUGCUGGAAGGCUCUAGGGGAAUAAAGAUGGAAUGACUUCAAAUUUUUAGGUCUGUAUGAUCUGAAAUACUUGCACACAAACCGCGAGAAAGCGUUCCUGGAAAUCUCAGCCCAAAAAAGGACGUUUAGUGAUUCUAAAAGGGACUACGGGAUAAAAAACAAUAGUUUUGGCAGUUAAAGUUUGAGAUUCGAUAAUGCCGUAGAUCCGUUUGGUCAUCAGGUGUAACGAGCCACACCCAUGUCUAGCUAGAGUAGUGUGCUAGGCUCAUACUAGAGAAGAAAUGGGGAACAAACUGAUGAAAGAAUGAUCAUACCGAGGGAGUUCACUCAAAACUAACAUGAAUGAUAACGUGCUCCGACUGGAGCGGUUUAGGAACUGCUGGAAGGCUCUAGGGGAAUAAAGAUGGAAUGACUUCUAAUUUUUAGGUCCGUAUGAUUUGAAAUACAUGCACACAAACCCCAAGAAAGCGUUCCUGGAAAUCUCGCCCCGAAAAACGACGUUUAGUAAUUCUAAAAGGGACUAUAGGAUGAAAAACAAUAGUUUUGGCAGUUAAAGUUUGAGAUUUGACGGUGCCGUAGAUCUGUUUGGUCAUCAGGUGUUACGAGCCACACCCAUUUCUAGCUAGAAUAGUGUGUUAGGCUCAGGCUAGAAAAGAAACGGGGAACAAAGUGAUGAAAGAAUGAUCAUACCGAGGGAAUUCACUCAGAACUAACAAGAAUGAUAACAUGGUCCGACUGGAGCGGUUUAGGAACUGCUGGAAGGCUCUAGGGGAAUAAAGAUGGAAUGACUUCUAACUUUUAGGUCCGUAUGAUUUGAAUUACUUGCACACAAACCGCGCGAAAGCGUUCCUGGAAAUCUCAGCCCAAAAAAGGACGUUUAGUAAUUCUAAAAGGGACUACAGGAUGAAAAACAAUAGUUUUGGCAGUUAAAGUUUGAGAUUCGACGGUGCCGUAGAUCCGUUUGGUCAGCAGGUGUUACGAGCCACACCCAUGUCUAGCUAGAGUAGUGUGCUAGGUUCAGACUAGAGAAGAAAUGUUGGGGAACGUAGCAGAAAUUCAAAAUUUUCCUACGUGUCACCAAGAUCUAUCUAUGGAGAGACUAGCAACGAGGGAAGGAGAGUGCAUCUACAUACCCUUGUAGAUCGCUAAGCGGAAGCGUUCAAGUGAACGGGGUUGAUGGAGUCGUACUCGUCGUGAUUCAGCUCACCGAUGAUCCUAGUGCCGAACGGACGGCACCUCCGCGUUCAACACACGUACAGCUCGACGAUGUCUCCCACGCCUUGAUCCAGCAAGGAGAGAGGGAGAGGUUGAGGAAGACUCCAUCCAGCAGAAGCACAACGGCGUGGUGGUGAUGGAGGAGCAUGGCAAUCCUGCAGGGCUUCGCCAAGCACCUAUGGGAGAGGAGGAGGUGUCACGGGAGGGAGGGAGGCGCCAAGGGCUCAGGUAUAGAUGCCCUCCCUCCCCUCCACUAUAUAUAGGGGCAAGGGAGAGGGGGGAGGCGCAGCCUUGCCCCUUCCUCCAAGGAAGGGGUGCGGCUAAGAGGGGGGGAGGAGUCCAUCCUCCCCAAGGCACCUCGGAGGUGCCUUCCCCCUUUAGGACUCUCCCCUUUUUCCUAUAUCUUGGCGCAUGGGCCUCUAGGGGCUGGUUCCCUUGGCCCAUGUAGGCCCAGGCGCACCCCCUACAGCCCAUGUGGCCCCCCGGGGCAGGUGGCCCCACCUGGUGGGCCCCCGGGACCCUUCCGGUGGUCCCGGUACAAUACCGAUGACCCCGAAACUUGUCCCGAUGGCCGAAACAGGACUUCCUAUAUAUAAAUCUUUACCUCCGGACAAUUCCGGAACUCCUCGUGACGUCCGGGAUCUCAUCCGGGACUCCGAACAACAUUCGGUAACCACAUACAAACUUCCUUUAUAACCCUAGCGUCAUCGAACCUUAAGUGUGUAGACCCUACGGGUUCGGGAGACAUGUAGUCAUGACCGAGAUGUUCUCCGGUCAAUAACCAACAGCGGGAUCUGGAUACCCAUGUUGGCUCCCACAUGUUCCACGAUGAUCUCAUCGGAUGAACCACGAUGUCAAGGACUCAAUCAAUCCCGUAUACAAUUCCCUUUGUCUAGCGGUAUGGUACUUGCCCGAGAUUCGAUCGUCGGUAUACCGAUACCUUGUUCAAUCUCGUUACCGGCAAGUCUCUUUACUCAUUUCGUAACACAUCAUCCCGUGAUCAACCCCUUGGUCACAUUGUGCACAUUAUGAUGAUGUCCUACCGAGUGGGCCCAGAGAUACCUCUCCGUUUACACGGAGUGACAAAAUCCCAAUCUCGAUUCGUGCCAACCCAACAGACACUUUCAGAGAUACCCGUAGUGUACCUUUACAGCCACCCAGUUACGUUGUGACGUUUGGCACACCCAAAGCACUCCUACAGUAUCCGGGAGUUGCACAAUCUCAUGGUCUAAGGAAAUGAUACUUGACAUUAGAAAAGCUUUAGCAUACGAACUACAUGAUCUUGUGCUAGGCUUAGGAUUGGGUCUUGUCCAUCACAUCAUUCUCCUAAUGAUGUGAUCCCGUUAUCAACGACAUCCAAUGUCCAUGGUCAGGAAACCGUAACCAUCUAUUGAUUAACGAGCUAGUCAACUAGAGGCUUACUAGGGACAUGGUGUUGUCUAUGUAUCCACACAUGUAUCUAAGUUUCCUAUCAAUACAAUUCUAGCAUGGAUAAUAAACGAUUAUCAUGAACAAGGAAAUAUAAUAAUAAUCAAUUUAUUAUUGCCUCUAGGGCAUAUUUCCAACAGUCUCCCACUUGCACUAGAGUCAAUAAUCUAGUUCACAUCGAUAUGUGAUUAACACUCAAGGUCACAUUCCCAUGUGACUAACACCCAAGAGUUUACUAGAGUCAAUAAUCUAGUUCACAUUUACCAUGUGAUUAACACUUGAUGAGUUCUGGGUUUGAUCAUGUUAUGCUUGUGAGAGAGGUUAUAGUCAACGGGUCUGAACCUUUCAGAUCCGUGUGUGCUUUACAAAUCUCUAUGUCAUCUCCUAGAUGCAGCUACCACGUUCUAUUUGGAGCUAUUCCAAAUAACUGUUCUACUUGGAGCUAUUCUAAAUUGUUGCUCCAUUAUACGUAUCCGGUAUCUCUACUCAGAGCUAUCCGGAUAGGUGUUAAGCUUGCAUCGACGUAACCCUUUACGACGAACUCUUUUACCACCUCCAUAAUUGAGAAAAUUCCUUAGUCCACUAGUUACUAAGGAUAACUUUGACCGCUGUCCUGUGAUCCAUUCUUGGAUCACUCUUGUACCCCUUGACUGACUCAUGGUAAAGCACACUUCAGGUGCGGUACACAGCAUAGCAUACUGUAGAGCCUAUGUCUUAAGCAUAGGGGACGACCUUCGUUCCUUUCUCUCUAUUCUGCCAUGGUCGAGCUUUAAGUCUUAACUUCAUACCUUACAACUCAGGCAAGAACUCCUUCUUUGACUGAUCCAUCUUGAACACCUUCAAGAUCACGUCAAGGCAUGUGCUCACGUCAAGAUCACGUCGGUAUACCGAUACCUUGUUCAAUCUCGUUACCGGCAAGUCUCUUUACUCGUUCCGUAACACAUCAUCCCGUGAUCAACCCCUUGGUCACAUUGUGCACAUUAUGAUGAUGUCCUACCGAGUGGGCCCAGAGAUACCUCUCCGUUUACACGGAGUGACAAAAUCCCAAUCUCGAUUCGUGCCAACCCAACAGACACUUUCAGAGAUACCCGUAGUGUACCUUUAUAGCCACCCAGUUACGUUGUGACGUUUGGCACACCCAAAGCACUCCUACGGUAUCCGGGAGUUGCACAAUCUCAUGGUCUAAGGAAAUGAUACUUGACAUUAGAAAAGCUUUAGCAUACGAACUACAUGAUCUUGUGCUAGGCUUAGGAUUGGGUCUUGUCCAUCACAUCAUUCUCCUAAUGAUGUGAUCCCGUUAUCAACGACAUCCAAUGUCCAUGGUCAGGAAACCGUAACCAUCUAUUGAUUAACGAGCCAGUCAACUAGAGGCUUACUAGGGACAUGGUGUUGUCUAUGUAUCCACACAUGUAUCUGAGUUUCCUAUCAAUACAAUUCUAGCAUGGAUAAUAAACGAUUAUCAUGAACAAGGAAAUAUAAUAAUAAUCAAUUUAUUAUUGCCUCUAGGGCAUAUUUCCAACAGUCUCCCACUUGCACUAGAGUCAAUAAUCUAGUUCACAUCACCAUGUGAUUAACACUGACAGGUCACAUCACCAUGUGACCAACAUCCAAAGAGUCUUGGGUUUGAUCAUGUUGCUUGUGAGAGAGGUUAUAGUCAACGGGUCUGAACCUUUCAGAUCCGUGUGUGCUUUACAAAUCUCUAUGUCAUCUCCUAGAUGCAGCUACCACGUUCUAUUUGGAGCUAUUCCAAAUAACUGUUCUACUUGGAGCUAUUCUAAAUUGUUGCUCCAUUAUACGUAUCCGGUAUCUCUACUCAGAGCUAUCCGGAUAGGUGUUAAGCUUGCAUCGACGUAACCCUUUACGACGAACUCUUUUACCACCUCCAUAAUUGAGAAAAUUCCUUAGUCCACUAGUUACUAAGGAUAACUUUGACCGCUGUCCUGCGAUCCAUUCUUGGAUCACCCUUGUACCCCUUGACUGACUCAUGGUAAAGCACACUUCAGGUGCGGUACACAGCAUAGCAUACUGUAGAGCCUAUGUCUUAAGCAUAGGGGAUGACCUUCGUUCCUUUCUCUCUAUUCUGCCAUGGUCGAGCUUUAAGUCUUAACUUCAUACCUUACAACUCAGGCAAGAACUCCUUCUUUGACUGGUCCAUCUUGAACACCUUCAAGAUCAUGUCAAGGUAUGUGCUCAUUUGAAAGUACUAUUAAGCGUUUUGAUCUAUCCUUAUAGAUCUUGAUGCUCAAUGUUCAAGUAGCUUAAUCCAGGUUUUCCAUUGAAAACACUUUCCAAAUAACCCUAUAUGCUUUCCAGAAAUUCUACGUCAUUUCUGAUCAUUAAUAUGUCAACAACAUAUAAUCAUCAGAAAUUCUAUAGUGCUCCCACUCACUUCUUUGGAAAUACAAGUUUCUCAUAAACUUUGUAUACACCCAAAAUCUUUGAUCAUCAUCAAAGCAUACAUUCCAACUCCGAGAUGCUCACUCCAGUCCUCAGAAGGAUUGCUGGAGCUUUGCAUACUUAUUAGCAUAUUUCAGGAUAGACAAAACCUUCCAGUUGUAUCACAUACAACCUUUCCUCAAGAAUCGUCGACGAAACAAUGUUUUGACAUCCUAUCUGCAAGAUUUCAUAAAUAAUGCAGUAAUUGUUAAUAUAAUUCCAACAGACUCUUAGCAUCGCUACGAGUGAGAAAGUCUCAUUGUAGUCAACUCCUUGAACUUGUCAAAAAACAUCUUAACGACAAGUCGAGCUUUCUCAAUGGUGACACUUACCAUCAUUGUCUGUCUUCCUUUCAAAAUCCAUAUGUACCUAACAGCCUUACGACCAUCAAGUAGUUCUUCCAAAGUCUACACUUUGUUUUCAUACAUGGAUCCUCUCUCGGGUUUUAUGGCCAUGAGCCAUUUAUCGGAAUCCGGGCCCACCAUUGCUUCUCCAUAGCUCGUAGGUUCAUUGUUGUCUAGCAACAUGACUUCCAAGACAGGAUUACUGUACCACUCUGAAGUAGUACGUAUCCUUGUCACCCUACGAGGUUUGGGAGUGACUUGAUCUGAAGUUUCAUGAUCACUAUCAUAAGCUUCUACUUCAAUUGGUGUAGGUGCCACAGGAACAACUUCCUGUGCCCUGCUACACACUGGUUGAAGUGAUGGUUCAAUAACCUCAUCAAGUCUCCACCAUCCUCCCACUCAAUUCUUUCGAGAGAAACCUUUCCUCGAGAAAGGACCCAAUUCUAGAAACAAUUCAUAUUGCUUUCGGAUCUGAAUUAGGAAGUAUACCCAACUGUUUUGGGUGUCCUAUGAAGAUGUACUUUAUCCGCUUUGGUUUCGAGCUUAAUCCUGAAACUUUUUCACAUAAGUGUCGCAGCCCCAAACCUUUAAGAAACGACAACUUAGGUUUCUCUAAACCAUAAUUCAUACGGUGUCAUCUCAUCGGAAUUACGUGGUGCCCUAUUUAAAGUGAAUGUGGUUGUCUUUAAUGCCUAACCCAUAAACUAUCGUGGCAGUUCGAUAAGAGACAUCAUGGUAUGCAUCAUAUCCAAUAGGGUGCAACUAUGAUGUUCGGACACACCAUCACACUAUGGUGUUCCAGGCGGUAUUAAUUGUGAAACAAUUUCCACAAUGUCUUAAUUGUGUGCCAAAACUCGUAACUCAGAUACUCAUCUCUAUGAUCAUAUCAUAGACAUUUUAUCCUCUUGUCACAAUGAUCUUCUACUUCACUCUGAAAUUACUUGAACCAUUCAACAAUUCAGACUUGUGUUUCAUCAAGUAAAUAUUCUCAACAUCUACUCGAAUCAUCUGUGAAGUAAGAACAUAACGAUAUUCACUGCAUGCCUCAGCACUCAUUGGACUGCACACAUCAAAAUGUGUUACUUCCAACAAGUUGCUAUCUUGUUCCAUCUUACUGAAAACGAGGCUUUUCAGUCAUCUUGCCCAUGUGGUAUGAUUUGCAUGUCCCAAGUGAUUCAAAAAUCAAGUGAGUCAAAACGGUCCAUUUGCAUGGAGUUUCUUCAUGCAUAUACACCAAUAGACAUGGUUCGCAUGUCUCAAACUUUUCAAAAACGAGUGAGCCCAAAGAUCCAUCAAUAUGGAGCUUCUUCAUGCGUUUUAUACCGAUAUGACUUACGUGGUAGUGCCACAAGUAGGUGGUACUAUCAUUACUAUCUUUUGGCAUGAACAUGUGUAUCACUACGAUCGAGAUUUAAUAAACCAUUCAUUUUAGGUGUAAGACCAUUGAAGGUAUUAUUCAAAUAAACAGAGUAACCAUUAUUCUCCUUAAAUGAAUAACCGUAUUGCGAUAGACGUAAUCCAAUCAUGUCUAUGCUCAACGCAAACACCAAAUAACAAUUAUUUAGGUUUAACACCAAUCUCUUUGGUAGAGGGAGCGUGCGAUGCUUGAUCAUAUCAAGCAUGGAAAAACUUACAACACAUAUCGUCAGCUCACCUUUAGCUAGUCUCUGUUUAUUCCGUAGCCUUUUGUUUCGAGUUACUAACACUUAGCAACCGAACUGGUAUCUAAUACCCUGGUGCUACUAGGAGUACUAGCAAAGUACACAUUAACACAAUGUAUAUCCAAUAUACUUCUAUCGACCUUGCCAGCCUUCUUAUCUACCAAGUAUCUAGGGUAAUUCUGCUCUAGUAGUUGUUCCCCUUAUUACAGAAGCACUUAGUCUCGGGUUUGGGUUUUACCUUGGGUUUCUUCACUAGAGCAGCAGCUGAUUUGCCGUUUCAUGAAGUAUCCCUUCUUGCCCUUGCCCUUCUUGAAACUAGUGGUUCCACCAACCAUCAACAAUUGAUGCUCCUUCUUGAUUUCUACUUUCGCGGUGUCAAACAUCGCGAAUACCUCAAGGAUCAUCAUAUCUAUCCCUGAUAUGUUAUAGUUCAUCAUGAAGCUCUAACAGCUUGGUGGCAAUGACUUUGGAGAACCAUCACUAUCUCAUCUGGAAGAUCAACUCCCACUCGAUUCAAGCGAUUGUUGUACUCAGACAAUCUGAGCACAAGCUCAACGAUUGAGCUUUUCUCCCUUAGUUUGCAGGUUAAGAAAGUCAUCGGAGGUCUUAUACCUCUUGACAUGGGCACGAGCCUGAAAUCCCAAUUUCAGCCCUCAAAACAUCUCAUAUGUUUCGCGAUGUUUCAAAAACGUCUUUGGUGCCUCAACUCUAAACCGUUUAACUGAACUAUCACGUAGUUAUCAAAACGUGUAUGUCAGAUGUUCGCAACAACCACAGACAACGUUCGAGGUUCAGCACACUGAGCGGUGCAUUAAGGACAUAAGCCUUCUAUGAAGCAAUGAGGACAAUCCUCAGUUUACGGACCUAGUCCGCAUAAUUGCUACUAUCAACUUUCAACUAAUUUUUCUCUAGGAACAUAUCUAAACAGUAGAACUAUAGCGUGAGCUACGACAUAAUUUGCAAAAACCUUUUGACUAUGUUCAGGAUAAUUAAGUUCAUCUUAUGAACUCCCACUCAGAUAGACAUCCCUCUAGUCAUCUAAGUGAUUACAUGAUCCGAGUCAAACUAGGCCGUGUCCGAUCAUCACGUGAGACGGACUAGUCAUCAUCGGUGAACAUCUUCAUGUUGAUCGUAUCUUCUAUACGACUCAUGUUCGACCUUUCGGUCUUCGUGUUCCGAGGCCAUGUAUGUACAUGCUAGGCUCGUCAAGUUAACCCUAAGUGUUUCGCGUGUGUAAAUCUGUCUUACACCCGUUGUAUGUGAACGUUAGAAUCUAACACCCGAUCAUCACGUGGUGCUUCGAAACACGAACUGUCGCAACGGUGCACAGUUAGGGGAGAACACUUCUUGAAAUUGUUGUAAGGGAUCAUCUUAUUUACUACCGUCGUUCUAAGCAAAUAAGAUGUAUAAACAUGAUAAACAUCACAUGCAAUCAAAUAGUGACAUGAUAUGGCCAUCAUCACUUUGCUCCUUUUGAUCUCCAUCUUCGGGGCUCCAUGAUCAUCAUCGUCACCGGCAUGACACCAUGAUCUCCAUCAUCAUGAUCUCCAUCAUCGUGUCUUCAUGAAGUUGCCUCGCCAACUAUUACUUCUACUACUAUGGCUAACGGUUAGCAAUAAAGUAAAGUAAUUACAUGACGUUUAAGUUGACACGCAGGUCACAAAUGAAUAAAGACAACUCCUAUGGCUCCUGCCGGUUGUCAUACUCAUCGACAUGCAAGUCGUGAUUCCUAUUACAAGAACAUGAUCAAUCUCAUACAUCACAUAUAUCAUUCAUCACAUCCUUUUUGGCCAUAUCACAUCACAUAGCAUACCCUGCAAAAACAAGUUAGACGUCCUCUAAUUGUUGUUUGCAUGUUUUACGUGGCUGCUAUGGGUUUCUAGCAAGAACGUUUCUUACCUACGCAUGAACAACAACGUGAUAUGCCAAUUGCUAUUUACCCUUCAUAAGGACCCUUUUCAUCGAAUCCGAUCCGACUAAAGUGGGAGAGACAGACACCCGCCAGCCACCUUAUGCAACUAGUGCAUGUUUGUCGGUGGAACCGGUCUCACGUAAGCGUACGUGUAAGGUUGGUCCGGGCCGCUUCAUCCCACGAUGCCGCCGAAUCAAGAUAAGACUAGUAACGGCAAGCAUAUUGAACAAUAUCAACGCCCACAACUACUUUGUGUUCUACUCGUGCAAAGAAUCUACGCAAUAGACCUAGCUCAUGAUGCCACUGUUGGGGAACGUAGCAGAAAUUCAAAAUUUUCCUACGUGUCACCAAGAUCUAUCUAUGGAGAUACUAGCAACGAGGGAAGGAGAGUGCAUCUACAUACCCUUGUAGAUCGCUAAGCGGAAGCGUUCAAGUGAACGGGGUUGAUGGAGUCGUACUCGUCGUGAUUCAGAUCACCGAUGAUCCUAGUGCCGAACGGACGGCACCUCCGCGUUCAACACACGUACAGCUCGACGAUGUCUCCCACGCCUUGAUCCAGCAAGGAGAGAGGGAGAGGUUGAGGAAGACUCCAUCCAGCAGCAGCACAACGGCGUGGUGGUGAUGGAGGAGCGUGGCAAUCCUGCAGGGCUUCGCCAAGCACCUACGGGAGAGGAGGAGGUGUCACGGGAGGGAGGGAGGCGCCAAGGGCUCAGGUAUAGAUGCCCUCCCUCCCCUCCACUAUAUAUAGGGGCAAGGGAGAGGGGGAGGCGCAUCCUUGCCCCUUCCUCCAAGGAAGGGGUGCGGCUAAGAGGGGGGGAGGAGUCCAUCCUCCCCAAGGCACCUCGGAGGUGCCUUCCCCCUUUAGGACUCUCCCCUUUUUCCUAUAUCUUGGCGCAUGGGCCUCUAGGGGCUGGUGCCCUUGGCCCAUGUAGGCCAAGGCGCACCCCCCUACAGCCCAUGUGGCCCCCCGGGGCAGGUGGCCCCACCCGGUGGGCCCCCGGGACCCUUCCGGUGGUCCCGGUACAAUACCGAUGACCCCGAAACUUGUCCCGAUGGCCGAAACAGGACUUCCUAUAUAUAAAUCUUUACCUCCGGACCAUUCCGGAACUCCUCGUGACGUCCGGGAUCUCAUCCGGGACUCCGAACAACAUUCGGUAACCACAUACAAACUUCCUUUAUAACCCUAGCGUCAUCGAACCUUAAGUGUGUAGACCCUACGGGUUCGGGAGACAUGUAGUCAUGACCGAGAUGUUCUCCGGUCAAUAACCAACAGCGGGAUCUGGAUACCCAUGUUGGCUCGCACAUGUUCCACGAUGAUCUCAUCGGAUGAACCACGAUGUCAAGGACUCAAUCAAUCCCGUAUACAAUUCCCUUUGUCUAGCGGUAUGGUACUUGCCCGAGAUUCGAUCGUCGGUAUACCGAUACCUUGUUCAAUCUCGUUACCGGCAAGCCUCUUUACUCGUUCCGUAACACAUCAUCCCGUGAUCAACCCCUUGGUCACAUUGUGCACAUUAUGAUGAUGUCCUACCGAGUGGGCCCAGAGAUACCUCUCCGUUUACACGGAGUGACAAAAUCCCAAUCUCGAUUCGUGCCAACCCAACAGACACUUUCAGAGAUACCCGUAGUGUACCUUUAUAGCCACCCAGUUACGUUGUGACGUUUGGCACACCCAAAGCACUCCUACGGUAUCCGGGAGUUGCACAAUCUCAUGGUCUAAGGAAAUGAUACUUGACAUUAGAAAAGCUUUAGCAUACGAACUACAUGAUCUUGUGCUAGGCUUAGNNNNNNNNNNUGAUCAACCCCUUGGUCACAUUGUGCACAUUAUGAUGAUGUCCUACCGAGUGGGCCCAGAGAUACCUCUCCGUUUACACGGAGUGACAAAAUCCCAAUCUCGAUUCGUGCCAACCCAACAGACAUUUUCAGAGAUACCCGUAGUGUACCUUUAUAGCCACCCAGUUACGUUGUGACGUUUGGCACACCCAAAGCACUCCUACGGUAUCCGGGAGUUGCACAAUCUCAUGGUCUAAGGAAAUGAUACUUGACAUUAGAAAAGCUUUAGCAUACGAACUACAUGAUCUUGUGCUAGGCUUAGGAUUGGGUCUUGUCCAUCACAUCAUUCUCCUAAUGAUGUGAUCCCGUUAUCAACGACAUCCAAUGUCCAUGGUCAGGAAACCGUAACCAUCUAUUGAUUAACGAGCUAGUCAACUAGAGGCUUACUAGGGACAUGGUGUUGUCUAUGUAUCCACACAUGUAUCUGAGUUUCCUAUCAAUACAAUUCUAGCAUGGAUAAUAAACGAUUAUCAUGAACAAGGAAAUAUAAUAAUAAUCAAUUUAUUAUUGCCUCUAGGGCAUAUUUCCAACAAGAAACGGGGAACAAACUGAUGAAAGAAUGAUCAUACCGAGGGAAUUCACUCAGAACUAACAAGAAUGAUAACGUGCUUUGACUGGAGCGGUUUAAAAACUGCUGGAAGGCUCUAGGGGAAUAAAGAUGGAAUGCCUUCAAAUUUCUAGGUCCGUAUGAUUUGAAAUACUUGCACACAAACCGCGCGAAAGCGUUCCUGGAAAUCUCAGCCCAAAAAAGGACGUUUAGUAAUUCUAAAAGGGACUACAGAAUGAAAAACAAUAGUUUUGGCAGUUAAAGUUUGAGAUUCGAUGGUGCCGUAGAUCCGUUUGGUCAUCAGGUGUAACGAGCCACACCCAUGUCUAGCUAGAGUAGUGUGCUAGGCUCAGGCUAGAGAAGAAACGGGGAACAAACUGAUGAAAGAAUGAUCAUACCGAGGGAAUUCACUCAGAACUAACAAGAAUGAUAACGUGCUCCGACUGGAGCGGUUUAGGAACUGCUGGAAGGCUCUAGGGGAAGAAAGAAGGAAUGACUUCUAAUUUUUAGGUCCGUAUGAUUUGAAAUACGUGCACACAAACCGCGCGAAAGCGUUCCUGGAAAUCUCAGCCCAAAAAAGGACGUUUAGUAUUCUAAAAGGGACUACAGAAUGAAAAACAAUAGUUUUGGCAGUUAAAGUUUGAGAUUCGACGGUGCCGUAGAUCCGUUUGGUCAUCAGGUGUUACGAGCCACACCCAUGUCUAGCUAGAAUAGUGUGCNNNNNNNNNNNNNNNNNNNNNNNNNCGUAUGAUUUGAAAUACGUGCACACAAACCGCGCGAAAGCGUUCCUGGAAAUCUCAGCCCAAAAAAGGACGUUUAGUAUUCUAAAAGGGACUACAGAAUGAAAAACAAUAGUUUUGGCAGUUAAAGUUUGAGAUUCGACGGUGCUGUAGAUCCGUUUGGUCAUCAGGUGUUACGAGCCACACCCAUGUCUAGCUAGAAUAGUGUGCUAGGCUCAGGCUAGAGAAGAAAAGGGGAACAAACUAAUGAAAGAAUGAUCAAUACGAGGGAAUUCACUCAGAACUAACAAUAAUGAUAACGUGCUCCGACUGGAGCGGUUUAGGAACUGCUGGAAGGCUCUAGGCGAAUAAAGAUGGAAUGACUUCUAAUUUUUACGUCCGUAUGAUUUGAAAUACUUGCACACAAACCACGCAAAAGCGUUCCUGGAAAUCUCGGCCUAAAAAGGACGUUUAGUAAUUCUAAAAGGGACUACAGGAUGAAAAAUAAUAGUUUGGGCAGUUAAAAUUUGAGAUUCGACGGUGCCGUAGAUCCGUUUGGUCAUCAGGUGUUACGAGCCACACCCAUGUCUAGCUAGAAUAGUGUGUUAGGCUCAGGCUAGAGAAGAAACGAGGAACAAACUGAUGAAAGAAUGAUCAUACCAAGGGAAUUCACUCAGAACUAACAAGAAUGAUAACGUGCUCCGACUGGAGCAGUUUAGAAACUGCUGGAAGGCUCUAGGGGAAUAAAGAUGGAAUGACUUCUGAUUUUUAGGUCCGUAUGAUUUGAAAUACGUGCACACAAACCCCGCGAAAGCGUUCCUGGAAAUCUCAGCCCAAAAAAGGACGUUUAGUAAUUCUAAAAGGGACUACAACAUGAAAAACAAUAGUUUUGGCAGUUAAAGUUUGAGAUUUCAUGGUGCCGUAGAUCUGUUUGGUCAUCAGGUGUUACGAGCCACACCCAUGUCUAGCUAGAAUAGUGUGUUAGGCUCAGGCUAGAAAAGAAACGGGAAACAAAGUGAUGAAAGAAUGACCAUACCGAGGGAAUUCACUCAGAACUAACAAGAAUGAUAACAUGCUCCGACUUGAGCGGUUUAGGAACUGCUGGAAGGCUCUAGGGGAAUAAAGAUGGAAUGACUUCUAAUGUUUAGGUCCGUAUGAUUUGAAAUACUUGCACAUAAACCGCACAAAAGCGUUCCUGGAAAUCUCAGCCCAAAAAAGGACGUUUAGUAAUUCUAAAAGGGACUACAGGAUGAAAAACAAUAGUUUUGGCAGUUAAAGUUUGAGAUUCGACGGUGCCGUAGAUCCGUUUGGUCAUCAGGUGUUACGAGCCACACCCAUGUCUAGCUAGAAUAGUGUGUUAGGCUCAGGCUAGAGAAGAAACUUGGAACAAACUGAUGAAAGAAUGAUCAAACCAACGGAAUUCACUCAGAACUAACAAUAAUGAUAACGUGCUCCGACUGGAGCAGUUUAGGAACUGCUGGAAGGCUCUAGGGGAAUAAAGAUGGAAUGACUUCUAAUUUUUAGGUCCGUAUGAUUUGAAAUACUUGCACGCAAACCGCGCGAAAGCGUUCCUGGAAAUAUCAGCCCAAAAAAGGACGUUUAGUAAUUCUAAAAGGGACUACAGGAUGAAAACAAUAGUUUUGGCAGUUAAAGUUUGAGAUUCAACAGUGCCGUAGAUCCGUUUGGUCAUCAGGUGUUAUGAGCCAUACCCAUGUCUAGCUAGAGUAGUGUGCUAGGCUCAGGCUAGAGAAGAAACAGGGAACAAACUGAUGAAAGAAUGAUCAUACCGAGGGAAUUCACUCAGAACUAACAAGAAUGAUAACGUGCUCCGACUGGAGCGGUUUAGGAACUGCUGGAAGGCUCUAGGGGAAUAAAGAUGGAGUGACUUCUAAAUUUUUAGGUCCGUAUGAUUUAAAAUACUUGCACACAAACCGCACGAAAGCGUUCCUUGAAAUCUCAGCCCAAAAAAGGACGUUUAGUAAGUCUAAAAGGGACUAUAGGAUGAAAAACAAUAGUUUUGGCAGUUAAAGUUUGAGAUUCGAUGGUGCCGUAGAUCUGUUUGGUCAUCAGGUGUUACGAGCCACACCCAUGUCUAGUUGGAAUAGUGUGCUAGGCUCAGACUAGAGAAGAAACAGGGAACAAACUGAUGAAAGAAUGAUCAAACCGAGGAAAUUCACUCAGAACUAACAAUAAUGAUAACAUGCUCCGACUGGAGCGGUUUAGGAACUGCUGGAAGGCUCUAGGGGAAUAAAGAUGGAAUGACUUCUAAAUUUUUAGGUCCGUAUGAUUUGAAAUAGUUGCACACAAACUGCGCGAAAGCGUUCCUGGAAAUCUCAGCCCAAAAAAGGACGUUUAGUAAUUCUAAAAGGGACUAUAGGAUGAAAAACAAUAGUUUUGGCAGUUAAAGUUUGAGAUUCGACGGUGCCGUAGAUCCGUUUGGUCAUCACGUGUUACAAGCCACACCCAUGUCUAGCUAGAGUAGUGUGCUAGGCUCAGACUAUAGAAGAAACGGGGACCAAACUGAUGAAAGAAUGAUCAAACCGAGGAAAUUCACUCAGAACUAACAAUAAUGAUAACAUGCUCCGACUGGAGCGGUUUAGGAACUACUGGAAGGCUCUAGGGGAAUAAAGAUGGAAUGACUUCUAAAUUUUUAGGUCCGUAUGAUUUUAAAUAGUUGCACACAAACUGCGCGAAAGCGUUCCUGGAAAUCUCAGCCCAAAAAAGGACGUUUAGUAAUUCUAAAAGGGACUACAGGAUGAAAAACAAUAGUUUGGGCAGUUAAAAUUUGAGAUUCGACGGUGCCGUAGAUCCGUUUGGUCAUCAGGUGUUACGAGCCACACCCAUGUCUAGCUAGAGUAGUGUGCUAGGCUCAGGCUAGAGAAGAAACAGGGAACAAACUGAUGAAAGAAUGAUCAUACCGAGGGAAUUCACUCAGAACUAACAAGAAUGAUAACGUGCUCUGACUGGAGCGGUUUAAGAACUGUUGGAAGGCUCUAGGGGAAUAAAGAUGGAAUCACUUCAAAUUUUUACGUCCGUGUGAUUUGAAAUACUUGCACACAAACCGCACGAAAGCGUUCCUGGAAAUCUCAGCCCAAAAAAGGACGUUUAGUAAGUCUAAAAGGGACUACACGAUGAAAAACAAUAGUUUUGGCAGUUAAAGUUUGAGAUUCGACAGUGCCGUAGAUCCGUUUGGUCAUCAGGUGUAACGAGCCACACCCAUGUCUAGAUAGAGUAGUGUGCUAGGCUCAAACUAGAGAAGAAACGGGGAACAAACUGAUGAAAGAAUGAUCAUACCGAGGGAAUUCACUCAGAAAUAACAAGAAUGAUAACGUGCUCUGACUGGAGCGGUUUAGGAACUGCUGGAAGGCUCUAGGGGAAUAAAGAAGGAAUGACUUCUAAUUUUUAGGUCCGUAUGAUUUGAAAUACGUGCACACAAACCCCGAGAAAGCGUUCCUGGAAAUCUCGACCCAAAAAAGGACGUUUAGUAAUUCUAAAAGGGACUACGGGAUGAAAAACAAUAGUUUUGGCAGUUAAAGUUUGAGAUUCGAUAAUGCCGUAGAUCCAUUUGGUCAUCAGGUGUAACGAGCCACACCCAUGUCUAGCUAGAGUAGUGUGCUAGGCUCAGACUAGAGAAGAAACAGGGAACAAACUGAUGAAAGAAUGAUCAUAUCGAGGGAAUUCACUCAGAACUAACAAGAAUGAUAACAUGCUCCGACUUGAGCGGUUUAGGAACUGCUGGAAGGCUCUAGGGGAAUAAAGAUGGAAUGACUUCUAAUUUUUAGGUCCGUAUGAUUUGAAAUACUUACACACAAACCACGCGAAAGCGUUCCUGGAAAUCUCAGCCCAAAAAAGGACGUUUAGUAAUUCUAAAAGGGACUACAUGAUGAAAAACAAUAGUUUUCGCAGUUAAAGUUUGAGAUUCGACGGUGCCGUAGAUCCGUUUGGUCAUCAAGUGUUACGAGCCACACCCAUGUCUAGCUAGAAUAGUGUGUUAGGCUCAGCCUAGAGAAGAAACGGGGAACAAACUGAUGAAAGAAUGAUCAUACCGAGGGAAUUCACUCAGAACUUACAAGAAUGAUAACGUGCUCCGACUUGAGCGGUUUAAGAACUGUUGGAAGGCUCUAGGGGAAUAAAGAUGGAAUCACUUCAAAUUUUUACGUCCGUGUGAUUUGAAAUACUUGCACACAAACCCCGAGAAAGCGUUCCUGGAAAUCUCGGCCGAAAAAAGGAUGUUUAAUAAUUCUAAAAGGGACUACAGGAUGAAAAACAAUAGCUUUGGCAGUUAAAGUUUGUGAUUCGAUGGUGCCGUAGAUCUGUUUGGUCAUCAGGUGUUAUGAGCCACACCCAUGUCUAGCUAGAAUAGUGUGUUAGGCUCAGGCUAGAGCAGAAACUAGGAACAAACUUAUGAAAGAAUGAUCAUACCGAGGGAAUUCACUCAGAACUAACAAGAAUGAUAACGUGCUCCGACUGGAGCGGUUUAGGAACUGCUGGAAGGCUCUAGGGGAAUAAAGAUGGAAUGACUUCUAAUUUUUAGGUCCGUAUGAUUUGAAAUACAUGCACACAAACCCCAAGAAAGCGUUCCUAGAAAUCUCAGCCCAAAAAGGACGUUUAGUAAUUCUAAAAGGGACUACAGGAUGAAAAACAAUAGGUUUGGCAGUUAAAGUUUGAGAUUCGAUAAUGCCGUAGAUCCGUUUGGUCAUCAGGUGUAACGAGCCACACCCAUGUCUAGCUACAUUAGUGUGCUAGGCUCAGACUAGAGAAGAAACGGGGAACAAACUGAUGAAAGAAUGAUCAUACCGAGGGAAUUCACUCAGAACUAACAAGAACGAUAACAUGCUCCGACUGCAGCGGUUUAGGAACUGCUGGAAGGCUCUAGGGGAAUAAAGAAGGAAUGACUUCUAAUUUUUAGGUCCGUAUGAUUUGAAAUACUUGCACACAAACCGCGCGAAAGCAUUCCUGGAAAUCUCAGCCCAAAAAAGGACGUUUAGUAAUUCUAAAAGGGACUACAGGAUGAAAAACAAUAAUUUUGGCAGUUAAAGUUUGAGAUUCGACGGUGCCGUAGAUCCGUUUGGUCAUCAGGUGUUACGGGCCAUACCCAUGUCUAGCUAGAAUAGUGUGUUAGGCUCAGGUUAGAGAAGAAACGGGGAACAAAGUGAUGAAAGAAUGAUCAUACCGAGGGAAUUCACUCAGAACUAACAAGAAUGAUAACGUGCUCCGACUGGAGCGGUUUAGGAAUUGCUGGAAGGCUCUAGGGGAAUAAAGAUGGAAUGACUUCUAUAUUUUACGUCCGUAUGAUUUGAAAUACUUGCACACAAACCACGCAAAAGCACUCCUGGAAAUAUCAGCCUAAAAAGGAUGUUUAGUAAUUCUAAAAGGGACUACAGGAUGAAAAAUAAUAGUUUUGGCAGUUAAAAUUUGAGAUUCAACGGUGCCGUAAAUCCGUUUGGUCAUCAGGUGUUACGAGCCACACCCAUGUCUAGCUAGAAUAGUGUGUUAGGCUCAGGUUAGAGAAGAAACGGGGAACAAACUGAUGAAAGAAUGAUCAUACAAGGGGAAUUCACUCAGAACUAUCAAGAAUGAUAACGUGCUCCGACUGGAGCAGUUUAGGAACUGCCGGAAGGCUCUAGGGGAAUAAAGAUGGAAUGACUUCUAAUUUUUAUGUCCGUAUGAUUUGAAAUACUUGCACACAAACCACGCAAAAGCGUUCCUGGAAAUCUCAGCCUAAAAAGGACGUUUAGUAAUUCUAAAAGGGACUACAGGAUGAAAAACAAUAGUUUGGGCAGUUAAAAUUCGAGAUUCGACGGUGCCGUAGAUCCGUUUGGUCAUCAGGUGUUACGAGCCACACCCAUGUCUAGCUAGAAUAGUGUGUUAGGCUCAGGCUAGAGAAGAAACGGGGAACAAACUGAUGAAAGAAUGAUCAUAUCGAGGGAAUUCACUCAGAACUAACAAGAAUGAUAACGUGCUCCGACUGGAGCGGUUUAGUAACUGCUGGAAGGCUCUAGGGGAAUAAAGAUGGAAUGACUUCUAAUUAUUAGGUCCGUAAGAUUUGAAUUACAUGCACACAAACCCCGAGAAAGCGUUCCUGGAAAUCUCGGUCGAAAAAAGGAUGUUUAGUAAUUCUAAAAGGGACUACAGGAUGAAAAACAAUAGUUUUGGCAGUUAAAGUUUGUGAUUCGAUGGUGCCGUAGAUCUGUUUGGUCAUCAGGUGUUACGAGCCACACCCAUGUCUAGCUAGAAUAGUGUGUUAGGCUCAGGCUAGAGCAGAAACGGGGAACAAACUUAUGAAAGAAUGAUCAUGCCGAGGGAAUUCACUCAGAACUAACAAGAAUGAUAACGUGCUCCGACUGGAGCGGUUUAGGAACUGCUGGAAGGCUCUAGGGGAAUAAAGAUGGAAUGACAUCAAAUUUUUAGGUCCGUAUGAUUUGAAAUACUUGCACACAAACCGCAAGAAAGCGUUCUUGGAAAUCUCCGCCCAAAAAAGGACGUUUAGUAAUUCUAAAAGGGUCUACAGGAUGAAAAACAAUAGUUCUGGCAGUUAAAGUUUGAGAUUCGAUAAUGUCGUAGAUCCGUUUGGUCAUCAGGCGUAACGAGCCACACCCAUUUCUAGCUAGAGUAGUGUGCUAGGCUCAGACUAGAGAAGAAACGGGGAACAACCUGAUGAAAGAAUGAUCAUACCGAGGGAAUUCACUCAGAACUAACAAGAAUGAUAACGUGCUCCGACUGGAGCGGUUUAGGAACUGCUGGAAGGCUCUACGGGAAUAAAGAAGGAAUGACUUCUAAUUUUUAGGUCCGUAUGAUUUGAAAUACGUGCACACAAACCCCGAGAAAGCGUUCCUGGAAAUCUCGGCCCAAAAAAGGACGUUUAGUAUUCUAAAAGCGACUACAGAAUGAAAAACAAUAGUUUUGGUAGUUAAAGUUUGAGAUUUAACGGUGCCGUAGAUCUGUUUGGUCAUCAGGUGUUACGAGCCACACCCAUGUCUAGCUAGAAUAGUGUGUUAGGCUCAGGCUAGAUAAGAAACAGGGAACAAAGUGAUGAAAGAAUGAUCAUACCAAGGGAAUUCACUCAGAACUAACAAGAACGAUAACAUGCUCCGACUGGAGUGGUUUAGGAACUGCUGGAAGGCUCUAGGGGAAUAAAGAUGGAAUGACUUCUAAUUUUUAGGUCUGUAUGAUUUGAAAUACUUGCACACAAACCGCACGAAAGCGUUCCUGGAAAUCUCAUCCCAAAAAAGGACGUUUAGUAAUUCUAAAAGGGACUACAGGAUGAAAAACAAUAGUUUUGGCAGUUAAAGUUUGAGAUUCGAUAAUGCUGUAGAUCCGUUUGGUCAUCAGGUGUAACGAGCCACACCCAUGUCUAGCUAGAGUAGUGUGCUAGGCUCAGACUAGAGAAGAAACGGGGAACAAACUGAUGAAAGAAUGAUCAUACCGAGGGAAUUCACUCAGAACUAACAAUAAUGAUAACGUGCUCCGACUGGAGCGGUUUAGGAACUGCUGGAAGGCUCUAGGGGAAUAAAGAUGGAAUGAGUUCUAAUUUUUAGGUCUGUAUGAUUUGAAAUACUUGCACACAAACCGCGUGAAAGCAUUCCUGGAAAUUUCAGCCCAAAAAAGGACGUUUAGUAAUUUUAAAAGGGACUACACGAUGAAAAACAAUAGUUUUGGCAGUUAAAGUUUGAGAUUCGACGGUGCCGUAGAUCCGUUUGGUCAUCAGGUGUUACGAGCCACACCCAUGUCUAGCUAGAAUAGUAUGUUAGGCUCGGGUAAGAGAAGAAACGGGGAACAAACUGAUGAAAGAAUGAUCAUACCAAGGGAAUUCACUCAGAACUAACAAGAAUGAUAACGUGCUCCGACUGGAGCGGUUUAGGAACUGCUGGAAGGCUCUAGGGGAAUAAAGAUGGAAUGACUUCUAAUUUUUACGUUCGUAUGAUUUGAAAUACUUGCACACAAACCACGCAAAAGCGUUCCUGGAAAUCUCAUCCUAAAAAAGGACGUUUAGUAAUUCUAAAAGGGACUACAGGAUGAAAAAUAAUAGUUUGGGCAGUUAAAAUUUGAGAUUCGACGGUGCCGUAGAUCCGUUUGGUCAUCAGGUGUUACGAGCCACACCCAUGUCUAGCUAGAAUAGUGUGUUAGGCUCAGGCUAGAGAAGAAACGGGGAACAAACUGAUGAAAGAAUGAUCAUAUCGAGGGAAUUCACUCAGAACUAACAAGAAUGAUAACGUGCUCCGACUGGAGCAGUUUAGAAACUGCUGGAAGGCUCUAGGGGAAUAAAGAUGGAAUGACUUCUAAUUUUUAGGUCUGUAUGAUUUGAAAUACGUGCACACGAACCCCGAGAAAGCGUUCCUGGAAAUCUCGGCCCAAAAAAGGACGUUUAGUAAUUCUAAAAGGGACUACAGGAUGAAAAACAAUAGUUUUGGCAGUUAAAGUUUGAGAUUCGACGGUGCCGUAGAUCCGUUUGUUCAUCAGGUGUUACGAGCCACACCCAUGUCUAGCUAGAAUAGUGUGUUAGGCUCAGGCUAGAGAAGAAACGGGGAACAAACUGAUGAAAGAAUGAUCAUACCGAGGGAAUUCACUCAGAACUAACAAGAAUGAUAACGUGCUCCGACUGGAGCGGUUUAGGAACUGCUAGAAGGCUCUAGGGGAAUAAAGAAGGAAUGACUUCUAAUUUUUAGGUCCGUAUGAUUUGAAAUACGUGCACACAAACCCCGAGAAAGCGUUCCUGGAAAUCUUGGCCCAAAAAAGGACGUUUAGUAUUCUAAAAGCGACUACAGAAUGAAAAACAAUAGUUUUGCUAGUUAAAGUUUGAGAUUUGAUGGUGCCGUAGAUCUGUUUGGUCAUCAGGUUUUACGAGCCACACCCAUGUCUAGCUAGAAUAGUGUGUUAGGCUCAGGCUAGAAAAGAAACAGGGAAUAAAGUGAUGAAAGAAUGAUCAUACCAAGGGAAUUCACUCAGAACUAACAAGAACGAUAACAUGCUCCGACUGGAGUGGUUUAGAACUGCUGGAAGGCUAAAGGGGAAUAAAGAUGGAAUGACUUCUAAUUUUUAGGUCCGUAUGAUUUGAAAUACUUGCACACAAACCGCACGAAAGUGUUCCUGGAAAUCUCAGCCCAAAAAAGGACGUUUAGUAAUUCUAAAAGGGACUACAGGAUGAAAAACAAUAGUUUUGGCAGUUAAAGUUUGAGAUUCGAUAAUGACGUAGAUCCGUUUGGUCAUCAGGUGUAACGAGCCACACCCAUGUCUAGCUAGAGUAGUGUGCUAGGCUCAGACUAGAGAAGAAACGGGGAACAAACUGAUGAAAGAAUGAUCAUACCGAGGGAAUUCACUCAGAACUAACAAUAAUGAUAACGUGCUCCGACUAGAGCGGUUUAGGAACUGCUGGAAGGCUCUAGGGGAAUAAAGAUGGAAUGACUUCUAAUUUUUAGGUCCCUAUGAUUUGAAAUACUUGCACACAAACCGCGUGAAAGCAUUCCUGGAAAUUUCAGCCCAAAAAAGGACGUUUAGUAAUUUUAAAAGGGACUACACGAUGAAAAAGAAUAGUUUUGGCAGUUAAAGUUUGAGAUUCGACGGUGCCGUAGAUCCGUUUGGUCAUCAGGUGUUACGAGACACACCCAUGUCUAGCUAGAAUAGUAUGUUAGGCUCGGGUUAGAGAAGAAACGGGGAACAAACUGAUGAAAGAAUGAUCAUACCAAGGGAAUUCACUCAGAACUAACAAGAAUGAUAACGUGCUCCGACUGGAGCGGUUUAGGAACUGCUGGAAGGCUCUAGGGGAAUAAAGAUGGAAUGACUUCUAAUUUUUACGUUCGUAUGAUUUGAAAUACUUGCAAACAAACCACGCAAAAGCGUUCCUGGAAAUUUCAUCCUAAAAAAGGACGUUUAGUAAUUCUAAAAGGGACUACAGGAUGAAAAAUAAUAGUUUGGGCAGUUAAAAUUUGAGAUUCGAUGGUGCCGUAGAUCCGUUUGGUCAUCAGGUGUUACGAGCCACACCCAUGUCUAGCUAGAAUAGUGUGUUAGGCUCAGGCUAGAGAAGAAACGGGGAACAAACUGAUGAAAGAAUGAUCAUAUCGAGGGAAUUCACUCAGAACUAACAAGAAUGAUAACGUGCUCCGACUGGAGCAGUUUAGAAACUGCUGGAAGGCUCUAGGGGAAUAAAGAUGGAAUGACUUCUAAUUUUUAGGUCUGUAUGAUUUGAAAUACGUGCACACAAACCCCGAGAAAGCGUUCCUGGAAAUCUCGUCCGGAAAAAGGAUGUUUAAUAAUUCUAAAAGGGACUACAGGAUGAAAAACAAUAGUUUUGGCAGUUAAAGUUUGUGAUUCGAUGGUGCCGUAGAUCUGUUUGGUCAUCAGGUGUUACGGGCCACACCCAUGUCUAGCUAGAAUAGUGUGUUAGGCUCAGGCUAGAGCAGAAACGGGGAGCAAACUUAUGAAAGAAUGAUCAUAGCGAGGGAAUUUACUCAGAACUAACAAGAAUGAUAACGUGCUCCGACUGGAGCGGUUUAGGAACUGCUGGAAGGCUCUAGGGGAAUAAAGAUGGAAUGACUUCAAAUUUUCAGGUAUGUAUGAUCUGAAAUACUUGCACACAAACCGCGAGAAAGCGUUCCUGGAAAUCUCAACCCAAAAAAGGAUGUUUAGUAAUUCUAAAAGGGACUACAGGAUUAAAAACAAUAGUUUUGGCAGUUAAAGUUUGAGAUUCGAUAAUGUCGUAGAUCCGUUUGGUCAUCAGGUGUAACGAGCCACACCCAUGUCUAGCUAGAGUAGUGUGCUAGGCUCAUACUAGAGAAGAAACGGGGAACAAACUGAUGAAAGAAUGAUCAUACCGAGGGAAUUCACUCAGAACUAACAAGAAUGAUAACGUGCUCCGACUGGAGCGGUUUAGGAACUGCUGGAAGGCUCUAGGGGAAUAAAGAUGGAAUGACUUCUUAUUUUUAGGUCCGUAUGAUUUGAAAUACAUGCACACAAACCCCAAGAAAGCGUUCCGGGAAAUCUCGGCCCAAAGAAUGAUGUUUAGUAAUUCUAAAAGGGACUAUAGAAUGAAAAACAAUAGUUUUGGCAGUUAAAGUUUGAGAUUUGACGGUGUCGUAGAUCUGUUUGGUCAUCAGGUGUUACGAGCCACACCCAUUUCUAGCUAGAAUAGUGUGUUAGGCUCAGGCUAGAAAAGAAACGGGGAACAAAGUGAUGAAAGAAUGAUCAUACCGAGGGAAUUCACUCAGAACUAACAAGAAUGAUAACAUGCUCCGACUAGAGCGGUUUAGGAACUGCUGGAAGGCUCUAGGGGAAUAAAUAUGGAAUGACUUCUAAUUUUCAGGUCCGUAUGAUUUGAAAUACUUGCACACAAACCGCGCGAAAGCGUUCCUGGAAAUCUCAUCCCAAAGAAGGUCGUUUAGUAAUUCUAAAAGGGACUACAGGAUGAAAAACAAUAGUUUUGGCAAUUUAAGGUUUGAGAUUCGACGGUGCCGUAGAUCCGUUUGGUCAUCAGGUGUUACGAGCCACACCCAUGUCUAGCUAGAAUAGUGUGCUAGGCUCAGGCUAGAGAAGAAACAGGGAACAAACUGAUGAAAGAAUGAUCAAACCGAGGGAAUUCACUCAGAACUAACAAUAAUGAUAACGUUCUCCGUCUGGAGCGGUUUAGGAACUGCUGGAAGGCUCUAGGGGAAUAAAGAUGGAAUGACUUCUAAUUUUUAGGUCCGUAUGAUUUGAAAUACUUGCACACAAACCGCGCCAAAUCGUUCCUGGAAAUCUCAGCCCAAAAAAGGACGUUUAGUAAUUCUAAAAGGGACUACAGGAUGAAAAACAAUAGUUUUGGCAGUUAAAGUUUGAGAUUCGAUGGUGCCGUAGACCCGUUUGGUCAUCAGGUGUUACGAGCCACACCCAUGUCUAGCUAGAGUAGUGUGCUAGGUUCAGACUAGAGAAGAAACAGGGAACAAAGUGAUGAAAGAAUGAUCAUACCGAGGGAAUUCACUCAGAACUAACAAGAAUGAUAACGUGCUCCGACUGGAGCGGUUUAGGAACUGCUGGAAGGCUCUAGGGGAAUAAAGAUGGAAUGACUUCUAAUUUUUACGUCCGUAUGAUUUGAAAUACUUGCACACAAACCACGCAAAAGCGUUCCUGGAAAUCUCAGCCUAAAAAAGGACGUUUAGUAAUUCAAAAAGGGACUACAAAAUGAAAAACAAUAGUUUUGGCAGUUAAAGUUUGAGAUUCGAUGGUGCCGUAGAUCCGUUUGGUCAUCAGGUGUUACGAGCCACACCCAUGUCUAGCUAGGAUAGUGUGUUAGGCUCAGGCUAGAGAAGAAACGGGGAACAAACUGAUGAAAGAAUGAUCAUACCGAGGGAAUUCACUCAGAACUAACAAGGAUGAUAACAUGCUCCGACUAGAGCGGUUUAGGAACUGCUGGAAGGCUCUAGGGGAAUAAAGAUGGAAUGACUUCUAAUUUUUAGGUCCGUAUGAUUUGAAAUACUUGCACACAAACCGCAAGAAAGCGUUCCUGGAAAUCUCAGCCCAAAAAAGGACGUUUAGUAAUUCUAAAAGGGACUACAGGAUGAAAAACAAUAGUUCUGGCAGUUAAAGUUUGAGAUUCGAUAAUGCCGUAGAUCUGUUUGGUCAUCAGGUGUAACGAGCCACACCCAUGUCUAGCUAGAGUAGUGUGCUAGGCUCAGACUAGAGAAGAAACGGGGAACAAACUGAUGAAAGAAUGAUUAUACCGAGGGAAUUCACUCAGAACUAACGAGAAUGAUAACGUGCUCCGACUGGAGCGGUUUAGGAACUGCUGGAAGGCUCUAGGGGAAUAAAGAUGGAAUGACUUCAAAUUUUUAGGUCUGUAUGAUUUGAAAUACUUGCACACAAACCGCAAGAAAGCGUUCCUUGAAAUCUCAGCCCAAAAAAGGACGUUUAGUAAUUCUAAAAGGGACUACAGGAUGAAAAACAAUAGUUCUGGCAGUUAAAGUUUGAGAUUCGAUAAUGUCGUAGAUCCGUUUGGUCAUCAGGUGUAACGAGCCACACCCAUGUCUAGCUAGAGUAGUGUGCUAGGCUCAGAAUAGAGAAGAAACGGGGAACAAACUGAUGAAAGAAUGAUCAUACCGAGGGAAUUCACUCAGAACUAACAAGAAUGAUAACGUGCUCCGACUGGAGCGGUUUAGGAACUGCUGGAAGGCUCUAGGGGAAUAAAGAAGGAAUGACUUCUAAUUUUUAGGUCCGUAUGAUUUGAAAUACGUGCACACAAACCGCGCGAAAGCGUUCCUGGAAAUCUCAGCCAAAAAAAGGACGUUUAGUAUUCUAAAAGGGACUACAGAAUGAAAAACAAUAGUUUUGGCAGUUAAAGUUUGAGAUUCGACGGUGCUGUAGAUCCGUUUGGUCAUCAGGUGUUACGAGCCACACCCAUGUCUAGCUAGAAUAGUGUGCUAGGCUCAGGCUAGAGAAGAAAAGGGGAACAAACUAAUGAAAGAAUGAUCAAUCCGAGGGAAUUCACUCAGAACUAACAAUAAUGAUAACGUGCUCCGACUGGAGCGGUUUAGGAACUGCUGGAAGGCUCUAGGCGAAUAAAGAUGGAAUGACUUCUAAUUUUUACGUCCGUAUGAUUUGAAAUACUUGCACACAAACCACGCAAAAGCGUUCCUGGAAGUCUCGGCCUAAAAAGGACGUUUAGUAAUUCUAAAAGGGACUACAGGAUGAAAAAUAAUAGUUUGGGCAGUUAAAAUUUGAGAUUCGACGGUGCCGUAGAUCCAUUUGGUCAUCAAGUGUUACGAGCCACACCCAUGUCUAGCUAGAAUAGUGUGUUAGGCUCAGGCUAGAGAAGAAACGGGGAACAAACUGAUGAAAGAAUGAUCAUACCAAGGGAAUUCACUCAGAACUAACAAGAAUGAUAACGUGCUCCGACUGGAGCAGUUUAGAAACUGCUGGAAGGCUCUUGGGGAAUAAAGAUGGAAUGACUUCAAAUUUUUAGGUCCGUAUGAUUUGAAAUACUUGCACACAAACCACGCGAAAGCGUUCCUGGAAAUCUCAGCCCAAAAAAGGACGUUUAGUAAUUCUAAAAGGGACUACAUGAUGAAAAACAAUAGUUUUGGCAGUUAAAGUUUGAGAAUCGUCGGUGCCGUAGAUCCGUUUGGUCAUCAGCUGUAACGAGCCACACCCAUGUCUAGCUAGAGUAGUGUGCUAGGCUCAGACUAGAGAAGAAACAGGGAACAAAGUGAUGAAAGAAUGAUCAUACCGAGGGAAUUCACUUAGAACUAACAAGAAUGAUAACAUGCUCCGACUUGAGCGAUUUAGGAACUUCUGGAAGGCUCUAGGGGAAUAAAGAUGGAAUGACUCAAAUUUUUAGGCCCGUAUGAUUUGAAAUACAUGCACACAAACCGCGAGAAAGUGUUCCUGGAAAUCUUAGCCCAAAAAAGGACGUUUAGUAAUUCUAAAAGGGACUACAGGAUGAAAAACAAUAGUUUUGGUAGUUAAAGUUUCAGAUUCGAUAAUGCCCUAGAUCCGUUUGGUCAUCAGGUGUAACGAGCCACACCAAUGUCUAGCUAGAGUAGUGUGCUAGGCUCAGACUAGAUAAGAAACGGGGAAGAAACUGAUGAAAGAAUGAUCAGACCGAGGGAAUUCACUCAGAACUAACAAUAAUGAUAACGUGCUCCGAGUGGAGCGGUUUAGGAACUGCUGGAAGGCUCUAGGGGAAUAAAGAUGGAAUGACUUCUAAUUUUUAGGUCCGUAUGAUUUGAAAUACGUGCACACAAACCCCGAGAAACCGUUCCUUGAAAUCUCGGCCCAAAAAAGGACGUUUAGUAAUUCUAAAAGGGACUACAAAAUGAAAAACAAUAGUUUUGGCAGUUAAAGUUUGAGAUUCGACGGUGUCGUAGACCCGUUUGGUCUUCAGGUGUUACGAGCCACACCCAUGUCUAGCCAGAGUAGUGUGCUAGGUUCAGACUAGAGAAGAAACGGGGAACAAAGUGAUGAAAGAAUGAUCAUACCGAGGGAAUUCACUCAGAACUAACAAGAAUGAUAACGUGCUCCGACUGGAGCGGGUUAGGAACUCCUGGAAGGCUCUAGGGGAAUAAAGAUGGAAUGACUUCUAAUUUUUACGUCCGUAUGAUUUGAAAUACUUGCACACAAACCACGCAAAAGCGUUCCUGGAAAUCUCAGCCUAAAAAAGGACGUUUAGUAAUUCUAAAAGGGACUACAGGAUGAAAAAUAAUAGUUUGGUCAUCAGGUGUUACGAGCCACACCCAUGUCUAGCUAGAAUAGUGUGCUAGGCUCAGGCUAGAGAAGAAACGGGGAAUAAACUGAUGAAAGAAUGAUCAAACCGAGGGAAUUCACUCAGAACUAACAAUAAUGAUAACGUUCUCCGUCUGGAGCGGUUUAGGAACUGCUGGAAGGCUCUAGGGGAAUAAAGAUGGAAUGACUUCUAAUUUUUAGGUCCGUAUGAUACGAAAUACUUGCACACAAACCGCGCGAAAUCGUUCCUGGAAAUCUCAGCCCAAAAAAGGACGUUUAGUAAUUCUAAAAGGGACUACAGCAUGAAAAACAAUAGUUCUGGCAGUUAAAGUUUGAGAUUCGAUAAUGCCGUAGAUCCGUUUGGUCAUCAGGUGUAACGAGCCACACCCAUGUCUAGCUAGAGUAGUAUGCUAGGCUCAGACUAGAGAAGAAACGGGGAACAAACUGAUGAAAGAAUGAUUAUACCGAGGGAAUUCACUCAGAACUAACAAGAAUGAUAACGUGCUCCGGCUGGAGCGGUUUAGGAACUGCUAGAAGGCUCUAGGGGAAUAAAGAUGGAAUGACUUCAAAUUUUUAGGUCUGUAUGAUUUGAAAUACUUGCACACAAACCGCAAGAAAGCGUUCCUGGAAAUCUCAGCCCAAAAAAGGACGUUUAGUAAUUCUAAAAGGGACUAUAGGAUGAAAAACAAUAGUUCUGGUAGUUAAAGUUUGAGAUUCGAUAAUGUCAUAGAUCCGUUCGGUCAUCAGGUGUAACGAGCCACACCCAUGUCUAGCUAGAGUAGUGUGCUAGGCUCAGACUAGAGAAGAAACGGGGAACAAACUGAUGAAAGAAUGAUCAUACCGAGGGAAUUCACUCAGAACUAACAAGAAUGAUAACGUGCUCCGACUGGAGCGGUUUAGGAACUGCUGGAAGGCUCUAGGGGAAGAAAGAAGGAAUGACUUCUAAUUUUUAGGUCCGUAUGAUUUGAAAUACGUGCACACAAACCGCGCGAAAGCGUUCCUGGAAAUCUCAGCCCAAAAAAGGACGUUUAGUAUUCUAAAAGGGACUACAGAAUGAAAAACAAUAGUUUUGGCAGUUAAAGUUUGAGAUUCGACGGUGCCGUAGAUCCGUUUGGUCAUCAGGUGUUACGAGCCACACCCAUGUCUAGCUAGAAUAGUGUGCUAGGCUCAGGCUAGAGAAGAAAAGGGGAACAAACUGAUGAAAGAAUGAUCAAACCGAGGGAAUUCACUCAGAACUAACAAUAAUGAUAACGUGCUCCGACUGGAGCGGUUUAGGAACUGCUGGAAGGCUCUUGGCGAAUAAAGAUGGAAUGACUUCUAAUUUUUACGUCCGUAUGAUUUGAAAUACUUCCACACAAACCAGGCAAAGGCGUUCCUGGAAAUCUCGGCCUAAAAAGGACGUUUAGUAAUUCUAAAAGGGACUACAGGAUGAAAAAUAAUAGUUUGGGCAGUUAAAAUUUUAGAUUCGACGGUGCCGUAGAUCCGUUUGGUCAUCAGGUGUUACGAGCCACACCCAUGUCUAGCUAGAAUAGUGUGUUAGGCUCAGGCUAGAGAAGAAACGGGGAACAAACUGAUGAAAGAAUGAUCAUACCAAGGGAAUUCACUCAGAACUAACAAGAAUGAUAACGUGCUCCGACUGGAGCAGUUUAGAAACUACUGGAAGGCUCUAGGGGAAUAAAGAUGGAAUGACUUCAAAUUUUUAGGUCCGUAUGAUUUGAAAUACUUGCACACAAACCGCGCGAAAGCGUUCCUGGAAAUCUCAGCCCAAAAAAGGACGUUUAGUAAUUCUAAAAGGGACUACAUGAUGAAAAACAAUAGUUUUGGCAGUUAAAGUUUGAGAUUCGUCGGUGCCGUAGAUCCGUUUGGUCAUCAGCUGUAACGAGCCACACCCAUUUCUAGCUAGAGUAGUGUGCUAGGCUCAGACUAAAGAAGAAAUGGGGAACAAAGUGAUGAAAGAAUGCUCAUACCGAGGGAAUUCACUCAGAACUAACAAGAAUGAUAACAUGCUCCGACUUGAGCGAUUUAGGAACUUCUGGAAGGCUCUAGGGGAAUAAAGAUGGAAUGACUCAAAUUUUUAGGUCCGUAUGAUUUGAAAUACUUGCACACAAACCGCGAGAAAGCGUUCCUGGAAAUCUCAGCCCAAAAAAGGACGUUUAGUAAUUCUAAAAGGGACUACAUGAUGAAAAACAAUAGUUUUGGCAGUUAAAGUUUGAGAUUUGAUAAUGCCGUAGAUCCGUUUGGUCAUCAGGUGUAACGAGCCACACCCAUGUCUAGCUAGAGUAGUGUGCUAGGCUAAGACUAGAUAAGAAAAGGGGAAGAAACUUAUGAAAGAAUGAUCAGACCGAGGGAAUUCACUCAGAACUAACAAUAAUGAUAACGUGCUCCGACUGGAGCGGUUUAGGAACUGCUGGAAGGCUCUAGGGGAAUAAAGAUGGAAUGACUUCUAAUUUUUAGGUCCGUAUGAUUUGAAAUACGUGCACACAAACCCCGAGAAACCGUUCCUGGAAAUCUCGGCCCAAAAAAGGAUGUUUAGUAAUUCUAAAAGGGACUACAAAAUGAAAAACAAUAGUUUUGGCAGUUAAAGUUUGAGAUUUGAUGGUGCCGUAGAUCUGUUUGGUCAUCAGGUGUUACGAGCCACACCCAUGUCUAGCUAGAAUAGUGUGUUAGGCUCAGGCUAGAAAAGAAACGGGAAACAAAGUGAUGAAAGAAUGAUCAUACCGAGGGAAUUCACUCAGAACUAACAAGAAUGAUAACAUGCUCUGACUGGAGCGGUUUAGGAACUGCUGGAAGGCUCUAGGGGAAUAAAGAUGGAAUGACUUCUAAUGUUUAGGUCCGUAUGAUUUGAAAUACUUGCACAUAAACCGCGCAAAAGCGUUCCUGGAAAUCUCAGCCCAAAAAAGGACGUUUAGUAAUUCUAAAAGGGACUACAGGAUGAAAAACAAUAGUUUUGGCAGUUAAAGUUUGAGAUUCGACGGUGCCGUAGAUCCGUUUGUUCAUCAGGUGUUACGAGCCACACCCAUGUCUAGCUAGAAUAGUGUGUUAGGCUCAGGCUAGAGAAGAAACGGGGAACAAACUGAUGAAAGAAUGAUCAAACCGAGGGAAUUCACUCAGAACUAACAAUAAUGAUAACGUGCUCCGACUAGAGCGGUUUAGGAACUGCUGGAAGGCUCUAGGGGAAUAAAGAUGGAAUGACUUCUAAUUUUUAGGUCUGUAUGAUUUGAAAUACUUGCACGCAAACCGCGCGAAAGCGUUCCCGGAAAUAUCAGCCUAAAGAAGGACGUUUAGUAAUUCUAAAAGGGACUACAGGAUGAAAAACAAUAGUUUUGGCAGUUAAAGUUUGAGAUUCAACGGUGCCGUAGAUCCGUUUGGUCAUCAGGUGUUACGAGCCACACCCAUGUCUAGCUAGAGUAGUGUGCUAGGCUCAGGCUAGAGAAGAAACAGGGAACAAACUGAUGAAAGAAUGAUCAUACCGAGGGAAUUCACUCAGAACUGAUGAAAGAAUGAUCAAACCAAGGAAAUUCACUCAGAACUAACAAUAAUGAUAACAUGCUCCGACUGGAGCGGUUUAGGAACUGCUGGAAGGCUCUAGGGGAAUAAAGAUGGAAUGACUUCUAAUUUUUAGGUCCGUAUGAUUUGAAAUACGUGCACACAAACCCCGAGAAACCGUUCCUGGAAAUCUCGGCCCAAAAAAGGACGUUUAGUAAUUCUAAAAGGGACAACAAAAUGAAAAACAAUAGUUUUGGCAGUUAAAGUUUGAGAUUCGACGGUGCCGUAGACCCGUUUGGUCAUCAGGUGUUACGAGCCACACCCAUGUCUAGCUAGAGUAGUGUGCUAGGUUCAGACUAGAGAAGAAACGGGGAACAAAGUGAUGAAAGAAUGAUCAUACCGAGGGAAUUCACUCAGAACUAACAAGAAUGAUAACGUGCUCCGACUGGAGCGGGUUAGGAAUUGCUGGAAGGCUCUAGGGGAAUAAAGAUAGAAUGACUUCUAAUUUUUACGUCCGUAUGAUUUGAAAUACUUGCACACAAACCACGCAAAAGCGUUCCUAGAAAUCUCAGCCUAAAAAAGGACGUUUAGUAAUUCUAAAAGGGACUACAGGAUGAAAAAUAAUAGUUUGGCCAGUUAAAAUUUAAGAUUCGACGGUGCCGUAGAUCCGCUUGGUCAUCAGGUGUUACGAGCCACACCCAUGUCUAGCUAGAAUAGUGUGUUAGGCUCAGGCUAGAGAAGAAACGGGGAACAAACUGAUGAAAGAAUGAUCAUACCGAGGGAAUUCACUCAGAACUAACAAGAAUGAUAACAUGCUCCGACUGGAGCGGUUUAGGAACUGCUGGAAGGCUCUAGGGGAAUAAAGAUGGAAUGACUUCUAAUUUUUAGGUCCGUAUGAUUUGAAAUACUUGCACACAAACCGCAAGAAAGCGUUCCUGGAAAUCUCAGCACAAAAAAGGACGUUUAGUAAUUCUAAAAGGGACUACAGCAUGAAAAACAAUAGUUCUGGCAGUUAAAGUUUGAGAUUCGAUAAUGCCGUAGAUCCGUUUGGUCAUCAGGUGUAACGAGCCACACCCAUGUCUAGCUAGAGUAGUGUGCUAGGCUCAGACUAGAGAAGAAACGGGGAACAAAAUGAUGAAAGAAUGAUUAUACCGAGGGAAUUCACUCAGAACUAACAAGAAUGAUAACGUGCUCCGACUGGAGCGGUUUAGGAACUGCUGGAAGGCUCUAGGGGAAUAAAGAUGGAAUGACUUCAAAUUUUUAGGUCUGUAUGAUUUGAAAUACUUGCACACAAACCGCAAGAAAGCGUUCCUGGAAAUCUCAGCCCAAAAAUGGACGUUUAGUAAUUCUAAAAGGGACUAUAGGAUGAAAAACAAUAGUUCUGGCAGUUAAAGUUUGAGAUUCGAUAAUGUCGUAGAUCCGUUCGGUCAUCAGGUGUAACGAGCCACACCCAUGUCUAGCUAGAGUAGUGUGCUAGGCUCAGACUAGAGAAGAAACGGGGAACAAACUGAUGAAAGAAUGAUCAUACCGAGGGAAUUCACUCAGAACUAACAAGAAUGAUAACGUGCUCCGACUGGAGCGGUUUAGGAACUGCUGGAAGGCUCUAGGGGAAGAAAGAAGGAAUGACUUCUAAUUUUUAGGUCCGUAUGAUUUGAAAUACGUGCACACAAACCGCGCGAAAGCGUUCCUGGAAAUCUCAGCCCAAAAAAGGACGUUUAGUAUUCUAAAAGGGACUACAGAAUGAAAAACAAUAGUUUUGGCAGUUAAAGUUUGAGAUUCGACGGUGCCGUAGAUCCGUUUGGUCAUCAGGUGUUACGAGCCACACCCAUGUCUAGCUAGAAUAGUGUGCCAGGCUCAGGCUAGAGAAGAAAAGGGGAACAAACUGAUGAAAGAAUGAUCAAACCGAGGGAUUUCACUCAGAACUAACAAUAAUGAUAACGUGCUCCGACUGGAGCGGUUUAGGAACUGCUGGAAGGCUCUAGGCGAAUAAAGAUGGAAUGACUUCUAAUUUUUACGUCCGUAUGAUUUUAAAUACUUGCACACAAACCACGCAAAAGCGUUCCUGGAAAUCUCGGCCUAAAAAGGACGUUUAGUAAUUCUAAAAGGGACUACAGGAUGAAAAAUAAUAGUUUGGGCAGUUAAAAUUUGAGAUUCGACGGUGCCGUAGAUCCGUUUGGUCAUCAGGUGUUACGAGCCACACCCAUGUCUAGCUAGAAUAGUGUGUUAGGCUCAGGCUAGAGAAGAAACAGGGAACAAACUGAUGAAAGAAUGAUCAUACCAAGGGAAUUCACUCAGAACUAACAAGAAUGAUAACGUGCUCCGACUGGAGCAGUUUAGAAACUGCUGGAAGGCUCUAGGGGAAUAAAGAUGGGAUGACUUCAAAUUUUUAGGUCCGUAUGAUUUGAAAUACUUGCACACAAACCGCGCGAAAGCGUUCCUGGAAAUCGCAGCCCAAAAAAGGACGUUUAGUAAUUCUAAAAGGGACUACAUGAUGAAAAACAAUAGUUUUGGCAGUUAAAGUUUGAGAUUCGUCGGUGCCGUAGAUCCGUUUGGUCAUCAGCUGUAACGAGCCACACCCAUGUCUAGCUAGAGUAGUGUGCUAGGCUCAGACUAGAGAAGAAAUGGGGAAAAAAGUGAUGAAAGAAUGAUCAUACCGAGGGAAUUCACUCAGAACUAACAAGAAUGAUAACAUGCUCCGACAUGAGCGAUUUAGGAACUUCUGGAAGGCUCUAGGGGAAUAAAGAUGGAAUGACUCAAAUUUUUAGGUCCGUAUGAUUUGAAAUACUUGCACACAAACCGCGAGAAAGCGUUCCUGGAAAUCUCAGCCCAAAAAAGGACAUUUAGUAAUUCUAAAAGGGACUACAGGAUGAAAAACAAUAGUUUUGGCAGUUAAAGUUUGAGAUUUGAUAAUGCCGUAGAUCCGUUUGGUCAUCAGGUGUAACGAGCCACACCCAUGUCUAGCUAGAGUAGUGUGCUAGGCUAAGACUAGAUAAGAAACCGGGAAGAAACUAAUGAAAGAAUGAUCAGACCGAGGGAAUUCACUCAGAACUAACAAUAAUGAUAACGUGCUCCGACUGGAGCGGUUUAGGAACUGCUGGAAGGCUCUAGGGGAAUAAAGAUGAAAUGACUUCUAAUUUUUAGGUUCGUAUGAUUUGAAAUACAUGCACACAAACCCCGAGAAACCGUUCCUGGAAAUCUCGGCCCAAAAAAGGAUGUUUAGUAAUUCUAAAAGGGACUACAAAAUGAAAAACAAUAGUUUUGGUAGUUAAAGUUUGAGAUUUGAUGGUGCCAUAGAUCUGUUUGGUCAUCAGGUGUUACGAGCCACACCCAUGUCUAGCUAGAAUAGUGUGUUAGGCUCAGGCUAGAAAAGAAACGGGAAACAAAGUGAUGAAAGAAUGAUCAUACCGAGGGAAUUCACUCAGAACUAACAAGAAUGAUAACAUGCUCUGACUGGAGCGGUUUAGGAACUGCUGGAAGGCUCUAGGGGAAUAAAGAUGGAAUGACUUCUAAUGUUUAGGUCCGAGGUCCGUAUGAUUUGAAAUACUUGCACAUAAACCGUGCAAAAGCGUUCCUGGAAAUCUCAGCCCAAAAAAGGACGUUUAGUAAUUCUAAAAGGGACUACAGGAUGAAAAACAAUAGUUUUGGCAGUUAAAGUUUGAGAUUCGACGGUGCCGUAGAUCCGUUCGUUCAUCAGGUGUUACGAGCCACACCCAUGUCUAGCUAGAAUAGUGUGUUAGGCUCAGGCUAGAGAAGAAACGGGGAACAAACUGAUGAAAGAAUGAUCAAACCGAGGGAAUUCACUCAGAACUAACAAUAAUGAUAACGUGCUCCGACUAGAGCGGUUUAGGAACUGCUGGAAGGCUCUAGGGGAAUAAAGAUGGAAUGACUUCUAAUUUUUAGGUCUGUAUGAUUUGAAAUACUUGCACGCAAACCGCGCGAAAGCGUUCCCGGAAAUAUCAGCCCAAAAAAGGACGUUUAGUAAUUCUAAAAGGGACUACAGGAUGAAAAACAAUAGUUUUGGCAGUUAAAGUUUGAGAUUCAACGGUGCCGUAGAUCCGUUUGGUCAUCAGGUGUUACGAGCCACACCCAUGUCUAGCUAGAGUAGUGUGCUAGGCUCAGGCUAGAGAAGAAACAGGGAACAAACUGAUGAAAGAAUGAUCAUACCGAGGGAAUUCACUCAGAACUGAUGAAAGAAUGAUCAAACCGAGGAAAUUCACUCAGAACUAACAAUAAUGAUAACAUGCUCCGACUGGAGCGGUUUAGGAACUGCUGGAAGGCUCUAGGGGAAUAAAGAUGGAAUGACUUCUAAUUUUUAGGUCCGUAUGAUUUGAAAUACGGGCACACAAACCCCGAGAAACCGUUCCUGGAAAUCUCGGCCCGAAAAAGGACGUUUAGUAAUUCUAAAAGGGACUACAAAAUGAAAAACAAUAGUUUUGGCAGUUAAAGUUUGAGAUUCGACGGUGCCGUAGACCCGUUCGGUCAUCAGGUGUAACGAGCCACACCCAUGUCUAGCUAGAGUAGUGUGCUAGGCUCAGACUAGAGAAGAAACGGGGAACAAACUGAUGAAAGAAUGAUCAUACCGAGGGAAUUCACUCAGAACUAACAAGAAUGAUAACGUGCUCCGACUGGAGCGGUUUAGGAACUGCUAGAAGGCUCUAGGGGAAGAAAGAAGGAAUGACUUCUAAUUUUUAGGUCUGUAUGAUUUGAAAUACGUGCACACAAACCGCGCGAAAGCGUUCCUGGAAAUCUCAGCCCAAAAAAGGACGUUUAGUAUUCUAAAAGGGACUACAGAAUGAAAAACAAUAGUUUUAGCAGUUAAAGUUUGAGAUUCGACGGUGCCGUAGAUCCGUCUGGUCAUCAGGUGUUACGAGCCACACCCAUGUCUAGCUAGAAUAGUGUGCUAGGCUCAGGCUAGAGAAGAAAAGGGGAACAAACUGAUGAAAGAAUGAUCAAACCGAGGGAAUUCACUCAGAACUAACAAUAAUGAUAACGUGCUCCGACUGGAGCGGUUUAGGAACUGCUGGAAGGCUCUAGGCGAAUAAAGAUGGAAUGACUUCUAAUUUUUACGUCCGUAUGAUUUGAAAUACUUGCACACAAACCACGCAAAAGCGUUCCUGGAAAUCUCGGCCUAAAAAGGACGUUUAGUAAUUCUAAAAGGGACUACAGGAUGAAAAAUAAUAGUUUGGGCAGUUAAAAUUUGAGAUUCGACGGUGCCGUAGAUCCGUUUGGUCAUCAGGUGUUACGAGCCACACCCAUCUCUAGCUAGAAUAGUGUGUUAGGCUCAGGCUAGAGAAGAAACGGGGAACAAACUGAUGAAAGAAUGAUCAUACCAAGGGAAUUCACUCAGAACUAACAAGAAUGAUAACGUGCUCCGACUGGAGCAGUUUAGAAACUCCUGGAAGGCUCUAGGGGAGUAAAGAUGGAAUGACUUCAAAUUUUUAGGUCCGUAUGAUUUGAAAUACUUGCACACAAACCGCGCGAAAGCGUUCCUGGAAAUCUCAGCCCAAAAAAGGACGUUUAGUAAUUCUAAAAGGGACUACAUGAUGAAAAACAAUAGUUUUGGCAGUUAAAGUUUGAGAUUCGUCGGUGCCGUAGAUCCGUUUGGUCAUCAGCUGUAACGAGCCACACCCAUGUCUAGCUAGAGUAGUGUGCUAGGCUCAGACUAGAGAAGAAAUGGGGAACAAAGUGAUGAAAGAAUGAUCAUACCGAGGGAAUUCACUCAGAACUAACAAGAAUGAUAACAUGCUCCGACUUGAGCGAUUUAGGAACUUCUGGAAGGCUCUAGGGGAAUAAAGAUGGAAUGACUCAAAUUUUUAGGUCCGUAUGAUUUGAAAUACUUGCACACAAACCGCGAGAAAGCGUUCCUGGAAAUCUCAGCCCAAAAAAGGACGUUUAGUAAUUCUAAAAGGGACUACAGGAUGAAAAACAAUAGUUUUGGCAGUUAAAGUUUGAGAUUCGAUAAUGUCGUAGAUCCGUUUGGUCAUCAGGUGUAACGAGCCACACCCAUGCCUAGCUAGAGUAGUGUGCUAGGCUAAGACUAGAUAAGAAACGGGGAAGAAACUGAUGAAAGAAUGAUCAGACCGAGGGAAUUCACUCAGAACUAACAAUAAUGAUAACGUGCUCCGACUGGAGCGGUUUAGGAACUGCUAGAAGGCUCUAGGGGAAUAAAGAUGGAAUGACUUCUAAUUUUUAGGUCCGUAUGAUUUGAAAUACGUGCACACAAACCCCGAGAAACCGUUCCUGGAAAUCUCGGCCCAAAAAAGUAUGUUUAGUAAUUCUAAAAGGGACUACAAAAUGAAAAACAAUAGUUUUGGCAGUUAAAGUUUGAGAUUUGAUGGUGCCGUAGAUCUGUUAGGUCAUCAGGUGUUACGAGCCACACCCAUGUCUAGCUAGAAUAGUGUGUUAGGCUCAGGCUAGAAAAGAAACGGGAAACAAAGUGAUGAAAGAAUGAUCAUACCGAGGGAAUUCACUCAGAACUAACAAGAAUGAUAACAUGCUCUGACUGGAGCGGUUUAGGAACUGCUGGAAGGCUCUAGGGGAAUAAAGAUGGAAUGACUUCUAAUGUUUAGGUCCGUAUGAUUUGAAAUACUUGCACAUAAACCGCGCAAAAGCGUUCCUGGAAAUCUCAGCCCAAAAAGGACGUUUAGUAAUUCUAGAAGGGACUACAGGAUGAAAAACAAUAGUUUUGGCAGUUAAAGUUUGAGAUUCGACGGUGCCGUAGAUCCGUUUGUUCAUCAGGUGUUACGAGCCACACCCAUGUCUAGCUAGAAUAGUGUGUUAGGCUCAGGCUAGAGAAGAAACGGGGAACAAACUGAUGAAAGAAUGAUCAAACCGAGGGAAUUCACUCAGAACUAACAAUAAUGAUAACGUGCUCCGACUAGAGCGGUUUAGGAACUGCUGGAAGGCUCUAGGGGAAUAAAGAUGGAAUGACUUCUAAUUUUUAGGUCUGUAUGAUUUGAAAUACUUGCACGCAAACCGCGCGAAAGCAUUCCCGGAAAUAUCAGCCCAAAAAAGGACGUUUAGUAAUUCUAAAAGGGACUACAGGAUGAAAAAGAAUAGUUUUGGCAGUUAAAGUUUGAGAUUCAACGGUGCCGUAGAUCCGUUUGGUCAUCAGGUGUUACAAGCCACACCCAUGUCUAGCUAGAGUAGUGUGCUAGGCUCAGGCUAGAGAAGAAACAGGGAUAAAACUGAUGAAAGAAUGAUCAUACCGAGGGAAUUCACUCAGAACUGAUGAAAGAAUGAUCAAUCCGAGGGAAUUCACUCAGAACUAACAAUAAUGAUAACGUGCUCCGAUUGGAGCGGUUUAGGAACUGCUGGAAGGCUCUAGGGGAAUAAAGAUGGAAUGACUUCUAAUUUUUAGGUCCGUAUGAUUUGAAAUACUUGCACACAAACCGCAAGAAAGCGUUCCUAGAAAUCUCAGCCCAAAAAAGGACGUUUAGUAAUUCUAAAAGGGACUACAGGAUGAAAAACAAUAGUUUUGGCAGUUAAAGUUUGAGAUUCGAUGGUGCCCUAGAUCCGUUUGGUCAUCAGGUGUUACGAGCCACACCCAUGUCUAGCUAGAAUAGUGUGUUAGGCUCAGGCUAGAGAAGAAACGGGGAACAAACUGAUGAAAGAAUGAUCAUACGGAGGGAAUUCACUCAGAACUAAGAAGAAUGAUAACGUGCUCCGACUGGAGCGGUUUAGGAACUGGUGGAAGUCUCUAGGGGAAUAAAGAUGGAAUGACUUCUAAUUUUUAGGUCUGUAUGAUUUGAAAUACUUGCGCACAAACCGCGCGAAAGCGUUCCUGGAAAUAUCAGCCUAAAAAAGGAUGUUUAGUAAUUCUAAAAGGGACUACAGGAUGAAAAACAAUAGUUUUGGAAGUUAAAGUUUGAGAUUCGACAGUGUCGUAGAUCCGUUUGGUCAUCAGGUGUUACGAGCCACACCCACGUCUAGCUAGAGUAGUGUGUUAGGCUCAGGCUAGAGAUUAAACGGGGAACAAACUGAUGAAAGAAUGAUCAAACCGAGGGAAUUCACUCACAAUAAAGAUGGAACUUCUUUCUUCCCCUAGAGCCUUCCAGCAGUUCCUAAACCGCUCCAGUCGGAGCACGUUAUCAUUCUUGUUAGUUCUGAGUGAAUUCCCUCGGUAUGAUCAUUCUUUCAUCAGUUUGUUCCCCGUUUCUUCUCUAGUCUGAGCCUAGCACACUACUCUAGCUAGACAUGGGUGUGGCUCGUUACACCUGAUGACCAAACGGAUCUACGACAUUAUCGAAUCUCAAACUUUAACUGCCAGAACUAUUGUUUUCCAUCCUGUAGUCCCUUUUAGAAUUACUAAACGUCCUUUUUUGGGCUGAGAUUUCCAGGAACGCUUUCUUGCGGUUUGUGUGCAAGUAUUUCAAAUCAUACGGACCUAAAAAUUAGAAGUCAUUCCAUCUUUAUUCCCCUAGAGCCUUCCUGCAGUUCCUAAACCGCUCCAGUCGGAGCGUGUUAUCAUUAUUGUUAGUUCUGAGUGAAUUCCCUCGGUUUGAUCAUUCUUUCAUCAGUUUGUUCCCCGUUUAAUCUCUAGCCUGAGCCUAACACACUACUCUAGCUAGACGUGUGUGUGGCUCGUAACACCUGAUGACCAAACGGAUCUACGGCACCGUCGAAUCUCAAACUUUAACUUCCAAAACUAUUGUUUUUCAUCCUGUAGUCCCUUUCAAAAUUACUAAACGUCCUUUUUUGGGCUGAGAUUUCCAGGAACGCUUUCGCGCGGUUUGUGUGCAAGUAUUUCAAAUCAUACAGACCUAAAAAUUAGAAAUCAUUCCAUCUUUAUUCCCCUAGAGACUUCCACAAGUUCCUAAACCGCUCCAGUCGGAGCACGUUAUCAUUCUUCUUAGUUCUGAGUGAAUUCCCUCCGUAUGAUCAUUCUUUCAUCAGUUUGUUCCCCGUUUCUUCUCUAGCCUGAGCCUAACACACUAUUCUAGCUAGACAUGGGUGUGGCUCGUAACACCUGAUGACCAAACGGAUCUAGGGCACCAUCGAAUCUCAAACUUUAACUGCCAAAACUAUUGUUUUUCAUCCUGUAGUCCCUUUUAGAAUUACUAAACGUCCUUUUUUGGGCUGAGAUUUCUAGGAACGCUUUCGCGCGGUUUGUGUGCAAGUAUUUCAAAUCAUACGGACCUAAAAAUUAGAAGUCAUUCCAUCUUUAUUCCCCUAGAGCCUUCCAGCAGUUCCUAAACCGCUCCAAUCGGAGCACGUUAUUAUUAUUGUUAGUUCUGAGUGAAUUCCCUCGGUUUGAUCAUUCUUUCAUCAGUUUGUUCCCCGUUUCUUCUCUAGCCCGAGCCUAAUACACUAUUCUAGCUAGACAUGGGUGUGGCUUGUAACUUCUGAUGACCAAACGGAUCUACGGCACCAUCAAAUCUCAAACUUUAAAUGCCAAAACUAUUGUUUUUCAUUCUGUAGUCCCUUUUAGAAUUACUAAACGUCCUUUUUUGGGCCGAGAUUUCUAGGAACGCUUUCUCGGGGUUUGUGUGCACGUAUUUCAAAUCAUACAGACCUAAAAAUUAGAAGUCAUUCCUGUAGGGUUUCGUAGUAAUUUCAAAAAAUUUCCUACGCACACACAGGAUCAUGUGAUGCAUAGCAACGAGGGGAGAGUAUUGUCUACGUACCCAACGCAGACCGACUGCGGAAGCGAUGACACGACGUAGAGGAAGUAGUCGUACGUCUUCACGAUCCAACCGAUCAAGUACCGAAACUACGGCACCUCCGAGUUCGAGCACACGUUCAGCUCGAUGACGAUCCCCGGACUCCGAUCCAGCAAAGUGUUGGGGAAGAGUUUCGUCAGCACGACGGCGUGGUGACGAUCUUGAUGAACUACAGCAGCAGGGCUUCGCCUAAACUCCGCUACAGUAUUAUCGAGGAAUAUGGUGGCAGGGGGCACCGCACACGGCUAAGGAAUAGAUCACGUGGAUCAACUUGUGUCAACUUGUGUGUUUGGGGUGCCUCUACCUCAGUAUAUAAAGGAGCCAAGGGGGGAGGGGGCGCCGGCCAAGAGAGAGAGGCGCAGGAGGAGUCCUACUCCUACCGGGAGUAGGACUCCCCCCCCAAUCCUAUUCCAACUAGGAUUCCCAAGGGGGAAAGAGGAUGAGGGGUGGCCGGCCACCUCUCCUAGUCCUAAUAGGACUAGGGGAAGGGGGGAGGCGCGCAUCCCCCUUGGUCUGCCCCUUUCUCCUUUCCACUAAGGCCCAUGAUGGCCCAUAUGGCUCCCGGGGGGUUCCGGUAACCUCCCGGUAACCCGGUAAAAUCCCGAUUUCACCCGGAACACUUCCGAUGUCCAAACAUAGGCUUCCAAUAUAUCAAUCUUUAUGUCUCGACCAUUUCGAGACUCCUCGUCAUGUCCGUGAUCACAUCCGGGACUCCGACCAACCUUCGGUACAUCAAAAUGCAUAAACUCAUAAUAUAACUGUCAUCGUAACCUUAAGCGUGCGGACCCUACGGGUUCGAGAACAAUGUAGACAUGACCGAGACACGUCUCUGGUCAAUAACCAAUAGCGGGACCUGGAUGCCCAUAUUGGCUCCUACAUAUUCUACGAAGAUCUUUAUCGGUUAGACCGCAUAACAACAUACGUUGUUCCCUUUGUCAUCGGUAUGUUACUUGCCCGAGAUUCGAUCGUCGGUAUCCAAUACCUAGUUCAAUCUCGUUACCGGCAAGUCUCUUUACUCGUUCCGUAAUACAUCAUCUCACAACUAACAUAUUAGUUGUAAUUCUUGCAAGGCUUAUGUGAUGUGUAUUACCGAGAGGGCCCAGAGAUACCUCUCCGACAAUCGGAGUGACAAAUCCUAAUCUCGAAAUACGCCAACCCAACAUCGACCAUUGGAGACACAUGUAGUACUCCUUUAUAAUCACCCAGUUACGUUGUGACGUUUGGUAGUACCCAAAGUGUUCCUCCGGUAAACGGGAGUUGCAUAAUCUCAUAGUCAUAGGAACAUGUAUAAGUCAUGAAGAAAGCAAUAGCAACAUACUAAACGAUCGGGUGCUAAGCUAAUGGAAUGGGUCAUGUCAAUCAGAUCAUUCUGCUAAUGAUGUGACCUCGUUAAUCAAAUAACAACUCAUUGUUCAUGGUUAGGAAACAUAACCAUCUUUGAUUAACGAGCUAGUCAAGUAGAGGCAUACUAGUGACACUUUGUUUGUCUAUGUAUUCACACAUGUAUUAUGUUUCCGGUAAAUACAAUUCUAGCAUGAAUAAUAAACAUUUAUCAUGAUUAUAAGGAAAUAAAUAAUAACAUUAUUAUUGCCUCUAGGGCAUAUUUCCUUCAAUUCCAUCUUUAUUCCCCUAGACCCUUCCAGCAGUUCCUAAACCGCUCCAGUCGGAGCACGUUAUCAUUCUUGUUAGUUCUGAGUGAAUUCCCUCGGUAUGAUCAUUCUUUCAUCAGUUUGUUCCCCAUUUCUUCUCUAGCCUGAGACUAACACACUAUUCUAGGUAGACAUGGGUGUGGCUCGUAACACCUGCUGACCAAACAGAUCUACGGCACCAUUGAAUCUCAAACUUUAACUGCCAAAACUAUUGUUUUUCAUCCUGUAGUCCCUUUUAGAAUUAUUAAACAUCCUUUUUUCGGCCGAGAUUUCCAGGAACGCUUUCUCGGGGUUUGUGUGCACGUAUUUCAAAUCAUACGGACCUAAAAUUAGAAUUCAUUCCAUCUUUAUUCCCCUAGAGCCUUCCAGCAUUUCCUAAACCGCUCCAGUCGGAGCACGUUAUCAUUCUUGUUAGUUCUGAGUGAAUUCCCUCGGUAUGAUCAUUCUUUCAUCAGUUUGUUCCCCGUUUCUUCUCUAGUCUGAGCCUAGCACACUACUCUAGCUAGACAUGGGUGUGGCUCGUUACACCUGAUGACCAAACGGAUCUACGGCACCGUCGAAUCUCAAACUUUAACUGCCAAAACUAUUGUUUUUCAUCCUGUUGUCCCUUAUAGAAUUACUAAACGUCCUUUUUGGGAUGAGAUUUCCAGGAACGCUUUCGUGUGGUUUGUGUGCAAGUAUUUCAAAUCACACGAACGUAAAAAUUUGAAGUCAUUCCAUCUUUAUUCCCCUAGAUCCUUCCAGCAGUUCCUAAACCGCUCCAGUCGGAGCACGUUAUCAUUCUUGUUAGUUCUGAGUGAAUUCCCUCGGUAUGAUCAUUCUUUCAUCAGUUUGCUCCCCAUUUCUUCUCUAGCCUAAGCCUAGCACACUACUCUAGCUAGACAUGGGUGUGGCUCAUAACACCUGAUGACCAAACGGAUCUACGGCACCUUCGAAUCUCAAACUUUAACUGCCAAAACUAUUGUUUUUCAUCCUGUAGUCCCUUUUAGAAUUAAUAACGUCCUUUUUUGGGCUGAGAUUUCUAGGAACGCUUUCGUGCAGUUUGUGUGCAAGUAUUUCAAAUCAUACGGACCUAAAAAUGAGAAGUCAUUCCAUGUUUAUUCCCCUAGAGCCUUCCAGCAGUUCCUAAACCGCUCCAGUCGGAGCAUGUUAUCAUUAUUGUUAGUUCUGAGUGAAUUCCCUCGGUUGGAUCAUUCUUUCAUCAGUUUGUUCCCCGUUUCUUCUCUAGCCUGACCCUAACACACUAUUCUAGCUAGACAUGGGUCUGGCUUGUAACACCUAUUGACCAAACGGAUCUACGGCACCAUCGAAUCUCAAACUUUAACUGCCAAAACUAUUGUUUUUCAUCCUGUAGUCCCUUUUAGAAUUACUAAACGUCCUUUUUUGGGCUGAGAUUUCCAGGAACGCUUACGCGCGGUUUGUGUGCAAGUAUUUCAAAUCAUACGGACCUAAAAAUUAGAAGUCAUUCCAUCUUUAUUCCCCUAGAGCCUUCCAGCAGUUCCUAAACCGCUCCAGUCGGAGCAUGUUAUCAUUCUUGUUAGUUCUGAGUGAAUUCCCUCGGUAUGAUCAUCCUUACAUCACUUUGUUCCCCGUUUCUUUUCUAGCCUGAGCCUAACACACUAUUCUAGCUAGACAUGGGUGUGGCUCGUAACACCUGAUGACCAAACGGAUCUAUGGCACCAUCAAAUCUCAAACUUUAACUGCCAAAACUAUUGUUUUUCAUUCUGUAGUCCCUUUUAGAAUUACUAAACGUCCUUUUUUGGGCCGAGAUUUCCAGGAACGCUUUCUCGGGGUUUGUGUGCAUGUAUUUCAAAUCAUACGGACCUAAAAAUUGAAAGUCAUUCCAUCUUUAUUCCCCUAGAG